rnacentral:lncRNA from 1 species
UGCUUUUGACAGAGUAGUGGAUGUAUCGGCACGUGUGCUGUUAUGCUUGUCUCCACAUGCUUCCUUGUAUCCUUCUCACUUGCCUUAUAUGUUCCUCAGGCAGAUGUGGUAUCUUCCCUAGAAGCAUAAGAUGUUGAAGAUGAGUACUCGAGAGCAAUGCCAGGUAAGUAAUCAAGUAAGGGGUUCCAGGCAGUCAGUUCCUGGCUGGAAGCUUGAUUCCAAGUGCUGACUGAUUGCUCUCUCUCUCCUUAUCUUGCAGGUAAGAACAAGGCCAAAGGAAAAGACAGGGAAAAAGCAUGAUAUGGGAUACUCUUGCUUUUAACCCUGAUGAUAUGAGAUAUUCUUGCUCUAGUAUAGCUUGUUUACAGAGGUAUUAUCGGGGGGAAAGAAAGCUGAAUAUUUCGAAAGGCUUCGUUGGGAGUGCCCUGUCAGAUAAGAGGAAGGGUUGAGCAUUUUUGCAGGUCUGCCUGUCCGUUGGGAUGGAGGUCGACAUAUAUAGGAGUCUCCCUAACAUCAAGUAAUAAUGCUAUUCCUUUACCCUACCCUGCUUGGUCAUAGCACGGUAGUGGGAGCUGCCAGCUUCACAUGUUUUAACUUUGUCAGAGCACUUUGAAAAAGUGGUCUGUGGUAUCUGGAAAGCUGAUGUUGCGUGUGAAGAUUACAGACAAGCUUUAUCCAAGGAGAUCCAGCUCUUGAAGUUGGGAAAGUGAUGCCUCUUCGGUUUUCGAACAAGCAAUCCUGUCGGGGAUCUGACUCUCGAGAUUCGAAGAACGAUGCCUCUUCGAUUUUUGAGAAAGCAAUCCUGCUGGGGUCUGGCUCUCGAGAUUCGGAGAGCGGUGUCUCUUCGAUUUUUGAGAAAGUAAUCAUGUUGGGAGUCUGGCUCUCGAGAUUCGGAGGGCGGUGCCUCUUCGAUUUUGGAGCAAGCAAUCUUGUUGGGAGUGUUUUCUCGAAUGUGAGUAAAGGUUGGGCAUGUUUGCUAGUCUACCUUGCCACGAAGCACAGAGGUUGACACACAGGGACUUUCCAGUUAUCCAGCAGUGGUACUGUUCCUUUACCCUCUCUUCGAUUUUUGAGAAAGUAAUCAUGUUGGGAGUCUGGCUCUCGAGAUUCGGAGGGCGGUGCCUCUUCGAUUUUGGAGCAAGCAAUCUUGUUGGGAGUGUUUUCUCGAAUGUGAGUAAAGGUUGGGCAUGUUUGCUAGUCUACCUUGCCACGAAGCACAAAGGUUGACACACAGGGACUUUCCAAUUAUCCAGCAGUGGUACUGUUCCUUUACCCUUGUGGGUAAUAAUAUGGUAGCUAGACCUUCAAAAUUUAUGUGUCUAAACUUUGUUAGUGUUGUUUCUUUGCUAUUAUUUUACCCUUCUUGGUCAGAGCGAUGUAGUGGGAGCUGCAAGCUUCACGUGUCUCAACUUUGUCAGAGAACUUUGGCAAAGUUAUCUGUGGUACCCAUGAGCUACUGUUGCCUGUGGGAAGUGGGUGAUUGAACAGUACGAUUCAUGUGCUUUCUACUUCUCCAGAAAUCUUCGACAGAAUGCCCAUAAUUUCCGCAAAGCUGAGUGUGCGUGUGACAGGUGCUGACAAGGCUGGAAAAGUAGGUGCCUCUUCGAUUUCUGAGAUCGGCCCUCGUGGUCUCUGAGCAGCCCAGCUUUUGAGAAAGCAAACGCCUCUUCGAUUUCUGAGCAGGCGCCUCUUCGAUUUCUGAAGCUUCGUCGAGUGCAGAUUUUUAUAAGGGGUGACAUUAAGUUCCAAAGCACACUUGAAUAUCCACCAGUAGAAGCUCCAUUCUUGCACUUCUAUGAUCUUGAUUUGUCCGACCUCUUCUUUCUUCAACACCUUUGAAAAUGUCUGGCCCCUCCGACCGUCGUUUUGACUUGAACCUUGUUGAAGAGGCAGCCCCGCCUUCUCCAGACAACAUAUGGCGCCCAUCCUUCGUCUCCCCUACUGGUCCUCUUACCGUCGGGGAUUCCGUGAUGAAGAAUGAUAUGACCGCUGCGGUAGUGGUCAGGAACCUUCUCACUCCCAAAGAUAACAGACUACUUUCCAAACGGUCUGAUGAGUUGGCCGUUAAGGAUUCUCUAGCUCUCAGUGUUCAGUGUGCAGGUUCUGUGUCUAAUAUGACCCAACGCCUAUUUGCUCGAACCCGCCAAGUUGAAUCAUUGGCGGCUGAAGUGAUGAGUCUCAAACAGGAGAUUAGAGGGCUCAAGCAUGAGAAUAAACAGUUGCACCGGCUCGCACAUGACUAUGCUACAAACAUGAAGAGGAAGCUUGACCAGAUGAAGGAAUCUGAUGGUCAAGUUUUACUUGAUCAUCAGAGAUUUGUGGGUUUGUUCCAAAGGCAUUUAUUGCCUUCGUCUUCUGGGGCUGUACCGCGUAAUGAAGCUCCAAAUGAUCAACCUCUGAUGCCUCCUUCUUCUAGGGUUCUGUCCAGUACUGAGGCUCCGAAUGAUCCCCCUCCGGUGCCUUCUCUUUCUGGGGCUCUACCGACUGCUGAGACUUCUCCUAAGCAACCUUUGUGAAGGCUCCCUCUUGUUUGUUUAUUUUGACUCAAGUAUAUGUACAUAUUUGUAACUGAUCGGGGAUAUCAAUAAAUAAGCUUUCCUUCAUUUCAACGUAUUGUGUUAAAUACACCAAAACCUUCUUCGCUAAGUUCUUUGAAUUUUCUUUUGUUGAAGCUUGUAGUUGAAGCUUUGUGAGUGGAGCAUGUAGGUUGAGGUAGUGUUCCCUUAAUUUCCCGAGUGAGGAAAACUUCUCGGUUGGAGACUUGGAAAAUCCAAGUCACUGAGUGGGAUCGGCUAUAUGAAUCUUAGAACACCAUUGUGUUCUGUCCUGUGUCAUGUCCUCCGUUAGAUCCAAGUACUCUAAGUCUUUUCUUAGGGUCUCUUCCAAAGUUUUCCUAGGUCUUCCUCUACCCCUUCGGCCCUGAACCUCUGUCCCAUAGUCGCAUCUUCUAAUCGGAGCGUCAGUAGGCCUUCUUUGCACAUGUCCUAAUCACCGUAACCGAUUUUCUCUCAUCUUUCCUUCAAUUUCGGCUACUUCUACUUUACCCCGGAUAUCCUCAUUCCUAAUCUUAUCCUUCCUCAAGUAUAUGUAAAAGGAACAAAAAAGAAGAGGCUGAAGAGUCUCCAUAAGACAAGAACUUUUAUGUCACAGAGUCAGGUAUUAAUCUUGUCGUCGGUAAGUUUCUCAAGUAUCUAUAUUCACAUUUGUUGGUCAAGUUUUCAGAAUUAUGUUCACAUAUAAUCUGAAUUCAUUGCCAAAUGUUGAGGAAUUGAUUGUUAUUGACUAUUGCGAUGAAUUGGUCUCAAACUACGUUUUCCAACCAACACAGUUUGAUCAGUUUUAAAAAAAAAACACUGUUUGAUUAGUCUCGUUCAAUACCAUUACGUGAUCAGCUUAAAUUUACUUUUCAUGUUCAAACUUUUAAUAGUUAAACUAAGAAAGAAUGGGCCAUAUUUUAUUUCUUUUAAAAGUUGUUCACAUAGAAGUGGACAUUGACAAAGUAGAUCAUGAAUAACAUUAUAACAUUGUAAUUUGGAUGAAAAUACACACAUCCAAUACUUUAAUUAGAUGCAUUAUACUUUAAAUGAAAAUAAAUAAAUUUAAUAUUCUUAGAGAAGGUCACAAUAGAAAUUUCACAACUAAGAACGGAUUAGAGCAUGCCAAUACUUAAAAAGCCGACUUGGCUUUGUAAUGGGAAGGGUACAAAGAAAUUUCACAGCUAAAAAUUAAUUAGAUCGUGACAAUGAGGUAGAUGAGGGGGUUCUUUUCUCCAAAUAAACUCUUAAAGUAUUUUUAUAUAAAACUUAUAGUUUUGAAACAAAUAAUUUUACAUUAGAAAAGAUAGCUUAUACUUUCACUAAAAAAGAGAUCUGAUUUUUAUUAAUUAACAUUGAAGUUUUUGCCUAUUCAAGAGAUGUGGGUCCCGUAUUUCAAUCAACACAUGUGAGUUUCAUCUCUAUUAAAAAGAUGAUACAAAUGAUGGUUACAAAUAAAUGGUAAGAACAAUAUUUUUAUUUACAAAAAAAUUAUUAUGCACUGCUAUCUAAUAAAGUAAACAAGGUCAAAAGGAGGACAAAGUGGGUUUCUUUUAGCGCUAAUAUUCUUUUAGAAACUAUAUAUUUGAUUGUAUGAACAAUAAAGUCAUUGUACAAUUUAAAUUUAAAACUCAUAAAGAAAAUUAUACAAGGCAUACAAAGUUUAUUAAUCAACAUUGAACCUUUUGUGCAUAUUCUAUGAAAACAUAAGGAAAUUAUACAAUGGUCUCCUCACAAGAAAUUCUCAACUCUUUCAUUUUUUGUGAACUUGUGAUACACGCUAAAGGGGAUGAACUCUUCAAUGAAAUUUUGACACGUAAAAAUGAGACCUAUUCGUAAGUUUAUUGAAAAUAAUAAAGCUCAUAUGAGUAGCCUAGAAUACAAUUUCCUUGUGUUUUCAUAGCAUAUGCACACAAAAUAUAAUGUUGCAAAAUAAGUUUUAUAUUUUAUGUAUAUAAUUAUAAGUAUAAUAUUUUCUCAUCUUCUAGUACAAGUUUUGUGCAUAUUCUACAAAACCAAAAACAAAUUAAAACUCAACAUCUUAGCAAUAUUUUCUCAAAAAAAUAAAAAAACAUUUCGUAGUAAACGAAUAUACUUUUCCCUCACACUAAAUUUCGUAAAUAUUUUAUGAAAAUGUAAGGAAAUUACACUAUGGUCUCCUUGACACGCCCCGAUCCCGAUAUUCCUCGAAUACCAGGAUAGGCACGUGUUGGCCGACACCCGAGGGUGACGAAAGCCAUUUAUUGAAUGCAAAUGCUGAGAAUAAGAAAUAGAUAAGACCUAGAAAUAUAAAAGAAUAAUGAUUAUGCAUUUAAGAAAUGUGUUCAGAGCAUACAACUAACUAGAACACUAAAAGAAAUAAUAUAAAAAUUGAGUUAACAAAGGAGUGGGUCCUACACCGAGAGGACUCGAAGAUGCCGAUGCAAAAGUGCUUGGACGUCGGGAUUGUAUGCACCGAUUUUAAGUCCUGAAGGGGGCGCAAAACAAAGGUGAGUGGACCAAGUUUAUAUAUACAUAAUAAUAAAACAAUUAUCAACGUACUAACCCCCAGGUUUAUAUAAAGAAAACUACUAGCAUAAUAAGUGAUAGGUUUACUGAAAACCCUAGCAUGCCAUAAAACAUCUCAACAGGUAUAAUACGGAAAAACAUAUCAUCGCAUGUAUCAUUUCGUAGAUCGUCUCGUAAGUGUGGUGUGCUGCUAGUAAGAUCAUUGAAAUAAAAAUAACUCCCGACCCUAUGCCAGCACCGUGGUCUCUGCGCCCGUAGCCAGAUAUUACCAACUCCCGGCCCAAUGCCUGCUCCGUGUCCCUCAGCCCGUAGCUAGGGAUUAUUUCUCCCGGCCCAUAUGCCAACACCAGAUCCUCGCCCUAGGCGACAUACUGUCCACUAGGUACGCACAAAUAGUUAUGCCUCUCAUAAAUAACCAUUUCAUAGUAUAAAGUCAUCCAUCGUCUAUACCAUAAAAAAGGGUUUUGAAGACACGUUCUAGUAUCCUAUCGUCAUCCAUCAGAUAGUCUACCAGUUCAUGGUUUUUAUAGAAAAUACGAUAUAUUAAAAUAUAGCUCAAUAUAGGCCAACAAUUAAUUCCUCACUAAAAACACGAGACGAAAAUCAACAUAUUCAAUAAACAUGCUUAACAUAAAAUCAAAUCAUAAACUCGUAAGGCAUGCUAUUCAUUUAUGAAAUUGAACUAUAAAAAUCAUGUAAUUUUAGAAGGGGUCCACUCACAGUACUUAGGCGCAAAAAACUGCGCUACUAGCGAAGACGGAAACGUCACAAUAAUUGUCCCUAAACAUUUAAAAAAACUCUACUCAAACAAUUUAAUUUAGGAAAACGGACUUCAGAAACGGGUCCAGGACGUCGAAAUUAACCUAAGAGAGGUCCCAGACAAAACCUUGAAAAGUCAACCCUAAAGUCAACGCUGACUGUUAACCGAUCAAAGUCAAAGCUGACCGUUGUCCGAGUCAACGGUCAGAGUAAAGGGUCAAAGGUCAACUAGGUCUGGGCUAAGGGUUUGGAUCAGGAUUAGGGUUUAGGUUUAGGUUAAAUAAGGUUAUGACCUUUUGUGUUUUGGUUUUGGGUAGGAAUAAAUGGGUGGUUUGGGCUUGAGCCUAAACCCAUACAACACACACAUACAAAUGCCAGCACACACACCUGCACGACAUAACACACACACACGGUACAACACACUCACAUACACACGCACUGACACACACACACACACACACCACCUACAUGGACACACACAAACACACACACCACACACAAACACAAUCCUCAGCCUAAGGCAAAGCACGGCCCAAUACACACACACACACACACUCACUCACAUGCACGGCCCAUGCAUGGCACGGCCCAUAGGCCAAUUAACCCACCAAAAGAAUAGAAACUGGGCUGGCUAAAACGGGCCUAGAGCCCGUGGGCUUGAGAAACGGCCUAAAAGGCCUGGUGUCACUGGAAUUAAUGGAGAAGAACGCCAGAGUAUUUUCUGGGAAUGAAGGACCGAGAAUCACAGAGGUGAAAUAGGGGUUAAAACCCUUGAAUUUCCAAUCAAAUUCAACAUGCAAGGAAUAGGAAUUAUACCUGAGGUUUAAUGGAAGUCAAUUCGAGUCCACAGAACUUCGAAUUUGUCGAGCUUAAACAUGAUUUGCGCUGGAGCCUCUCAUCGGGAAACUGGUAAAGGAAGAACAGGGAAUUACAGAGGUCGUUAUCAGUGAAUUCCAACUCAAAUUUCUUCCAUAAAAUUAGAAAACCCAACUAGGGAUCGAUUGGAAGAAAUCCUAAGCUGAAUCAAUGACUGGAACAUCAAGUUCCAUCUCUAGCUCGGCGGAACUCAUGGAGCUCUCCAUUCCGCUCCAUCCCGUAACCAGCUCGAACAUGCAGAGCAACACUUCAAAUAUACAAACCAACCAGAUGACGGAUUUGGUGGUUGAGGGUCAUGAUUUGAUUGGAAAGGAUGAAGGUUGUGGGUGAGGAUGCAUGGUGGUGUGCGUGGUUUAUAGAGGGAGAGGGAGUGAAACAGAAACAAAAAGAAGAAGAAGAAAGAGUCAUGGGGGGGGAACAAAGAGAAAGAGAGAGAGAUGAGGUUUGUUAGGGUGCUACCACGUGACAGUUUGAGGGAGUUUAGGAAUUUGGAUAAAAGGUCUAGAUUUAGUCAAGCUAGGGGACCAAAAUGAUAAAUUCAAUAAAACUUUGGGAAAAUAUAAAAUUACAUAUAAGUUCAGGGGUGGGGUUUAACACUCCUCUCAAGAAAUUCCAAGAAAUUCCUAGCUCCAUUAUUUUUCGUUAACUUAUAAUUCAUGGGAUCAAUUUAUGAAAGGAUGUAUGAUACACGUAAAUAAGAUCAAUUUAUAAGUGCAUUGAACAUGACAUAUUAUGUUAAUAGAGAAACAUAUAAUUUUCUUAUGUUUUCAUGCCAUGUGCACAAAAAGUUUUAUUGGUGUUGAAAAUUUUGUAUGUAUAUAAGCAUAUUUUCUCAUCUUAUAGUAUGCUAAAAGGAAACCAGAUAGUAGCAUCUUCCUAAUAAAUUCUCUAACUAACUUACACCAGGCCUAUGAAUUCACUCGCAACAAAAUUUGAACUGAGAAAAAAAUUCAUCUUACACUAUUCUCCAAUGAAAUAAGAAAGGUCAAAAUGAGGGCAAAGUGACUUUCUUUUAGCAAUAGUAACCGUUUUUUUUUAACAAACAAUAUAAUCCACACUAAGGAGCUGAGGGAGGUGGGUUAAGCCUCACAAUGACUAACAAUAAUGUGGUUCAAAUUCUCCUUUGGUGAGAAUUGAACCUAAGAACUCUCACUUACAAGUGAAGAGGAAUACCACUAGACCUUACUAUUAAGUUGCCUAAUAAUAGUUCUUUUAAAAACUAUAUAUUUGAUUACAUGAACAAUAAAGUCAUUGUAUAAUUUAUAUUUAAAACUCAUAAAGAAAGUUAUUUAGGAAAUAAAAUUAUAUUUACAAAGACAUACAAAUUUUAUUAAUCAAUAUUGAAACAAUUGUGCAUAUUUUAUGAAAGCAUAUUGAUGAGAUUAUAAUAUAGUCUCCCACAUGAAAUUCUCAGAUCUAUUAAUUUUCGUGAACUUGUGAUACACGGUAAAUGUGUGAAUUCUUCAAUGAACUUCUGAUACAUGUAAAUCAAAUCCAUUCUUAAGUUUAAACUAGAAAUGACGAAGCAACCAAGAAGAACGAAGUAGACCCAGGAGGAGCCAAUAACGCACCAACACAAAACUAAAAUACUCAUUAGGAGAGACUCACAAAUAACGUCAAGAAAAUAGUAAGGCUAGGAGAAUGGAGAUGGGCACCCAUUGGCCACAAGCUGAAGAAAGGGGUCGGGAGCUGUGAAUUUUAUAAAUAUAUGAUUUUGGUAGAGGAAAGGAGAGAGCCGCUAGCAGUAGUUUCUUAUAUAUUAGCAUUCCAAGAAUCCAUCCUGUUGACUUUUAUUAAUGUACUUCUGGUACAAUUUUAAUAAGAGUAUUAUCGGAAAGUGUAAAUAUGUAUUUUACACUAAUAAGAAAGAUGUAAAUUUGGGAGCUCAUUUAUUUAUGGUCUCUUUUAACCAGUGAAAAUGGAUAUACAUAUUUUAUUAGUCCACCUCUUAAAAAUGCAAAUAUACAUUUUAUUCACAUGUUUACACUAAUCCUUUGAGAGCUUUCCAACCAAAAAAAUUUAAAUUGUACAUUUGUAGACAUUUUGCAUCUUGUAUUAGGAGAUAAAAUUUUCAAUGUGCUUGGUACGAGAUAGUACACCACAUGCUAUUAUAUAAUUGGAAUAAAAAAUUAAUUUUUCAAGUGUUAUUCUAUUUGUAUAACGAUAUGUGUUAUAUUACUUUGUGUUUCGUGCACUGAAAAAUAUCUCUUAUCAGAUAUGCUAGUGGAGUACCAAUUUGGGGUUGUUGAAAUUAAUAUUUUUUUUUUUGUCAAAGGGUUGUUGAAAUUAUUUAAAAGAAUAAAUUAUAGUAAUGGUAUCUCAAUUUUAAUGAAAUUAGAGCAAUAAUUCUUCAACUAAAAACCUAUUAUCAUUCGUCAUUCAACUCAUCAAAAUGUGUAGUUAUGAUCAUUUUCGUCAACUUUGUCAAAAUUUUGUCAGAAUGAAUUAUGUUAGAAGGACCAUUGCUACAAUUAGAUUAAAGUUGAGGGAUCGUUCUCCAAUUGGGUUAAAAUUAAGGGACCAUUCUUCAGUUAAAUUAGAGUUGAGGGACCAUUGGUAAUAGAUUUUUAGUUGAGGGACUAUAACGGCUCGUUUUACGAGUUAAGAGACCAAUGCUAAUAGAUUUUUUGUUAGAGAUCAUUAUUUCAAUUAAGUUAAAGUUAAUUGACUAUUACUACAAUUUACUAUAUUUAAAAAGCAACUUAUUAAAAAAUCUGAUGAAUGGUGAACAGUAAAGUUUAAUGAAAAUUUUAUGAGGAUAGUGUUACCCUGGGUUUUUAAUUAAAAUUACAGCCAGUAUCUUCGCUUCUCCUUUCCCCUUUCUCCAUGUCGUCCUUCAAAUCGAAGGUUGGCGACCUUCAAUUACCUGGAGAAAUCAACAAUAAGCCAUAAUUCCUUCAAUUAGAGGAUGCUCUGCCUGUCUUCUGCUGACUUUUCUUUAAAUUUUGAGCUUAUAGUGCUCACAUGGGAACAUAGAGAGAGAGAGAGAGAGAGAGAGAGAGAGAGAGAGAGAGAGAGAGAGAGAGAUUGAAGUUUUUAUGGAAGGAAAGAAAUUUGAGCUUUGUGUAGGAUAGAGCAGGCGAGUGAGAUUGCAUGCGACGAAUCCGUUAGGUUUCUGACUUCAAAUGGCGCCGUUGUGGUCUGAUCCGUCCGAGUUAUGGAGAUCGGACAUUGGAGCUCCUAACUAGCGAUAAUUUGGAGCUGCAGAUCCGAUGAGAAAUUCAAAAUAUUUGGAAUGGCUAUGGGGAAACGGGAUGACACAGAGAGAUUGGGUGAUUAGGAUUGUGCCGUGGGCUGGGAGGUCGCGGCGGCGGCGGAAGGAACCCAGACCUAUGGGUAAAACAGUAAAAUUAUUAGAAAUAUUUUGAAAUUUAUGGGCUGGUAUUUGUUCAAUUAAUCUACGGGCUGCUAUGUGUUUAAUUAAUCUAUGGGCUGGUAUGUGUUUAAUUAAUAUAUGGGCGGGUGUUUGUUUAAUUAAUCCAUGGGCUGGUGUUUCAAUAUGACUUGGAUUUAACGUGAAAUUAUUAGAAAAUUUCUAUUAAACCAUUUGAUGGUUAUUACUUGCACGUAAGUGAAGACGCAGAAGAUAAACAUUGAAGAAGAUAAACAUCGAAGGAAAAAUGGAGAAGAUAAGAUUAUUAAAGAAAAAGGUUAGAUAAAUUAUCAUCCAACCUUAUGAUAUUUUUAGUCAUCUCUAUAUGGGCUUGUUUGACGGCCUGAAAGAUAUUGGACCUUAGAGAGAAAAUUAGAUUAAUAGCGAUUUGAAAGGUAAAACUUGUAACCUAUGUAUAAAGAUAAAUUAGAUAACACAUUUUAUUAUGAAUUCAUAACUCAUCAUUACAACAACAACAACAACAACAACAACAACAACAAAGCCUUUUCCCACUAAGUGGGGUCGGCUUUCAUAUAUGAAUCCUAGAACGCCAUUGCGCUCGGUUUUGUGUCAUGUUCUCCGUUAGAUCCAAGUACUCUAAGUCUUUUCUUAGAGUCUCUUCCAAAGUUUUCCUAGGUCUUCCUCUACCCCUUCGGCCCUGAACCUCUGUCCAGUAGUGACAUCUUCGAACCGGAGCGUCAGUAGGCCUUCUUUGCACAUGUCCAAAUCACCGGAACCGAUUUUCUCUCAUCUUUCCUUCAAUUUCGGCUACUCCUACUUUACCUCGGAUAUCCUCAUUCCUAAUCUUAUCCUUUCUCGUGUGCCCACACAUCCCACGAAGCAUCCUCAUCUCCGCCACACCCAUUUUGUGUACGUGUUGAUGCUUCACCGCCCAAACAUUCUGUGCCAUACAACAUCGCUGGCCUUAUUGCCGUCCUAUAAAAUUUUCCCUUGAGCUUCAGUGGCCUACGACGGUCACACAACACGCCGGAUGCACUCUUACACUUUCAUCCAUCCAGCUUGUAUUCUAUGGUUGAGAUCUCCAUCUAAUUCUCCGUUCUCUUGCAAGAUAGAUCCUAGGUAGCGAAAACGGUCGCUUUUUUGUGAUCUUCGCUAGAUUGCUCCGGUCAUUAGUGUGGAUAAGUAUAUAAAUGGAUAGAGAUAGGAAAGCAAACACAAGAUGUACGUGGUUCACCCAGAUUGGCUACGUCCACGGAAUAGAGGAGUUCUCAUUAAUUGUGAAGGGUUUACACAAGUACAUAGGUUCAAGCUCUCCUUUAGUGAGUACAAGUGAAUGAUUUAGUACAAAUGACAUUAGGAAAUAUUGUGGGAGAAUGAUCUCGUAAUCACGAAACUUCUAAGUAUCGGAGUGUGGUAUCGUCUUGACUUGCCUUAUCUGUCUCAUAGGUAGAUGUGGCAUCUUCUCUGGAAGUACUCUUCCUCCAUCCAGGGGUGGUAUCUUUAACUGGUGGAGAUGCACAAGGUAAUGUAUCAAUUUCACUUGAAGCUUACUUGUAGUUUCAGGCUUGGUCAAGCGCGAUACAAACCAUGUAGUAGGAGUCCCCCAAGUCGCCGAGCUAGGGGAUCUGCUGAAAGAGGUGACAGACAAGGUAAGCAAUCAGAGCUCCGGCUGAUUGUUCACAUUCUCCCUAUCUUGCAGGCAGCAUGAAGGAUAAAGAGAAGAAAAAUGAGAAGAGAUGAUAUGGGAUACUUUUGCUUUUGAAGAAGUAACUUUCCACAGGCUUAUUCUUGAACUGAGCUGGAGGGUUUUCUGGUUUCCUCCAGAGUAUAAGGCCGACUGAAGAAUUUGAGGGUCAAAACAAGUCCAUCAAAUCUAGAGUACGUUCGACCCUGCUGAUAUGGGAUACUUUUGCUUUUGACAGAGUAAUGGAUGUAUCGGCACGUGUGCUGUUACGCUUGUCUCCACAUGCUUCCUUGUAUCCUUCUCACUUGCCCUAUCUGUUCCUCAGGCAGAUGCGGUAUCUUCCCUGGAAGCAUAAGAUGUUGAAGAUGAGUACUCGAGAGCAAUGCCAGGUAAGUAAUCAGGUAAGGGGUUCCAGGCAGUCAGUUCCUGGCUGGAAGCUUGAUUCCAAGUGCUGACUGAAUUGCUCUCUUUCUCCUUGUCUUGCAGGUAAGAACAAGGCCAAAGGAAAAGACAGGGAAAAAGCAUGAUAUGGGAUACUCUUGCUUUUAACCCUGAUGAUAUGAGAUAUUCUUGCUCUAGUAUAGCUUGUUUGCAGAGGUAUUAUCGGGGGGAAAGAAAGCUGAAUAUUUCGAAAGGCUUCGUUGGGAGUGCCCUCUCAGAUAUGAGGAAGGGUUGAGCAUUUUUGCAGGUCUGCCUGUCCGUUGGGGAUGGAGGUCGACAUAUAUAGGAGUCUCCCUAACAACAAGUAGUAAUGCUAUUCCUUUACCCUGCUUGGUCAUAGCACGGUAGUGGGAGCUGCCAGCUUCACAUGUUUUAACUCUGUCAGAGCACUUUGAAAAAGUGGUUUGUGGUAUCUGGAAAGCUGAUGUUGCGUGUGAAGAUUACAUACAAGCUUUAUCCAAGGAGAUCCGGCUCUUGAAGUUGGGAAAAGUGUUGCCUCUUCGGUUUUCGAACAAGCAAUCCUAUCGGGAUCUGGCUCUCGAGAUUCGGAGAACGAUGCCUCUUCGAUUUUUGAGAAAGCAAUCAUGCUGGGGGUCUGGCUCUCGAGAUUCGGAGAGCAGUGUCUCUUCGAUUUUUGAGAAAGUAAUCAUGUUGGGAGUCUGGCUCUCGAGAUUCGGAGGGCGGUGCCUCUUCGAUUUUGGAGCAAGCAAUCUUGUUGGGAGUGUUUUCUCGAAUGUGAGUAAAGGUUGGGCAUGUUUGCUAGUCUACCUUGCCACGAAGCACAGAGGUUGACACACAGGGACUUUCCAAUUAUCCAGCAAUGGUACUGUUCCUUUACCCUCUCUUCGAUUUUUGAGAAAGUAGUCAUGUUGGGAGUCUGGCUCUCGAGAUUCGGAGGACGGUGCCUCUUCGAUUUUGGAGCAAGCAAUCUUGUUGGGAGUGUUUUCUCGAAUGUGAGUAAAGGUUGGGCAUGUUUGCUAGUCUACCUUGCCACGAAGCACAGAGGUUGACACACAGGGACUUUCCAAUUAUCCAGCAGUGGUACUGUUCCUUUACCCUUGUGGGUAAUAAUAUGGUAGCUAGACCUUCAAAAUUUAUGUGUCUAAACUUUGUUAGUGUUGUUUCUUUGCUAUUCUUUUACCCUUCUUGGUCAGAGCGAUGUAGUGGGAGCUGCAAGCUUCACGUGUCUCAACUUUGGCAGAGAACUUUGGCAAAGUUAUCUGUGGUACCCAUGAGCUACUGUUGCGUGUGGGAAGUGGGUGAUUGAACAGUAAGAUUCAUGUGCUUUCUACUUCACCAGAAGUCUUCGACAGAAUGCCCAUAAUUUCCGCAAAGCUGAGUGUGCGUGUGACAGGUGCUGACAAGGCUGGAAAAGUAGGUGCCUCUUCGAUUUCUGAGAUCGGCCCUCGUGGUCUCUGAGCAGCCCAGCUUUUGAGAAAGCAAGCGCCUCUUCGAUUUCUGAGAUCGGCCUUCGUGGUCUUUGAGCAGCCCAGCUUUUGAGAAAGCAAACGCCUCUUCGAUUUCUGAGAUCGACCCUCGUGGUCUCUGAGCAGCCCAGCUUUUGAGAAAGCAAACGCCUCUUCGAUUUCUGAGCAGGCGCCUCUUCGAUUUCUGAAGCUCCGUCGAGUGCAGAUUUUUUAUAGGGGCUGGCAUUAAGUUCCAAAGCACACUUGAAUCUCCACCAGUAGAAGCUCCAUUCUUGCACUUCUAAGAUCUUGAUUUGUCCGACCUCUUCUCUCUUCAACACCUUUGAAAAUGUCUGGCCCCUCCGACCGUCGUUUUGACUUGAACCUUGUUGAAGAGGCAGCCCCGCCUUCUCCAGACAACAUAUGGCGCCCAUCCUUCGUCUCCCCUACUGGUCCUCUACCGUUGGGGAUUCCGUGAUGAAGAAUGAUAUGACCGCUGCGGUGGUGGCCAGGAACCUUCUCACUCCCAAAGAUAACAGACUACUUUCCAAACGGUCUGAUGAGUUAGCUGUUAAGGAUUCUCUGGCUCUCAGUGUUCAGUGUGCAGGUUCUGUGUCUAAUAUGGCCCAACGCCUAUUUGCUCGAACCCGCCAAGUUGAAUCAUUGGCGGCUGAAGUGAUGAGUCUCAAACAGGAGAUUAGAGGGCUCAAGCAUGAGAAUAAACAGUUGCACCGGCUCGCACAUGACUAUGCUACAAACAUGAAGAGGAAGCUUGACCAGAUGAAGGAAUCUGAUGGUCAGGUUUUACUUGAUCAUCAGAGAUUUGUGGGUUUGUUCCAAAGGCAUUUAUUGCCUUCGUCUUCUGGGGCUGUACCGCGUAAUGAAGCUCCAAAUGAUCAACCUCUGAUGCCUCCUCCUUCUAGGGUUCUGUCCAGUACUGAGGCUCCGAAUGAUCCCCCUCCGGUGCCUUCUCUUUCUGGGGCUCUACCGACUGCUGAGACUUCUCCUAAGCAACCUUUGUGAAGGCUCCCUCUUGUUUGUUUAUUUUGACUCAUGUAUAUGUACAUAUUUGUAGCUUAUCGGGGAUAUCAAUAAAUAAGCUUUCCUUCAUUUCAACGUAUUGUGUUAAAUACACCAAAGCCUUCUUCGCUAAGUUCUUUGAAUUUUCUUUUGUUGAAGCUUGUAUGUUGAAGUGAGUGGAGCAUGUAGGUUGAGGUAGUGUUCCCUUAAUUUCCCGAGUGAGGAAAACUUCUCGGUUGGAGACUUGGAAAAUCCAAGUCACUGAGUGGGAUCGGCUAUAUGAAUCUUAGAACGCCAUUGUGCUCGGUCCUGUGUCAUGUCCUUCGUUAGAUCCAAGUACUCUAAGUCUUUUCUUAGAGUCUCUUCCAAAGUUUUCCUAGGUCUUCCUCUACCCCUUCGGCCCUGAACCUCUGUCCCAUAGUCGCAUCUUCUAAUCGGAGCGUCAGUAGGCCUUCUUUGCACAUGUCCAAACCACCGUAACCGAUUUUCUCUCAUCUUUCCUUCAAUUUCGGCUACUCCUACUUUACCCCGGAUAUCCUCAUUCCUAAUCUUAUCCUUUCUCGUGUGCCCACACAUCCAACGAAGCAUCCUCAUCUCCGCUACACCCAUUUUGUGUACGUGUUGAUGCUUCACCGCCCAACAUUCUGUGCCAUACAGCAUCGCCGGCCUUAUUGCCGUCCUAUAAAAUUUUCCCUUGAGCUUCAGUGGCAUACGGCGGUCACACAACACGCCGGAUGCACUCUUCCACUUCAUCCAUCCAGCUUGUAUUCUAUGGUUGAGAUCUCCAUCUAAUUCUCCGUUCUUUUGCAAGAUAGAUCCUAGGUAACGAAAACGGUCGCUCUUUGGUAUUUCUUGAUCUCCGAUCCUCACCCCUAACUCGUUUUGGCCUCCAUUUGCACUGAACUUGCACUCCAUAUAUUCUGUCUUUGAUCGGCUUAGGCGAAGACCUUUAGAUUCCAACACUUCUCUCCAAAGGUUAAGCUUUGCAUUUACCCCUUCCUGAGUUUCAUCUAUCAACACUAUAUCGUCUGCGAAAAGCAUACACCAAGGAAUAUCAUCUUGAAUAUGUCCUGUUAACUCAUCCAUUACCAACGCAAAAAGGUAAGGACUUAAGGAUGAGCCUUGAUGUAAUCCUACAGUUAUGGGAAAGCUUUCGGUUUGUCCUUCAUGAGUUCUUACGGCAGUCUUUGCUCCUUCAUACAUAUCCUUUAUAGCUUGGAUAUAUGCUACUCGUACUCCUUUCUUCUCUAAAAUCCUCCAAAGAAUGUCUCUUGGGACCCUAUCAUACGCUUUUUCCAAAUCUAUAAAGACCAUGUGUAAAUCCUUUUUCCCAUCUCUAUAUCUUUCCAUCAAUCUUCGUAAGAGAUAGAUUGCCUCCAUGGUUGAGCGCCCUGGCAUGAACCCGAAUUGGUUGUCCGAAACCCGUGUCUCUUGCCUCAAUCUAUGCUCAAUGACUCUCUCCCAGAGCUUCAUUGUAUGACUCAUUAGCUUAAUACCCCUAUAGUUCAUGCAAUUUUGUACGUCGCCCUUAUUCUUGUAGAUAGGCACCAAAGUGCUCGUUCGCCACUCAUUUGGCAUCUUCUUCGUUUUCAAAAUCCUAUUGAAAAGGUCAGUGAGCCAUGUUAUACCUGUCUCUCCCAAAACUUUCCACACUUCGAUUGGUAUAUCGUCUGGGCCUAUUGCUUUUCUAUGCUUCAUCUUCUUCAAAGCUACAAACCACUUCUUCCUUCCGGAUUCGACGAUAAAAAGAGUAGUUUCUACACUCUUCUGAGUUACUCAACUCCCCUAAAGAAGCACUCAUUUCAUGUCCUUCAUUGAAAAGAUUAUGAAAAUAACCUCUCCAUCUGUCUUUAACCGCGUUCUCUGUAGCAAGAACCUUUCCAUCCUCAUCCUUGAUGCACCUCACUUGGUUUAGGUCCCUUGUCUUCUUUUCCCUUGCUCUAGCUAGUUUAUAGAUAUCCAACUCUCCUUCUUUGGUAUCUAGUCGUUUAUACAUAUCGUCGUAAGCCGCUAACUUAGCUUCUCUCACAGCUUUCUUCGCCUCUUGCUUCGCUUUUCUAUACCUUUCACCAUUUUCAUCGGUCCUAUCCUUGUAUAAGGCUUUACAACAUUCCUUCUUAGCCUUCACCUUUGUUUGUACCUCCUCAUUCCACCACCAAGAUUCCUUUUGGUGUGGGGCAAAGCCCUUGGACUCUCCUAAUACCUCUUUUGCUACUUUUCGGAUACAACUAGCCAUGGAAUCCCACAUUUGGCUAGCUUCCCCCUCUCUAUCCCACACACACUGGGUGAUUACUUUCUCUUUGAAAAUGGCUUGUUUUUCUUCUUUUAGAUUCCACCAUCUAGUCCUUGGACACUUCCAAGUCUUGUUCUUUUGUCUCACUCUUUUGAUAUGUACAUCCAUCACCAACAAGCGAUGUUGAUUAGCCACGCUCUCUCUUGGUAUAACUUUGCAAUCCUUACAAGUUAUACGAUCCCCUUUCCUCAUUAGAAGAAAAUCUAUUUGUGUUUUUGACGACCCACUCUUGUAGGUGAUCACAUGUUCUUCUCUCUUCUUAAAGAAGGUGUUGGCUAAGAAGAGAUCAUAUGCCAUUGCAAAAUCCAAGAUAUCAUAUGUUCUUUCUCCUUAUUCUUGGACAAAAUUGCACCUAUAAAACAAAUAACAACUUAGAUCAAGGCCAAGAGUCUCACGCGCCCACGAUGAAUUUGGAGGGGGGGCUUUGGUCGAAAAACCUCCGAUGCCAAAGUUAGAAUUUUGAGGGAAAAGUGUUUUGAGAAUUUUGAGUGUUUAGCAAGAGUGAAGACUAAGGUUUUUAAAGAAAAUAAGGUAGAAUAUAUAAGGCAUGGCCGGCCCCCUUGGGAGAGAAGAUGACCAGCUUCUUGUGUGUAUUUUUGGGUUUAAUUGGUAGUUUAAUUAGACAUUAAUAGAUUAAUUAGGUAAUAAAUUCACUAAUUAGCUAAUUAACAUAAUUUAAAAGGAAUGUUUUGGGGGUUACCUUGUGGAGAAGAUAUGAUGAGGGACGGAUGAAAUAUGUUAUAAAUAAAUACCUAUUUGGGCACUUUUAACUUGAUUGAGGGAUGAUUGUCCACUGCUCACGUGUAUAAAUUCCGGUGUGCCUCAAAGAUAAUUUUGUCCUUUUAACCCAAAAAUCCACGUGUCGCCUCUUGACUAUUUUUUGCUCCACAAUCAUGUCCUGUCCACUUUACUUUUAACACAACGAACAACGAAUUAGAUUAAAGUCUAUUUUAACUAGUACAUGCUUACAUAUAUUGUGUGAACAAUUUCAUUUUAUUUUGUUUUGUAUUAUAAAGUGUUGAUUAUUUUAAAAUUUCUUGAAAAAGCUUACAUGAGGUGCUCGGAUCAGAGUCGAUCGUUUUCGAGUCGUAACCCUUUUCGGAGCAGUGGGGAAGAUGGUGGCUUGGUAGUUGUGUUGGGUGAUCUCUGCCUCUUAUGAAGCUUUUUCUAUUUUUCUAUUUUUCUAAUUUUUAUUGUUAAUUUUCUUUUUAUUUGUUUGUUAUUAAAUUUUGUGGGAUCCACAUAUGUGUCACGUUAACAUUCUAACAGAAGUUUUGACGAAAAUAUAAUGGCAAAUUGAUUUGUAACAUCCAAUUCAAAGGCUACACUGAUCGAUUUCAAUUUCAAAGGUCACCUUAAUUAGUGCGUCGAUUUCCGACUAUUUGCGUUAAAGACACAUUUUAGAAAAAUCUACUACACAAAGCAGUGGGGAAGAUGGUGGCUUGGUAGUUGUGUUGGGUGAUCUCUGCCUCUUAUGAAGCUUUUUCUAUUUUUCUAUUUUUUAUUGUUAAUUUUCUUUUUAUUUGUUUGUUAUUAAAUUUUGUGGAAUCCAGAUGUGUGUCACGUUAACAUUCUAACAGAAGUUUUAACAAAAAUAUAAUGGCAAAUUGAUUUGUAACAUCCAAUUCAAAUGCUACACUGAUCGAUUUCAAUUUCAAAGGUUACCUUAAUUAGUACAUCAAUUUCCGACUAUUUGCGUUGAAGACACAUUAUAGAAAAAUCUACUACACAACGUGUGGGGGGUGUUGAUUUGAACGCCCGGUGAAGCACGGGAAGACCAAAACAUGUAGCCAGAAAAUUCGGUGUCUCGCCUUCCCAACUCGCUCGACCUAUAUAUGUGUGCUGAAACACAGAGUCGAAAACAAACAACGCACGACAUUCUCCGUUUCUCAUCAAACUAGAUUAUUUUACGUUCUCUCUGCAAAGCGUUGGAAUUUCUGUUCUUCUUUCAUCACCCAAGAACAGAUUACGUAAUUGAAUUAAGUUUUGAGUCUCAUUGUUUCCGUAAAUUAUGUCUCUGGUUUCGGUCGGAAUGGGUGCUCUGAGAACGUCAUUUCAAAUGCUGUUUGAUGCUGUAAAAUCAGCGCAGGAGGAGAAUACAAUGUUCCAACACCUACUCGGAAACAUCAAAUCCACACUGGAAUCUCUACAACCACUUAUCAAAGACAUCGAAAAGUAUAACUCCAAGGAGGGGCGGGAAAAUUAUGCAAUACAGAUGGAGGAAGGAGCAAAGCUUGUUCAAAAGUGCAGCAAAGUUGGCGUGUGGAGAAAACACACAUACACCAAGAAGCUUAAUCAACUGGACAAAUCUCUUCGAAGAGUGUUUGAUGUGCUUAAACUGCAGGUUAUGAGGGAUGCGAGGGAGACGUUGGUUCCUUUGAGGAAUAUCGAGACGGUGCUCUCUCGAAUAGAAGAGAGAUUGAAGAUAAAAAAUAACCAGCCUGAAAUGGUUAAAUGUUCGUCUGCGGUGCCUGAAGCGCCAUCGGUUACAGUCGGGUUGGAUUUGCCGUUGAAGGAGUUGAAGGUGAAGCUCCUUAAGGAUGAAAAGGUGUCUAUGCUUGUGCUGACCGCUGCUGGAGGAUGCGGGAAAACCACCUUGGCUAAAAUGUUUUGUCAAGAUCAAGAAGUCAAAGGUAUACUAUUUAUGAUUUCAACCAUACACAGUAACCAAAAUUUGUUAAAAGAAAAACAACGAAGGGGACAUGAAACUAAAGCGCACGAAAGGAAUAUAAGAAAGAUUAGAAAGACCUAUAUUCUCUGUACUAAAGUUAAGCUGAUGCCUUCCUUUUAUUAACACCUUUCCUACAUUCUGUUUGAAUAGAUACAUUCAAGAACAACAUCUUCUUUGUCAAUGUCUCGAAAAAACCCAACUUGGACCUUAUUGUACACGAACUAUAUCAACGGAAGGGGUCCGAGCUGCCUGCUUUCGAAAACGAAGACAUGGCAGCUAACUGGUUGCAACAAUUUCUGAUGGAAUCAAGACAAAAUCCUCUACUGUUUGUCCUGGAUGAUGUUUGGUCAGGAUCAGAGUCCCUUCUUGAGAAGUUUGAUCAAUUCAAGUUUUCAAAUUACAAGAUUUUGGUCACAUCAAGAUUUGCAUUUCCAAGAUUCGGUUCUCCUUAUCAUUUGGCACCAUUGAAUGAUGAAGAUGCAAUGGCUCUUUUUCACUAUUCUGCAUCCUUGGAAGAUAAGAGCUCUUAUACUUACGAAGAUCUUUCGAGAAAGGUGAUUUCUUAGUCCACAAUACACACACACACACACACACAUAUAUAUAUAUGCUUAUUUAUGCCUCAGAAGAAGGUAAAGAAAUAACAUUUGAGCAUCCACACACGUUAAUGAACUGUGAAGAAUGAGGUAAGAAGAAUGAAUGACUAGACAGUUUACAAUUUUAUCAUCUUUAUGAAACCAUUUAGAUGAUUUUCAACAAUUUAAUCAAAUAAUAAUAAUUGAGUUCAUUUUGGAUAAUGAUAUUGCAGAUUAUCAAGCGCUGUAAGGGAUGCCCACUUGCCAUUGCAUUGGUUGGGAGAUCACUUCGCGGCCAGCCUAUAGAAAUCUGGCAGAAAAGAGUAGUGGAAUGGUGCAAAGGUUCAUCUAUUCUUGAUUCUGACAAGGAUUUACUUGCUUGCCUCCAAAGCAGCUUAGAUGCCUUGGAUAAGGAGAAGGUUAUCAUCAAGGAAUGUUUCCUCGAUCUAGGUUCUUUUCCGGAGGACCAAAGAAUUGCUGCUGCCGCUCUCAUUGAUAUGUGGGCGCAGUUAUAUGGUCUAGAUGAAGAAAUUCUGACCAUUGCCAACCUUCACGAGCUCACCGCUCGAAGUUUAGCUAAUCUUGUUGUCACAAGGUAUGCAGGCUGCUCAUAAGUUUUUCUAUUUAAUUAUGUAUGCCGAACAAAUCAUUAAAGAAAAUAGUAUUGAUCAUCCAGACAUGAGAGGGAGACAGAUGGCUAUUACACUGAACACUUUGUCACCCAGCACGACAUGCUUAGAGAGUUGGCGAUCCAUCAGGCGAGUCAAGACCCAAUAGAACAUAGGAAACGACUAUUUAUAAACAUAUGUGGGGUCAAACUUCCUAAGUGGUUGACAGAACAAAAGUAUAAAGCGAUCAAGGCUCGACUAUUAUCUAUCUCAACAGGUUCCAUCAAUCUCUCCUUAGUUAAUACUUAAUACAUGUGCACUCGGGACACACGUGUGCACACACACACACACACAUUUAGGACUUCCACACAUUUAGGCUAAUAUCUUGAAGCUUAUUGUUUGCAGAUGGAGCCUUCUCAGCAAAAUGGCCAAACAUGCAAGUACCCGAAGCAGAGGUUCUAGUUCUGAAUUUUCAAACAAAGAACUAUGCCUUACCUGAGUUUGUGGAGAAAAUGGAUAAACUAAAAGUUCUAAUACUAAAUAAUUAUGGUUUGUUACCUGCUGAACUAGAUAAUUUUGAACUACUUGGUUCGCUAUCAAAUCUUAAGAGAAUUAGAUUAGAACAUAUUUCAGUUCCUUCCAUAAGCAAGGUCCUCAAACAGUUGAAAAGUUUGCAAAAGAUAUCUUUUUUCAUGUGUGAUAUCGGCCAAGGUUUCGUCCAAAUUUUAGAUGCACUGCCAAAUCUAGUGGAAUUAAACAUUGAUUAUUGCCAUGAUCUGGUGCAACUUCCUGCCAACCUAUGUGACCUUGUUCACCUUAAGAAGCUUAGCAUCACCAACUGUCAUAAGCUAUCUGCCUUGCCUGCAGACAUUGGAAAGCUAGUCAAUCUAGAAGUGUUGAGGCUUAGGUCAUGUGCAGACUUGUUAGAGUUGCCAGGCUCGAUUAGGAACCUUGAAGUUUUGAAAUUUCUCGACAUAUCCGAUUGCUUUAGCAUAAAGGAGUUGCCCGAGGACAUUGGUGCAAUGUGCAGCAUGGAAAAGAUCAACGUGAGCCAGUGUUCAAGACUGAGAGAGCUGCCUGCUUCUGUUAUGGAUCUUGAGCAGUUGAACGAAGUGAUAUGCGACGAGGAGACGAAAACCUUAUGGGAACCCUUCUCGCCAUUUCUCACAAACAUGAGCGUAAAGGUGAUCAAAGAAGAUAUCAACCUAAAUUGGCUCAACAAGCUUCCAUCCUAAGGCUAUGGUCCUUCCAUCAAUGAGUGUUGGUGCAAUGUAUGCAGUAUGAUUGUGUUUAAUGUUAUUUUUCCUUUGUAAUUUACUUCUAUUUUAUGUUUUAUGUGUUUUUAAAUAACAUGGCAGCACUGUAAAUUAUUGUAAUUAUUCACCAUGGCUGUUAUUGUAAAUAACAUGUUUGCACUCCUCAUUGUUCAAUUCUUCAUUGAUUCUCUUUGAUUUAUCCAAUCAAUGGGUGUUUGUGCAAUGUAUGCAGGGAUAAAGGCAAGGAAAGAAAAUAAGGAAAAUUAAUUAAAAGGACUUGAAAACUUUGAGUUUUAACGAAAAUGACAAAAUAAAUGGGAAAAUGAAUAGUACCAUGAUUGACUUUUUAGUGUAAAAAUAUGGUUUUUUGUUAAAAUGAACAGUAUCGGAAGUUUUUUGUUAAAAUUCCCAAGAAAAUAAGAGUUAAAAAAUAACUGGCCUUUGAUUUAUUCAAUCAAUGUAUUAACUCUAUUGGUUGUUUCUCCGCUCUCUCUCUCUUGUUGAACCUCUUCAUCCCCUUUCAGUUAAAUAGGUCAUAACAUUACUGUUUUAUUUUAAGGGUAAUGCUAAGGAUAUUAAAUUUGUAGACAAAAUUUUGCAAAUUAAGUGACAUAGAAGUUGAUAAUUAGAUUAUGAUGUGCUUAAUCCUAUUGGUAACAUAUUAUUUAGUUUGCAAAUUUUGUCCCCAUAACAUUACUCGUAUUUAAAACUAUUUAUUCAAGAGCACAACAUUUUUUUUACUAUUUUAUUUUAAACUAUUUAUGCUACAGCACAACAUUUUAAAAGUAGUUCAAUACCAAAUCAUAUGUACUAGAAAAUUAUAUAUCUCCUCGUCUCCUAACAGCGUGUCAAAUGUCUUUCCCAGCUCGUUCGUUUUCUUUGGGUGAAAUUCAUUGCUUGUUCGUUAAGUUGUAUAUAUGUGUGCUGAAACCAACAAACAACUUACAUAUCAUUCUCACUUGCUCAUCAAACUAGAUUAACAAAGAGGAUUAAGGGUCAGUUUGGGAUUGCUAUGUUUUUAAAAAAACUAAUUAUGUUAUGUUUUAUGAAUAAUCAGUUGUAAAAUAAAGCCGAUGACCGUUUGGUUAAUUGAAUUUUAAAAGUCCUAUGAAUAUGAAAAGCAGCGCAAAAGCGUUUGGUAAAAUUUAAUGUAAAAGUGAUAUAAUUGUACACAAUGAUAGAUGGACAUAGUAGUAGGAAUGGGGGCAACGACAGCAGUGGUAGUAAUGGAGGUGGUGGUUGCAGUGGAGGAAGUGAUGGUGGUGCUAAUAGUGGGAUGUGUUGGUUGAGGUGGAAAGGUAACACAGGUGGUAAGGCGUGGUGGUGCUAAUAGUGGGCUGUGUUGGUUGAGGUGGAAAGGUAACACCGGUGGUAAGGUGGUGGCAGUGGUCAUGAUGGCAAUGGUGGCAGUUGGAGUUAUGUUAGUGUCGACAAUGAUAACAAUGAUGGUGGUAAUGAUAGUUGUGGUUGUGAUGGCAAUGGUGGUAGUUGUGGUAAUGGUGGUGGUGAUGGUGUUGGCGAUAACAGCAUCGAUGGUGGUAGUAGUGGUGGUGGCAAUGGCGGCAGUGCGGUGAUGGUAGUGAUGGUGGUGACAAUGAUGGUAGUGAUGACAGUGGUGGAGGUUGUGGUUAUGGCGGUGGUGGUGGUGGUGACAAAAAUGAUGGUUGCAAUGACGAUGAUGGUGUAAGGUUAGUAUUUGGAGUGGUAGGUGGUAGUCUUUACUUUAUUCUCUAAGGAAUAGAGGAACAGAAUGUGUGUGGAAGGCUAAACAAUGUCAUUUAAAAAAAAUUAAUGAAGGUAUUACAGCAAUUAAAAAUACUUAUUAUAGACCUUUCUUUUUACUAAAGCAGCUUUUAAAAGCAACUUGCAGGCUGCUUUUAAAAGCUAUUGUCUGGAGCCCAUUGUUUAGAGUCUCUUUGUUUUGGUAAGUAUGUCUCUGGCUUCAAUCAGAAUGGGUGCUCUCAGAACGGCAUUUAAAAUGUUGUUUGAUGCUGUAAAAUUAGCGUAGGAGGAGAAUAAAAGGUUCCAACACCUCUCCCGAGACAUCAAGUUCACACUCGACUCUGUACAACCACUCAUCAAAGACAUCGAGAAACGUAUAACUCGAAAGAGGGACUGCAAAAUUUUGCAAUACAGAGGGAGGAGGGAGCAAGCUUUCAACAAUUGUUACAUCUCAAUCUCAUUGGCAUUUCUGAAUCUAGAAGAAAUGUACAUCGACUAUUGCAGUGAUUUAAUAGAGUUGCUUACCAAGAUUUGUAAUCUUAGUAAAUUAAAGAAGCUUAGCGUCACUAACUGUUACAUCUCAAUCUCAUUGGUAUUCCUGAAUCUAGAAGAAAUGUAAAUCGACUAUUGCAGUGAUUUAAUAGAGUUGCCUUCCUCUCCCUUUCAUUGUUUUCACUUUCUUCUUCCUCCUCCGACAUACACACACGGACGACAACGGCAACACCACCAUUUGUGUGGCCGUGAAAUCCUUAAUCCAAAACCCUAAAAAAUCAAGAACCUUCCUCACCGCCACUGCCCUCGCUUCGCUUCUCGCUGUCUCCAAUCCAGCCUAUCUUCAUCUCGCUGUCUCCAAGUUGUAUACUUUGAAGGAGGAGAAAUUGAAGAUGGAUAACGGAGGCAGCGACUCAAUCCUCUUCUUCUCGCUGUUUUCAGUCCAACCUCUUUUCCUUCCACAAGCAGCGACUCAAGGUUAUCUUCUCCACCUCCUCCUCGUUUUCUUUUUUCUGAAUUGAAACAAAUUCAAAGUUGUAAACUUUGAAGAAGGAGAAAUUGAAUUGUUGUUGUUCUUUUUGUCUACAGAUUCUUGAAGUAGCAGAGGAAAAAUGAGAGUUUUAUGUUUUUGUUUGUUUGUUUGUUUUUUUUUUUUUUUUUUUGCAAUUAUCAGUUUUGGCUGUGGUAGUCUAGUGGGUUUCUGGGUUUCUGUGUUUCCAUUUCUAUUGCAGAUCAGCAAAGCCAUUUCUGGUGGGUUUCUGGGUUUUGUGGAGAUCGGCAAAGGAGCACUGUUUCUUGUUUGAGGGUGUUAUUGGACUUUAGAAAGUUUCAUUAAAGGAGCACUGUAGCUCUGCGUGCUUUGAAAAAAAGCCAGUUUUCCAAAGCAGCAUUUUAGGUGCUUCAGCUUUUCUGAUGAUUUCAGCUUAUUCAAUCCAUUUUUUUUGAGUUUACCAAACACCUUCAACAUAAAAACUUUGAAAAUAAGCAACUUUUUUUUAAGCACCUCAAUGCCAAACCAUACGUAACUGUCAUAAGCUAUCUGCCUUAGCUGAAGGGAUUGGAAAGUCGGAAAAUUUAGAAAUGUUGAGGCUAAGAUCCUACACAGAACUGUUAAAGUUUCCAACCACGAUGAAGAACCUUGGAAAGGUAAAAUUUCUCGACAUAUAUGUUUGCUUCAGCAUCAAGAUGUUGCCUAAAGACAUAGUUGAAAUGGGUAGUUUAAAGAAGAUCAACAUGAGACAAUGCUCAAGGUUGCAAGAGCUGCCUCCAUCAGUCAUGGAUCUUAAGCAGUUAAAGGAAGUUGUCUGUGAUGAAGAGACAAAAUACUUAUGGGAAUCUCUCAUUGUGUCUCAACAACGUAAGGAUAAUUAUAUCAACCUAAAUUGGAUCCACAAGACUCAGUUCUGAUACUUGUGUUUCCUCGGUGAACGUGGGCUUCAUAAAUAGUAGUGUGGGAUAUUGCACGGUAUAAUCAUUUGUUGUUAAAUGAGCACUAUUUUGACAACCUUAAGAAAUUUUCUAAACUAGUGAAAUGUGAAGGGAAAUUUAAUAUCUGAGCAAUAAGUUUAAUGUGAAAGUUGUUUUAUCAGAGGGAAAAUGUGGUUUGUGUUUUUAAUGGGACUUCUUAAACUCUACUCUAACAUAGUUUCACAAUCAAUCCCUAUACGCAGUUUCUUAACCUUUUGGUUUGAAAAUUUGUAUGUAUAGUUCAACACCAUAGUGUGAUUAUGCUUCCCAAAAUACGUUUUAUAAGUAAAGGAACCAAAAAGAAAAGGUUGAAGAGUCUCCAUAAGACAAGAACUUUUAUGUCACAGGGUCAGGUAUUAAUCUCAUCGUCAGUAAGUUUCUCAAGUAUCUAUAUUCACAUUUGUUAGUCAAGUUUUCAGAAUUGUGUUCGCAUAUAAUCUGAGUUCAUUGCCAAAUGUAGUGGAAUUGAUUGUUAUUGACUAUUUGCGAUGAAUUGGUCUCAUACUAUAGUUCAACACCACCAUCUGAUUCAUGCUCUCCAAAAUAAAUUUUAUAAGUAAAAGGAACAAAAAAGAAAAGGUUGAAGAUUCUCCAUAAGAUAAGAACUUUUAUGCCAUGGUGUCAGGUGUUAAUCUCGUCCUCGAUAAGUUUUUCUAGUAUCUAUACUCACGUCUAUUGGUCAAGUUUCCAGAACAUGUGUUCACAUAUAAUUUGGAUUCAUUACCAAAUCUAGAAGAAUUGAUUGUUGUUGACUAUUGCAAUGAAUUGGUCUCAAACUAUGUUUUCCAACCAGCACAGAUUGAUCAGCUUUUUUUUUUUUUUUUUUUUUUUAAUAAAAAAAAGUUGUUUGAUUAGUCUCGUUCAAUACCGUUACGUGAUCAGCUUAAACUUAGUGGAAAUUAGGUUCACAUCCUUCUUUUUGUUACUCCAUUGAUUAAAAUCCUAUUCAUUUUCAAUUUUUGAUCAAGGUCCUUGGGUAUUAAUUACAUCAUUAAUUAUUUGAAUAAUAAAAUAUUUUUAUUUUUAAAUAUAUUCCUUUAGUGUUAAAAAUGUUACAUUUAGUAUAUUUAUAUUUAUGGUUAAAAAUUUUACCAUAUAUUUUUAUUUUUAGUUUGUACCUAUUUUUAAUUUGCAAAUAUUUUUUAAUGUACCAAUUUUCUUUUCAUUUUUAAUUUGUACCCAUAUAUUAGUUUCUUUUUGUGCCCAUAUUUUUAAAAUUUUUAUUUGUGUUUGGAUUCAUGUGUAUACCGUCACGUGACAUUGUAUAUUUAAUCAAUGAUAGAAAAAUUACAUAUGGUAUAUUUAUGUUUUAUGCCUAAACUUUGUAUCAUAUAUUUAUAUUUUUAGUUUGUACCCACUUUUAAUUUGCAACAUUUUUUUUUUAAAUUUGUAGUAUUUUCUUUUUAGUUUUAUUUUGUACCCAUGUAUUAAUUUCUUUUAGCGCCUAUAUUUUUUUUAAAACUUCAUUUGUACUCAUAAUUUUCUAAUCUUUUAUCUGUACCCUAAUUUAUUUAUAAUGUAUCCAUUCUUCUUUAUUAAUGUACCACUUUGUUAUAUGUGAAAUGUACCAAUUUUUUUAACACUAUUGAUAGAUUCUUUUGCCAUUUAUUAUUUCUUAUUUUAACAUAGUUUUUAUCCAUUUAUUCAAUCAAAAUGUUUGAAUUUUUUUAUUGUAACUGUUUCUAAUAGUAUUAUAAUGAGGGAUUUUAAAUUUAUAGGAUUAUAAAUCUCAUAAAAUAUCAAACAAUUAAUGUCAAAACUAUAAAAAUAUAAAUAUUAAUAGUAAUAUAAUGAGGUGUACAAAGUCAAGGGACUUUGAUCAAACUUUGAAUACUAUUAAAGUUUUAAUCAAAGAAUGUUAAGGAUUAGAGACCGCAUCCAAAAUAUCUCAAAAUAUUUUUCUUGUUCAAAAUUUUAAUAGUUAAACUAAUAAAGAACGGGCCAUAUUUUCUUUCUUUUAAAAGUUGUUCACAUAGAAGUGGUCAUUGACAAAGUAGAUAAUGAAUAAACAUUGUAAUUUGGAUGAAAAUACACAAAUUCAAUACUUUAAUUAGAUUUAUAUACUUUAAAUGAAAAUAAACAAGUUUAAUAUUCUUAGAGAAGGGCACAAUAGAAAUUUCACAACUAAGAAUUGAUUAUAGCAUGCCAAUACUUAAAAAGCUGACUUGGCUUUGUAAUGGGAAGGGUACAAAGAAAUUUCACAGCUAAAAAUUAAUUAGAUCAUGACAAUGAGGUAGAUGAGGGGGUUCUUUACUCCAAAUGAACUCUUGAAGUAUUUUUAUAGAGAACUUAUAGUUUUGAAACAAAUAAUUGUACAUUAGAAAAAGAUAGCUCAUAUUUUCAUUGAAAAAGAGAGCUGAUUUUUAUUAAUUAACAUUGAAGUUUUUGCCUAUUAAAAAAAUGUGGGUCUUAUUUUUUAAUAGAGGUAGGACCCACCAACACAUAUUAGUCUCAUCUCUAAUAACAUUUUUUUGCAAAAAUUAUUCACUGCUUCCUAAUAAAGUAAACAAGGUCAAAAGGAGGACAAAUUGGUUUUCUUUUAGCACUAAUACUCUUUUAGAAACUAUGUAUUUGAUUGUAUGAACAAUAAAGUCAUUGUACAAUUUAAAUUUAAAACUCAUAAAGAAAAUUAUACAAGGCAUAAAAAAUUUAUUAAUCAACAUUGAAACUUUUGUGCAUAUUCUAUGAAAACACAAGGAAAUUAUACUAUGAUCUCCUCACAAGAAAUUCUGAACUCUUUCGUUUUUCAUGAACUUGUGAUACACGGUAAAGGGGAUGAAUUCUUCAAUGAAAUAUUGAUACACAAAUGAGACCUAUUCAUAAGUUUAUUGAAAAUAAUGAAGCGCAUAGGAGUACUCCAGCCCAUAAUACAAUUUUCUUGUGUUUUCAUAGCAUAUGCACCCAAAAUAUAAUGUUGAAAAAUAAGUAUUAUUUUUUAUGUAUAUAAAUAUAAUAUUUUCUCAUCUUCUAGUACAAGUUUUGUGCAUAUUCUACAAACCCAAAAAUAAAUUAAAAAUCAACAUCUUAGCAAUAUUUUCUCAAAAAAAAAAUAAAAAAUUGCUCGGUAAACAAAUAUAUUUUUCCACACUAAAUUUCGCAAAUAUCCUAUGAAAAUAUAAGGAAAUUAUACUAUGGUCUCAUCUAAAAAAAAAUUCCAAAAAUUCUCAGCUCUAAACUUAUAAUUCAUGCAAACGGGAUCAAUUUAUCAAAGGACUUAUGAUACACGUAAAUGAGGUCAAUUCAUAAGUCCAUUGACCAUGACAUAUCAUGUGAAUGGGAAUAGAGAAGCAUACGAGUUUCUUAUGUGUUCAUGGCAUGUGCACAAAAUGUUUUAUUGGUGUUGAAAAUUGUGUAUGUAUAUCAGCAUAUUUUCUCAUCUUGUAGUAUGCUAAAGGAGUAGAUCGCAACAUCUUCAUAAUAAAUUCUCUACCUAGCUUACUCUAGGCUUAUGAAUUCACUCGCAACAAAAUUUGAACUGAAAAAAAAAAGUGACUUUCUUUUAGCACUAAUAAUAGUUUUUUUUUUUUUUGAAUAAACGAUAUUAUAUACCCUAAGAGGGUGGGGAGUGAGCUAAACCUCACAAUGGCUAGCAAUAAUGUGGUUCAAAGUGGUUCAAUGUGGUUCAAAUUUGUCUUUUGUGGAAAUCGAACUUAAGACUUCUCACUUACAAGUGAAAAGAAACACCACUAGACCAUAGUAUUAAGUGGCCUAAUAAUAGUUCUUUGAAAAACUAUAUAUUUGAUUGCAUAAACAAUAAAGUCAUUGUAUAAUUUAUAUUUAAAUUAAAACUCAUAAAGAAAAUUAUAAUUGUCAAGCCCUGAUCCCGACAUAUGUCCAAGAUCGACACAUGAUGUCAGCUCAUCCCUAUUUAUUUAUCAUCUCAUCUCCGAGACAAGUCCAAAACCCAAUCAAUGAUUCAACCAAGCAGUGACUUUCCUUUAUUUCAUGGCUGAAUCUAACAUUUGCAUUAGACUGCCUAUGUACCCUAAAUAGGGAUCAAGCCAUUCAUAGUUCACCAUUCACUACACUCCAAUGUUUAUCACAGUACGUUCUAACAAAAAGGCAUAGCAUCCCUCAAUCAAUUAUUAAAACUUGACAAGCAUGAAAUUACUAGAUUUAGGGCUACAUAAUAAACCCACAUGACAAUCAAGAUUUCCACAUCAUCCAUCAUAUAAAUCACUAUGUUUCAACAUAAUAUUGCAAUUCAUAGCAUGCAACAUCUCAAAGAACAAUCAACGAAGCGUAAUAUUAUUCUCUAGCCACAUUGGUCAACGAGUCUAACCAUAAUAAUAACAAUCAUAUCCAACAUCAUUCCACAAUCACUCCAAUUAAUCAAUUCCAUGAAUCAAAGAAGCACGAUAUUAACAUUUAACUACGUUCAUCAAUCAAUACGAUCACAUAUUAAUUCACAAAAUUUAAUAAAGGAAUCCUACAUAAUUUCCUACCUGGAUUCCAAGUAAUAACAUGAUAAAUCUAAUUUAUAAACACAAUGUCUACUGUGAGCAAUUCCUAUUCACUCGAAUCUAGGGGCCGGAAAUGAGCAAGAAUAGGGAUUAUGGACAGUCACCGGAAUCUAACUAAAUUAUGGUUGCCUAUCGAACUGUACUGAGUACAACUAAUCCUCAUCACCCCUAGAAUGCAUAUGGUCCCCUAUUGCGAAUAUACCAAGCAGAACCAUAGGCAUAAUCUAAGCAUGCAUGCAGUGAUCACCCAUCGAGGAUAUACCAAGCAUGAUCACCCUUGAAAUACGUAUGGUCCCAUAUCACAGAUAUAACAAGUAGGGCAAUAUCCUAUAGCUUUAGGUUGUGAUCACCCAUCGCGGAUAUACCAAGCAUGGUCACUCCUAGAAUGCGUAUGGUCCCCCCAUUAUGGAUAAACCAAGCAGAACCAUAUGCAUAGUCUAAUAAUGUAGGCAGUGAUCACCCAUCGUGGAUAUACCAGGCAUGAUCACUCCUAGAAUGUAUAUGGUCCCUCAUUGCAGAUAAACCAAGCAGAACCAUAAACAUAGUCUAAUAGUGCAUGUGGUGAUCACCCAUCGCAGAUAUACCAAACAUGAUCACUCCUGAAAUACGUAUGGUCCCCUAUUGUGGAUAUACCAAGCAGAACCAUCCUAACCACUGCUACAUGGUGCAGUCAUAUCAAUACACAAUAAUUACCAAAUUAAUAUGAAUCAUAAUUCCUAGCAUACACACCAUCAAUCCGAUAAGACAACGAUCAUUGAAUCACAUCGUACACAUUCUAUAACAUGUGUCAUUUCAUCAUGAAUCACAAUUUCAAUUGUACAUGCUAUCAAUUCCACUUAACUAACCAGUCUCCAAUUAUCCAUACAAAUGAGUUCUACGGAAUAGUUCUAACGAGGUUCCAACUCAUAUUUUCAUACAAUAUAUAUAUGAUAGAAAAGUAAUAUUUUAAUAUAAAACACAUUUAUAAAACCAUGCCAUAUCCAUUAAAUAUACUAGCAAGGGAAUUUUUAGGGUAAUCAUUGAUACCACAUGAUUAGAACAUUAGUCCUUGCCAAAAAAAAAAAAAAAAAAAAAAAAAAACCUAACCCUAGAUUACAUAUUCAAUUUAAUCUCUUGAAGUGUACUUUUAUCAAAAUUUAUAUUCAAUUUUUGUUAUUUAAUGUGUAUUUUUAUUUAAUCUCUCUACAUUAAAUUUUAAUUUUAUUAAUGCACAUAUUUAGUCCUUUAAUUAUAAAUGAACACAAAUGAGAAAAUAUUUAAAAAAAGUUGCGAUACAAAAAUAUAUAAAUACAUAAGUGUACAGAAAUGACUGUGCAGAAAUAUAUAAAAUUAACUUUUUUUGCACCGAAAUAUUUGUACCUGCAUGAUUGUACCGAAAUAUAUUAUAAUGAAUCUAAAUGUAUGUACCAAAAUGUAUUAUAUAGAAUUAAUGUACCAAAAUGUCAAUACCGAAAUGUAUGUACCAAAAUGUACAUACCAAAAUGUAUAUGUGAACACGGAAAAUUCCUGAAACGAAAGAGACAAGAACGACGUGCACAAACAAAAUAUUUGUAUUUUUGAAGAUUUUGGGUUACAAUCUCUCUCUAUUUUGAUCCUCUGAUUCGAUCUCCGUAAGGUGUUGAUUGAUGGAUGUUUUGUUGAUCCAAGGGUCGUUGAUGCUUAAUCUUGGAUGAACUGUUGGAAGUUUCUUCAAAGGGCCGUGGGCUUGAUCUUUAAGGUGGAUUUGAGCGGAUCUUCAAGGAGCCGUUGGGGCUUGAUCUUGAAGAACAGUGAUGAACGGAUCUUCAAGGGGUUUUGGGCUUGAUCUUGAAGAACAGUGAUGAACGGAUCUUCAAGGGCUUUUGGGCUUAAUCUUGAAGAACGGUUGGAUGUGUGUGGAUUUGUCGAUGUUUGUUGAUCCAAAGGGCCGUUGGGGCUUGAUCUUGGAUGAACGGAUGAUGAACGAUGGUGCUUUCUUCAAGGGCCGUCGGGGCUUGAUCUUGAAUUGGUGGAAGUUCUUCAAGGGCCGUUGGGGCUUGAUCUUGAAUUGGUGGAUGAUUGUUGAUCCAAAGGGCCGUUGGGGCUUGAUCUUAGGAUGAACGAUGAACGAAGAACGCUUUCUUGAUUCUUCGGGAACCUGGAUGCUUGAGAGCUUCGGAGUUUCAGAGCUUCAGGGCUUCAAGGUGUAAUCUCAAUUGGUCCCCCCAUUUGGAAUGAAAUAGCCUUCUAUUUAUAGAAAUUUCCAAGGCCUAAUUUUGAAUAUAAUAUUCCAGAUGAAAUAAGUCGUUUCUGCCAGGUGUUGACACGUGUCCUAUUUGAUGACUUUUCCAACUCAUUUCAAUUUUCAUUGAGUCACACGCUACGUGUAAAAUUUAUGUAAUACAUGAGCGUUGACACACUUUGAUUUAUCGGUCAACAUUUAUUUACCGAAAUUUCGAUGUCUACAAAUGCCCCCACUUCAAGGCACGUCGUAUACAUGUGCUUGUCACGUGUAGGAGAUGCGUUUUGAAGUCCCUUACUGUAGAUGUCGAUCCAAGGGCCGUCGAGGCUUGAUCUUGAAUUGGGCUGGAGAUUUCUUCAAGGGCCGUUGAGGCUUGAUCUUGAAUUGGGCUUGAGAUUUCUUCAAGGGCCGUUGAGGCUUGUUCUUGAAUUUUUGUUUGAAAUUUCUUCAAGGGCCGUCGAGACUUGAUCUUGAAGGUUGAAAUUGGACCACAAGGAGCUUCAUGUGGUAGAUGAUCUUUGGCUUUGGUAGUGGGUGAAUCGGCACAUAUUUUGUUGCGCUUGUUGACUUUCCACAGCUUUGAUCUUGAACUGGGUUGAAGGAUUUUCUGGAUUCCUCCAAUUGUUGAUUUUCCACAGCUUAUUCUUGAACUAGGUUUUGAUUCAAGGGUGGUAGACACUUAAUCUUGAAUCGGACUUGUAAUUUCCUCAAAAGCCGUCGAGGCUUGAUUUUGAAUUUGGCUGGAAGCUUCUUCAAGGGCCGUUGAGGCUUGAUUCUUGAAGGCUGACUCGAACACAUGGCAAGAAGGCACGAGGUGAAGGUGACGACUUGUUGCUUUGUUCAAUCUUUCUAAUUCACACCUGAGCAGUUUGGUCAACGGUAUGAUCUUCAAGAUUGAUGGGCUCUUCUUCCAGUUGGUGACUUGAUCUUUAAGGAUUUGAUUCAAGGGUGGUGAAUCGGCACGUGCAGCCCACAACGCCUAGUAAGUCGACCCAAGAAUUUGAGGGUCAAAACGAGUUCUUCAUCUCAGACUCUUUCUGCCGAGUUGACUGUGCAUGCUGCAUUCUUCUCUGCUUGUUUCUUCAGGCAGAUAUGGCAGCUUCUCGAGUUCUUCAGCUCGGACUCCUUCUGCUGAGUUGACUGUGCAGACUGCAUUCUUCUCUGCUUGUUCCUUCUGCACCUUGUCUCCACAUGCUGCAAGGUAUCAUUUUCACUUGCCUUAUCUGUUCUCCAGGCAGAUGUGGCAGCUUCUUUGGAAGUACAACAGCAGUGGGAAACGAGUACUCGAGAGCAGUGCUAGGUAGGCAAUCAGGGAAGGGUUCCAAGCAGUCGGUUCCUUACCCGAGUUUGAGUGGAAGUUCCGGCAUAUUGUUUUCUUUAUCCUUGUCUUUGUAGGUAAGAACAAGGACAAAGGAAAGGACAGGGAGAACGCAUGAUAUGAGAUAUACUCUUGCUUUCUACCCUGGUGAUAUGAGAUACUUUUGCUUUGGAGUCAUUGGCUUGCAGAGGUACCCCAAGGAAUAAGGAACAUUGAAUGACUCGAGAGGCUUCGUUGGGAAAGCAUUUUUUUGGAGAUGAAGAAAGGCUCUGUAUGUCUGCCUUGCUAUGGAAGGCGAAGGUAGACAAUUAUAGGAAGUUCUUUGAUACCUGUAGAGGUACUAUUCUUUCACUCGUGUCGGCAACCAAUGCGUGAUCGAUCUAUAUGGCUUCACAUGCUUUCUUCUUUAUCAGAAAUCUUUGACAAAUUGUCCGUAAUUUCCGCCAAGCUAAGUGUGCAUGUGACAGGUGUUGACGCGGCUGAAAAAGACUGACGCCUCUUCGAUAACUGGGAUCGGCGCUUCGACAAAUUACCCGUGAUUUCCGCAAAGCUGAGUUUGCGUGUGAUGGGUGCUGACGUGGCUGAAAAAGACUGGCGCCUCUUCGAUAUCUGGGAUCUGCGCUUCGACAAAUUGCCCGUGAUUUUCGCAAAGCUGAGUUUACAUGUGACGGGUGCCGACGCGUCUGGAAAAGCAAGAUGCUUCUCCGAUUUCUGAGCUUGCCUCUUCGAUUUUUGAAUGGCCUCUUCGUAUUCUGAGCUCGCCUCUUCAAUCUCUGAAAUCCCGUCGAGUGCUGAUUUUUUUUUAGAGGCACGCUGUUCGUUUCAAAGCACACUUGAAUUUUACUUGUGAAAACUCCCUUCUUGCACUUCUAAGAUCUUGAUUCGUCCGACCUCUUCUUUCUUCAACACUUUGAAAAUCUCUGGUCCAUCUGACCGUCGUUUUGAUUUGAACCUUGGUGAAGGGGCAGUCCCUUCUUCUCCAGACAACAUAUGGCGCUCAUCCUUCAUAUCCCCUACUGGUCCUCUUACCGUUGGGGAUUCAGUGAUGAAGAAUGAUAUGACCGCUGCGGUGGUGGCCCGGAACCUUGUCACUCCCAAAGAUAACAGACUACUUUCCAGGCGGUCUGAUGAGUUGGCUGUUAAGGAGUCUCUGGCUCUUAGUGUGCAGUGUGUGGGUUCUGUGUCCAACAUGGCCCAACGCCUAUUUGCUCGAACCCGUCAAGUUGAAUCGUUGGCGGCUGAAGUGAUGAGUCUCAAACAGGAGAUUAGAGGGCUCAAGCAUGAGAAUAAACAGUUGCACAAGCUCGCACACAACUAUGCCACAAACAUGAAGAGGAAAAUUGACCAGAUGCAGGAAUCUGAUGGUCAGAUUUUACUUGAUCAUCAGAGGUUUGUGGGUUUGUUCCAGCAGCAUUUGCCUUCGUCUUCUGGGGCUGUACCGCGUAACGAAGCUCCAAAUGAUCAACCUUUGGCUCCUCUUCUUCCUGGAGUUCCGCCGAGUGGUGUGACUUCAAACAGUCAACCUCCGACGUCUCUUUUUCCUAGAGCUCCACCGAGUACUGAGACACCACUUGAGCAAUAAAGACUCCCUCCCGUUUGUUUGCACAUUUGUAAAUUUUUUUUUUUUUUUUUUGGUAUGUAGAAUGCAAUUUUAUGUAAAAUUUCGAGAAAAAAAAACAAAUAAAAUGGACUUUUAUUUCUCUUAAUGCUUUUUUUUUGUUUGCUGUAUAUAUUAUACACACACACAUUUAUAUAUACACAUACAUACAUACAUACAUAUAUAUAUAUAUAUAUUUUUUUUUCUUUCACGUGGAGUGAUCCACCAUCCCAAACCCAUUUUCCCUUUGUUUUUUUUUUUUGCAUGGUGCUAGCCAUCAAGAAUCCACCUUCCCUUUUUUUUUUUAUUAUUUUAUUUUAUUUUUUGGUCUGCUUUCACAUGGUGCUGAUCCACCAUUCCCCUUUUCUUUUCUUUUUUCACGUUGUGCCAGAUGCACCAUCCCCUCCUUUUUUUUUUUCUUAUAAUUAUUAUUAUAUUUUUUUUUCUGUAUAAAUUUGGGUGAUGGGUAGAGGAAUUUGCAGGGAGCGGAGCAAGGAGGCCGAGAAGAUGGUGCUUCGAGCUUCACGACCGGCUAGUCGUUUGACGGCAGUCGUUGAAGUUCUUUGCUAUCAUGGUGGUCAUAGUGACGAGCUCGAGGGAGGCUAGGCGCUGCGGUGGAAGAUGGGCAGAGAUGAGCGGUGCAGCUUUGGAAGUAGCAGGAGAUGACGGAGAAUGAGUCUCGCUCGAUGGCGUUUGAGAUUGGGCUGCCCCAUGCAUUCACAAGUACAUCCUUACCUCGAACCUUUGCGGGGACCAGCUUCUGCUUGGGAACGAUCCUGCAGUGAUGAAGGUGGACUUGGCGAGGCGGAGUGCUAAGACCGGGAGCUGGAUUCGACAGAUGAAGACUCGAAGUUGAUGCCGGUGUUGUGGCGACGGAAGCGUUGUGCAGCAACGUUGUGGGCCCUGGCGUCCGUUUGGCUGUGGGACCACGCUUUUGUACUUGGAGGAAGGGAGCUUCCGAGACUCGACCUCGAAGCUGCCGGUGCCGCCGCUGUUGCUGAGCUUUGAGUCCAGAAGUGCACUGCCCGUGCUGAUGUUGCCGAUGCGGUCGGGAAGGAGGAGUUGACAGCAGGCUGAUCACUAUGAACGGCUUAAGCGGCGGAGAUGGCGACUUGGUCUACUUCAACGGCAAGGAGGAGAUGCAUGAGGCUCAACUCUUGUAGUGCCGUGAGGUGGGAGACCUUCUUGUGGUUGUCAGGGUCUCUGACGGUGGUUCUGACGGCGUAGCCCUUCUGGAGUAGCAGCUUGACCAGCAGAGACACCACGAACCCGGUUCUGCCGAUGACGCAAGCCGUCUUCUUCGAGAUGGGUUGUUGGGUGGCCAUGGCUUCCUCUUCCUCUGUCAGAUUUUUAGUUGAAAAGGUGGGUGAUUUAUAACUCUUUGGAGAUUGGGAACCCUUGGCCGUGGCAGGAACUGAUAUGUUACUUUGUAGAUAUCUCUGGCUUGCUGAUACCGUGCUGUCUAAAGAAAUGCUUUCGUUGCUUGUUUGAGAUGCAAAAUUUGAGGCGUGAUCAUUUCCUGUAUCUAUCAUUCCUUUCGUCUUCUGCAUCGCUUCAAGUAUUUGCUUAAGAGCUUUGAGAUCAUUUCCUGAUUUUUUGAACUCAAGAUCUGCCAGCCUUUUUUUUCAUUUCAACAUAUACUGAAGAUGAUGAAUUUGGAGCUUUUAUAGGUUCUUCUUGUUGUUUGAAAUCUGAUCGUUGAGAACCCUUGCUUCUGUGUGGCUGCCUCCAUGGAGCUGCUUCUAUUGGAAACUUUAGAAUUGGAGAUGGGCUUCAUGACCAGAUCAGUGCCUCUCAUCUGCGGUGAGCUGUCUUUCUUUGUAUUUGCGAGGAGUAUCCCAGAAUAAGUAUCUUGCUUGUUUUCAUUGGUUGCUCUUGAUGAUCUGGAGAAGGGGAAGAGAGAGAGAGAGAGGGAGAUCGAGGAUGUUGAUGUCGGUUGGUUGGGUUGAGCUUGGUGUCGGCGCGGUGGAGCGAAUUGAGAUCAGGACCAAAGCGUCGUCGUCCAGGCUGAUCGAUUUGCGAUCACAUCGAAGCGCAAGCUUCGUGACCGAGUCGAAGUGGGCGAAGAGAGCAGGCAGGAAAGGAAGAAGCCCAGCCUGGGCGUUGAGAGAGGCGGUGCCGGCUCUGUCCGUCGACUCUCAGACACCGGUGGCAGACGAGCGAGCUCCGUUUCCGGUCGCCGGCGCAGAGGAAAUGGAAAAUACUCGCCAGACACUCGUCGGGAAGAUCAGACGUGUAGUCAGGGCCCUGAGUGACUUCCCCGUACAACUCGGAGUCUUCGUCGGUCGAGGAUGAAGCAAUCGCCACCGUUUUGAAGCUGAACCGUCGGCUCGUUGAAAUUUCUCUGGAGCUGUGCUCCGCCGGAGCCUCAGGAAGCCAAGAGGACUGUCCCAUAGUGCUGCUGCAAGUGAAUUGAACGCGCCGCCAGAAGAGAGACAGAGGGAGAGAGAGGUGGUGGUUGGUAUUUUCAACGUUAUCUUAAAAUGCGUGUGUGGGAUCUGUGAGCGACGGCGGAUCUUAGACUGAUCAUCGAGAGCGCGGUAAAUUUACCGGAGGAGGAGACGGCGCUUGAGUCGGUGACUGGAAUGGAGAAGGGUCUGGUUGGAGGAGAAAACCCGAAGUGGGUUUUGAGAGCUGGGCUUAUUGGGAUUUAGAAAGAUGGGCCGCCCUCUUUUUUUUUUUUUUUUUUUCACAAAGAAAAUGUUUGUAUUUGUAAUAAAAAUAUACUCUCAAUAGUCAAAUAUUCAAUAAAAUCUUAUUUAUUUAUUUAUUUAUUUUGAUGUGACUGAACUCGAAAUUGAAUGCUCGAGCUGCCUACGUACCCUUCCAACGAAAAGAUCAAGUCAAAACGUAGUUCAAAUACAUACAUAUUUUUUUUUGGUAUUUUCUCUUUUUUUUUUCUUUUUUUUUUUUGUGCCAUUUGCAGUUUCAGCUCAUGCAAGCAAGGAGCGUUGGUGUUGCCUUUUAUGCUCGUGCAGACCAGGAGCGUUGUGCCAUGCAGUUUAGGCUCGUGCAGGCGAGGAGCUUUGGUUCGUGCAGUUUAGGCUCGUGCGAACAAGGAGCAUUGGUGAAUUUGUCAAGCAAUUUUGGAGAGGCGUUCCUCACAAUCUUCAUAGCAAGGAGCCUUGACCGAGUGAUUGAAGAAGUCUUCGGGCAAGAAAUCACGCAUCGUGAUGGGGACGGACGAUCUAUAUGUCGAAAUUUCAUCAUCUUCAACACGUUCAUGUUGCUUUGAAGGUUGACAAGAGCUGCUUUGCCCCCUUUCCGAUUGGCGGACUUGUGGAGGAGACGUAUGCUUCUUGUGCAAUUUCUUAGGAGUGACUUGAGUCCAUCAUUCAACUUUGCUUGUCUUGGAGGAUGCCCUCAGCGGUUGAGGUGAAAACUUUGAGUCGGAAGAGCCAGAAGUGAAGGUGGUAUAGUUUGACUUCACCACAUCGUCAAGAUCUAGCUCGAUGAUUCCUUUCUGAGCCAGCUUCAUGAUGAGAUCUUUCAGCACGAAACAUUUUUCUGUCGGAUGACUGAUGAAGCGGUGGAAUUUACAGUACCUUGGACUGUCAGUGCGAUUCAUCUCUUCUGGCCGUUUGCACUCAGGCAAACCAAUCACCUUCUUUUCCAGCAAGUCUUCUAACAUGGCAACCACAUCAGAGUCGGGGAAUGGAUAAGUCCUCUCCUCAAGCUCCUUCAAAGUGCGUCUACGCAUCUCUUGAUCACGAAAAGCUUCAGUUUGAAUCGCCUUGCCUCGUGUGGAGAUUUUGAUGGGAGCUGUGACCGUCAUCGCUUCCUUGGUGGGUUUCCAUGCAGCCUUUUCCACCUUUGUCCAAAGAACUUUGUCGUUCUUGUAAUCGGCGAUCGGUUCUUUCUUCCCAUGAUGGGCGAUGCUCAACUCCAUGUCGUGGGGGCGAGUGGCCAAUUCCUCGAAGGUCCGUGGUUUAAUGCCUUGAAGGAUGUAUUGCAAACCCCAUUGCAUGCCUUGGAUGCACAUCUCGAUUGAAGAGGUUUCUGAGAGCCUGUCUUUAUAGUCGAGGCUUAGAGUGCGCCAUCUGUUGAUGUAGUCAAUGACUGGCUCGUCCUUCCACUGUUUUAUGCUCGUUAGCUCUAGCAUGCUCACAGUGCGGUGGGUGCUAUAGAAGCGGUUGAGGAAUUCCCGCUCUAAUUGAUCCCAGCUGUUGAUGGACUUAGGCUCUAGGUCCGUGUACCACUCAAAGGCGUUUCCUUUCAGCGAGCGCACAAACUGCUUGGCAAGGUAGUCCCCUUCGGUCCCUGCGUUGUUGCAAGUUUCAACAAAAUGGGCAACGUGCUGUUUCGGGUUUCCUUUUCCAUCAAACUGCAUGAACUUUGGUGGUUGAUAACCCUUUGGCAUCUUCAGGGCAUCAAUCUUCUUGGAGUAGGGCUUCGAGUAGAACAAUGAGGUAUGUGAGCUCCCUUCGUACUGUGCCUUGAUGGUGUUGGUGAUCAUUUCUUACAGUUGCUGGAUAGAAAGAGGUCCCAUAAGUGCCGCUGCUUGGUCUGGCUCCGGCUUCGCAUCGUUUUUCUCCACCUGAGGCUCAUCUUCUUCGUCAUCUCUUCUCUUUAGUGGAUCAUUCUCUAGGUCGGGUUUAUCGAUGUCCUGUGGCUCCAGUCGGCUAACGAGUGCAGCAAUUUGCAAGUCUUUUUCUUCCACAAUCUGUGUUAGCCUUGCAAUCGCUUCAUUCAUUUGAGCCAGUUGUUCUUCAACGGAGGUAACACCAAUAGUCAUAACUUGUGCGACCAAUAGACGUGACUUUCCUUUAGACAUUCAGGAUGCUAAUGAAGAACGUCGUUGGCUGCUUUGGGAUGUCAUCUUGUGUGCCUCAACAUCAUGCUUCGGUGCCCCCAGCGAGGUCAGGUUGAUGACAGACUCACACCUUGGAUGCUCCCCUUGCUCUUUUAGCGGCACCAAUUUUGAAGUGGCAUGUUGAGGAACAGUUGUGGCGCCAAUGAAUUGUCCGUUUGGGGCAGAAGUGCUUAGGAUCCUUCCCUCAGUGGUUGCAAGAACGGCUUGUCCCUUGCUUGAUGCCAUUGACUUUGAGGUGUGCUUGGAUUCCUUGAACGGAAAAAGAGAUGAGAGGUAGAGAUUGUCCCACUGGGCGUGCCAAUUUGUGAACACGGAAAAUUCCUGAAACGAAAGAGACAACAACGACGUGCACAAAUAAAAUAUUUGUAUUUUGAUGAUUUUGGGUUACAAUCUCUCUCUAUUUUGAUCAUCUGAUUCGAUCUCCGUAAGGUGUUGAUUGGUGGAUGUUUUGUUGAUCCAAGGGCCGUUGAUGCUUGAUCUUGGAUGAACUGUUGGAAGUUUCUUCAAAGGGCCGUGGGCUUGAUCUUUAAGGUGGAUUUGAGCGGAUCUUCAAGGAGCCGUUGGGACUUGAUCUUGAAGAACAGUGAUGAACGGAUCUUCAAGGGGUUUUGGGCUUGAUCUUGAAGAACAGUGAUGAACGGAUCUUCAAGGGCCGUUGGGGCUUGAUCUUGAAUUGGUGGAAGUUCUUCAAGGGCCGUUGGGGCUUGAUCUUGAAUUGGUGGAUGAUUGUUGAUCCAAAGGGCCGUUGGGGCUUGAUCUUAGGAUGAACGAUGAACAAUGAACGAAGAACGCUUUCUUGAUUCUUCGGGAACCUGGAUGCUUGAGAGCUUCGGAGUUUCAGAGCUUCAGGGCUUCAAGGUGUAAUCUCAAUUGGUCCCCCCCUUUGGAAUGAAAUAGCCUUCUAUUUAUAGAAAUUUCCAAGGCCUAAUUUUGAAUAUAAUAUUCCAGAUGAAAUAAGUCGUUUCUGCCAGGUGUUGACACGUGUCCUAUUUGAUGACUUUUCCAACUCAUUUCAAUUUUCGUUGAGUCACACGCUACGUGUAAAAUUUAUGUAAUACAUGAGCGUUGACACUUUGAUUUAUCGGUCAACAUUUAUUUACCAAAAUUUCGAUGUCUACAGUAUAUACCGAAAUAUAGUAUAUUAAAUUAAUGUACCUAAAAGUCAAUACUCAAAUGUGUGUACCAAAAUGUACGUACUGAAAUGCAUUAUAUUGAAUUAAUGUACCUAUAUGUUUGUAUCGAUGAAUAUACCGAAAUAUUCAAAUGCAUUAAUGUAUCUAAAUGAAGAACAUACAAAAUUGUUAUUAGAAUAUAUAUUAUAAAAAAAUUAGUUACCUAAAUGUAGACAUUAAAAUAUAUUACGAUGAAUGAAAUAAAAAUUAAAUUUAAAUGUAAUUAAUACAUCAAAAUAUAAAUAUAAAUAUAAAUAAAACAUCAAAAUAUAACUAAUAAAUGAGAUUAUUAAAUGUACUAGGGAUUAGAGCAUCUUCAAAGGAGAUGUCAAAAUUGCCACGUAGACAUACAACAGUAAAAAAUGGUAGCAAAGUCUCUCUAACCGAGCCUUCAAUUUCUUACGUGGAGCUGAAUCAUUUGAAGGCAAAGUAUUUUGCUGUCAAAUUUGACAGCAGAUGUCAAAUUCAUUAAAUGAUUUUUUUAAUAGAUUAAUAUAAUAUAUAAUAAAUGUUGUUAUGUUUUGGAAAUAUUUGAUUGGUUGCCUUAAUCAUUGGACUCCACAAAAAGAUAAAACAUUUAAUAAAUGUCAUUAUUAUUUAACAUAUCGGGUGAAGCAAAAUAUUGUACAAAAUAUCAAAUUGCCACACAAGCUAUCAAUUAUCAUUUGAUGUUUAAAAUUUGACAUCUCAUUUAGAGAUGCUCUUACAAAGCAGAUCACAUCCAAAAACAUUGAAAGAAGGAAAUCAUUUAAGUAAAUAAGCAAAUGUGCAUCCACAACCCAAUUAAAAAAAAAUGACGGAAACCACUUGCAUAGAAAGGAAUCCUAUGAGAAGAGAAUUAAACUUCUCCCUUGGCUUAAUGUCAGAUUCCGAUGAAUUAAUCGAAAUUUGUUGUUUCUCCAGCGGAUUUUGCUUCUUUUCUUGCCCUUGUUCUGCCCUGCAUGGUCAUUUUGAGGGAAAAUCGAGGUGGUAAAUGUGUUAGGGUUAUUGAUGCUUAGAUUUUGAUAUAAGAUUUGUCGAAAACGAUAACCAAAUGAAAAAGAUGUGAAGAUUUGAAGUUAGGGGAGCCAAAUGGAGAAGAAAAAAAUAAUCAAGAAUAGCAGCAGAGCUGCUAGUUUUACACGCAGUUCAAAUUUACCAAAAUCCCCUUUUAUUUAGAAAAUUCGUAACUUUCUCGUUCGAAUUUCAAACUCCAAUAUGUUUGCGUUUAUGCGUUCAUAGUAACACAUACUAUCUAGUGAAUAUAACAGAAAAUUAACCCUUAAUUUCAAAAAUGUUAUUUUUUGUAAAAACUUUCAAAUAUAUCCAAAAUUUCACUUAAAUAGACACACAUACCCUUAAAUUUAUCAAUCAAAUAAAUUAAAGGCUUUUUAGCCAUCAUCGCCUCAAGCACCGGUCCAACGUCACCUUGACUCCUACACUCCACCACCAUAACCUUAUCCCCUUCGACCUCCUCAUCAAUGACAAUGAGCAUUGCCGCAAUUAUCGCCAAUCAUGCCUUCAACGCCUUUUUUCUUCCCAGGACUCGAGUCUUAGCCCCCGUCGCUAAUUCAUUGACACACAAACUCUUUCCGUAUCUAUGACAAUCUCGUCUUUAAUUUUACGUUUUUAGUCAUUUUGAAUGUGUGAAUUGACGAAAAUGCCCUUAGAGGCGAGGGUGUUGACUUUUGUUGACCAGCAUAUUAUAAGAUGUAUGAAACAUUCUUUUAGCAUAUGAUCGUUGUCACAUCCCGCCCUGGGCCCCUACCACAUCCUGGGCUUGACUCCGCCGUACCACAACAUUGUUCGCUUUAGGCCCCGACCAUGCCCUCACGAUUUUGUUUCUGGGAACUCACACGAGAACUUCCUAAUAGGUCGCCCAUCCUGGGAUUGCUCUCGCGCGAACUCACUUAACUUUGGAGUCCCAAAAGGCCUCGUGCUAGGUAGAGAUGGGAAUAUACAUAUAAGGCUUACAAGAUCCACUCCCUGGGCGAUGUGGGAUGUUACAAUCCACUCCCCUUAGAGGCCCGACGUCCUCGUCGGCACACUUCCGGCCAGGGAUUGGCUCUGAUAUCGAAUUGUCACAUCCCGGGCUCGAAUCCGCCGUAGCACAAUAUUGUCCACUUUAGGCCCCGACCAUGCCCUCACGGUUUUGGUUCUGGGAACUCACACGAGAACUUCCUAGUAGGUCACCCAUCAUGGGAUUGCUCUCGCGUGAACUGGCUUAACUUCAGAGUUUCGAUGGAACCCGAAGCCAGUGAGCUCCCAAAAAGCCUCGUAUUAGGUAAAGAUGGGAAUAUACAUAUAAGGCUUAUAGGAUCCACUCCUCUGGGCGAUAUAGGAUGUUACAAUCAUAGUGCUCGUCACUAUGAACGCGAAGGCACAAGCAGAAUCGAAAUUUGAGUUACGAUGAAGAUUUUACAGAACUACUAAUAUGAAAAUACUUUUAAAAAAUUAUUAUUUUAUAUUUUAUAUCUUUAUUCAAAAUUUUAUAUUAUUAUAUCUUUAUUUUAAUUAUUUUUUAAAAGAUAUUUUAUUAAUUUAUUUUGUGGCCGUGGGGCCCACACCUCAACUUAUCCUCUCCCUCUUUUCCACAUGGGUCUCUCUCCCCCACAAUUAUGGGCUCUCUCUCUCCCUCGAAUCUCUCACACUCUAACUUUCUCAAAGUCUCUCAGUCGUAUCUCUCUUUCUCUGCAAAUUGAUCACCCAUCACCAUUGCACAUCGCCACUUCAGCGAGAUGGUCACCACGUAUCACCCCAACCACCGUGUCUCUUCCUCUCUCUCUUGUCACUUUCCUUUACCUCAACCUCUGUCUCCCUCACCUUCUCUGCGCUCGUGGUGUUAAGACACCGAGACCAUCACCAUUCCCAACGAAUCCCCGCCGUUCAUGACCUACGUAAGCUUUGGGGUUCCUUCUUUCUUUUCCUUUUUGAUGUUUAGGUCAAUUUCUAUGUCGGCAUGCUCGUUUUGGUGAGUUCGGAAUGCAGAAGCAACGAGGACAAAUUUUCCCCAGAUUUCGGUGAAAAUCCGACAGCUUUAGAGCUUUUUUCUGGCCAACUUCGACCACAACCAAGGAACCCAAUGGUAUAUUUCGAUUCCUUAUUCCUUGAGCUUCAAUUUGAUAUAUUGGGUUGCUAGUUUUAGUUGAGAUUUGAAGCUAAACAGAACCGGAGAAGUUCCCAACCAAAAUUCCUGUGUUCUUAUUCUUUGGGUUCGGCGGGUGCAACUCGUGUGCCCACCGGGUCGACCGAACCCAAUUUAAAAAAAAGGGCCUAAGCCCAAACCCGGCCCCAAUUAGACAACUGUUCCAGCUCGGCCGAGUUCUAAAAUGAGCUCAGAAUAUUCUAAGGAUAUUCUUUGUGUUGACUUUUGGGGAAAUUUAUCAAAAACCUCAUAGGCUAAUUUCAACGCCCUGAGUCCAUUUAGUGAAAUUCUAAAGUUGUAACGUAGUUGACCACUGUGGCGUCUUGGUUGACUUUUUAGAGUUGACCAUUAAGUUUUUCGUUGACUUUUUUCUAAAAUUUGUCAAGGACUCUCCUUAGCGUAUUUCGACGUCUUAAUUCCAAAUAAGCACUCCGUUUUCCAAAUUUAAUUGUCUAAGUGGAUUUAAGUAAUGGGUCCCAAUAUUAUGUUUAGGUGCAAUUACUAUCGAAGCCUCCAACUUCCUAACUUGAACGGAUGUGACAUCGCAAGUAACUAUGAGUGAGUCUUUUCUUUUAUAUAAUAUAUAUAUAUAUAUAUACUUGUUAGUAUCCAUUUAUACGUUUCAUAAAGAGUUUCUACAAUACGCCUAGAGUGACGUUUAUAAGUUUUAGCGCAUUGAUAGAAAUUAUGAAAUUAGGCUACAUCCUACAGGAUGUACGGGUAUGCGUAUUAUUAUUGAUGCCUAAAUUAUAUUUAUGGUCAUGAAUAGUAUUACGAUGACAUGAAUUAUCGAUUUACUGCUGUAUGAUUUUAUUUACGUUAUCUGCUCAUUGUUACUGCACUUGUGUUAGUACUCGCCCGGGCCAGAACCAGUCUUUCACGUGUAUGUGCACAUCGCACCGUAUGCUCACCUUGGAUCUAUCGUAGGUGCCAGUCCUGUCCUAGAUUGCUAUAAUCAAUUAGGACUCGUAUGUGCUACGCAUAGCGCCAAUCUUCACGUCCUGUUCAUGUCAAAAUACCUUUGCAUGAACUCGUGUGUUAGCAUAUGUCGAUGAGCACUCAAUAUGAUAUGUUUAUUUAUGCAAAAAUAUGUGAUUACGGACAUCAUGUGUUUACUUACAAAAUAUUGUGCCGUAUUGAAUUCUUGAGAUAUUGCAGCCUACGAUAAGUAUUUUCUUACUAUACGUAGUAUGUAUAUUUUGGAAACUAUACUUGUUUUACGAUGAGGGGUUAUUAUGUUUUCGAAAGGUUUUUACAAAGCUUUAUUUUUAGGACCACUCACCCUUGUUUUUCGCCCCUCUAGGUUUUAAUAGCUGAGCUUUUGUGUCGACGAGGAUUCUUGGCAAAUCUUGGUAUAGGUGGUUACCUUCGAUGGUAUAAUUCUCAUCCUACAUUACUGUACUUUACUUAUGCUCUGACAUCACGUGUGAAAUGAGUUCAUUUCCGCUCACAUGUGCACUCUUAUAUUUAGGCAAUUUUAGGUUUAAAUUUAUUAACAUAUUUCACCUCACUAUACUUUAUGGCUUCAUCACCCUUCUGGUGUCGGUUAGCACAACUCUAUUCGGAGUCCAGGUGGACAUUUUGGGUUGGGGUGUGUCAGUAUCACAUCAAUUCUCUAUAAUCAUCAAACCCAAAUGGAAAAGGAAGAUUUUAAGAGAGAACCACUCAGGGUGCGGAAAUUUGGAUUGGAAGGUGAAGGGUUUGGAUUGUGAGAGAAUAAAGGUAUAGGUAGGUUAGGGUUUAGGGUUUUUGGUUUGGGCAUGUCUAUUGGAUUUACCCACCAAAUGAAGAAGAUGACUUCUUCUUUUAAUUUUUUUUCGUACUAAUAUCAUUUUUAGUUUUAAAUAUAAAUAUAGUUUUUAAAGUUAAUUCACAUGUUGUUAUAUGAUUGUAUUUGUGAGACCCAAGUGGCGCCACAUCAUUGCACUAACAAAGCAAUUUGACAGAUUUUUCACAGAAAGACUCGGGGGAAAGACUAAAAUGAUUCACAACAGACAAAUUCAAGGACACUACUUUUGAUUUUCAUUGUUAAGGACCAAACUAAUGAGUCAUGUCAAUGUCACAAACCAUUUUGGUUAAAAAGUCUAUAAUUUAUUUGAUUGUUAAAUUUGAGGGUAUUUGCGCCUAUUUAAGUGAAAUUUUCAAUAUAUUUGAAAGUUUUCAUAAAAAGUGACAUUUUUUAAAUUAAAGGUUAAUUUUUUGUUAUAUUGCAUAAAUACUCGAUUAGGAUUGUGCCGUGGGCUGGGAGGUCGACGCCGCGGCGGCGGAAGGAACCCAGACCUAGAUUAUAGGUAAAACCGUAAAAGGUAUUAGACAUAUUUAUAGGCUGGUAUUUGUUCAAUUAAUCUAUGGGCUAGUAUUUGUUUAGUAAAUCUAUGGGCUGGUAUCUGUUUAAAUAAUAUAUGGGCUGGUGUUUGUUUAAUUAAAACAUGGGCUGGUGUUUCAAUAUGACUUGGAUUUAAGGUAAAAUUAUUAGAAAAUUUUCUAUCAAAAUAUGGGAAGUGUUAUUGGCACUCUAAAAUCUCAUUCUACACUUCUCAUAAAUAUAUUUUUUCUUCCUAAUAUAGAAAAUUUGAAGUAUAAAAUGAAAUUUUUGGAGUGUUAAUAACAAUUUCCUAAAAUAUUUGAUGGUCAUUACUUUUACCUAAUGUGAAGACGCAGAAGAUAAACAUUGAAUAAAAAAAGGGGAAGAUAAGAUUCUUAAAAAAAAAAGUUGGAUAAAUUAUCAUCCAAGCUUAUGAUAUUUUUAGUCAUUUCCAUAUGGGCUUGUUUGACGGGGUGAAAUAGAUUCGUACUUAGAGAUAAGAUUAGAAUAGCAGGAAUUUGAAAGAUAAAAAUUUAUAACUCAUGUAUAAAGAUAGGUUAGAUAACGCACUGAAUUCAUAACUCAUUAUAUCGUGUCCAUCUUACAUUUUGACACAGCAAACAAUGAACUGUGCUAAUUUUCUUUUUACUUAUUUGUUAUUAAAUUUUAUAGAACCCACAUGUGUGUCACAUUAACAUAUUAACAAAAGUUUUGACGAAAAUAUUACAGUAUAAUUGAUUUGCAGCACUCAAUUCAAAAGCAACAUUGAUCGAAUUUUACUUUCAAAACCACCUUAAUUAGUGCGUCAAUUUCUGUACUAUUUGUGUUAAACGACACUUUUUAAAGAAAUCUACUACUUUGAACGUGUGGUAUGUUGAUUUGAACGAACGGUAAGACCAAAACAUGUAGCCAGAAAAUUCGGUGUCUCGCCUUCCCAACUCAUUCGACCUAUAUAUGUGUGCGGAAACAAACAGAGUCGAAAACAAACAACGCACGCAACAUUCUCAGUUUCUCAUCAAACUACAUUAUUUUACAUUCUCUCUGUAAACCGUUGGAAUUUCGGUAGUUCUUUUCAUUACCCAAGAACAGAUUAGGAAAUUGAAUUAAGUUUUGAGUGUUUCCGUAAUUAUGUCUCUGGCUUCAGUCGGAAUGGGUGCUCUGGGAACGUCAUUUCAAAUGCUGUUUGAUGCUGUAAAAUCAGUGCAGGAGGAGAAUACAAUGUUCCAACACCUCCUCGGAGACAUCAAAUCCACACUGAACUCUCUACAACCACUCAUCAAAGACAUCGAAAAGUAUAACUCCAAGGAGGGACUGGAAAAUUAUGCAAUACAGAUGGAGGAAGGAGCAAAGCUUGUUCAGAAGUGCAGCAAAGUAGGCGUGUGGAGAAAACACACAUACACCAAGAAGCUUAGUCAACUGGACAAAUCUCUCCGAAGAGUGUUUGAUGUGCUUAAACGGCAGGGUAUGAGGGAUGCGAGGGAGACGUUAGUUUCUUUGAGGAGUAUCCAGACGGUGCUCUCUCGAAUAGAAGAGAGUUUGAAGAUGAAAAAUAAUCAGCCUGAAAUGGUUAAAUGUUCGUCUGCGGUGCCUGAAGCGCCAUCAGUUACAGUCGGGUUAGAUUUACCGUUGAAGGAGUUGAAGAUGAAGCUCCUUAAGGAUGAACAGGUGUCUAUGCUUGUGCUGACUGCUGCUGGAGGAUGCGGGAAAACCACCUUGGCUAAAAUGUUUUGUCAAGAUCAAGAAGUCAAAGGUAUGCUAAUUAAAAAGUAAUACACCGUGUAGAGGAUUAUGCAAGUAGAACUACGCGCUAGGGCCUAUAAAAUGUCCGCUAUACUCCCUCCAAACAUACACAGUAACCAAAAUUUGUUAAAAGAAAAACAACGAAGGGGACAUGAAACUAAAGCGCACGAAAGGAAUAUAAGAAAGAUUAGAAAGACCUAAAUGGGCAUGCCCAACAUAUAACAAGUGGUAGUGAUAUGAACUUGACAUGAUUUUCUUUGUACUAAAUGUAAGUUAAGCUGAUGCCUUCCUCUUAGAGUUAACAAGUCUUGCACUGAGCUACCGCUUGAUUACUUACUUGAUCUCAGAAUUGCAGACAUAUCUUGUCAACCUUAUAUUAACACCUUUCCUACAUUCUGUUUGGUUAGAUACAUUCAAGAACAACAUCUUCUUUGUCAAUGUCUCGAAAAAGCCCAACUUGGACCUUAUUGUACAUGAACUAUAUCAACGGAAGGGGUUCGAGCUGCCUGCUUUCGAAAACGAAGUCAUGGCAGCUAACUGGUUGCAACAAUUUCUGAAGGAAUCAAGACAAAAUCCUCUACUGUUUGUCCUGGAUGAUGUUUGGUCAGGAUCAGAGUCCCUUCUUGAGAAGUUUGAUCAAUUCAAGUUUUCAAAUUGCAAGAUUUUGGUCACUUCAAGAUUUGCAUUUCCAAGAUUCGGUUCUCCUUAUCAUUUGGCACCAUUGAAUGAUGAAGAUGCAAUGGCUCUUUUUCAGUAUUCUGCAUCCUCGGAGGAUAAGAGCUCUUAUACUUAUGAAGAUCCUUCGAGAAAGGUGAUUUCUUAGUCCACAACACACACACACACACACAUAUAUAUAUAUGCUUAUUUAUGCCUCAGAAGAGGGUAAAGAAAUAACGUUUGAGCAUCCACACACGUUAAUGAACUGUGAAGAAUGAAGUAAGAAGAAUGAAAGAGUAGACAGUUUACAAUUUUAUCAUCUUUAUGAAUCCAUUUAGAUGAUUUUCAAGAAUUUAAUCAAAUAAUAGUAAUUGAAUUCUUUUUGGAUAAUUAAAUUGCAGAUUAUCAAGCGCUGUAAGGGAUGCCCACUUGCCAUUGCAUUGGUCGGGAGAUCACUUCGCGGCCAGCCUAUAGAAAUCUGGCACAAAAGAGUAGUGGAAUGGUGCAAAGGUUCAUCUAUUCUUGAUUCUGACAAGGAUUUACUUGCUUGCCUCCAAAGCAGCUUAGAUGCCUUGGAUAAAGAGAAGGCUAUCAUCAAGGAAUGUUUCCUCGAUCUAGGUUCUUUUCCGGAGGACCAAAGAAUUGCUGCUGCCACCCUCAUUGAUAUGUGGGCGGAGUUAUAUGGUCUAGAUGAAGAAAUUCUGACCAUUGCCAACCUUCACGAGCUCACCACCCGAAGUUUAGCUAAUCUUGUUGUCACAAGGUAUGCAGGCUGCUCAUAAUUUUUUCUAUUUCAUUAUGUAUGCCGAACAAAUCAUUAAAUAAAUUAGUAUUGAUCAUCCAGACAUGAGGGGGAGACAGAUGGCUAUUACGCUGAACACUUUGUCACCCUGCACGGCAUGCUUAGAGAGUUGGCGAUCCAUCAGGCGAGUCAAGACCCAAUAGAACAUAGGAAACGACUAUUUUUAAAUAUCUGUGGGAACAAACUUCCUAAGUGGUUGACAGAACAAAAGUAUCAAGCGAUCAAGGCUGGGCUAUUAUCUAUCUCAACAGGUUCAAUCAAUCUCUCUUUAGUAAAUACUUAUACGCUCGGGACACACGUGUGCACACACACCCAUGCUCUUUCUUACUAAGACUUCAAUCGGACUUCGACACAUUUAAGUUCAACCCACGCUAACAUCUUAAAGCUUAUUGUUUGCAGAUGGAGCCUUCUCAGCAAAAUGGCCAAACAUGCAAGUACCCGAAGCAGAGGUUCUAGUUCUGAAUUUUCAAACAAAGAACUAUGCCUUACCUGAGUUUGUGGAGAAAAUGGAUAAACUAAAGGUUCUAAUACUAAAUAAUUACGGUAUGUUACCUGCUGAACUAGAUAAUUUUGAACUACUUGGUUCGCUAUCAAAUCUUAAGAGAAUUAGAUUAGAACGUAUUUCAAUUCCUCCCAUAAGCAAGGUCCUUAAACAGUUGAAAAGCUUGCAAAAGAUCUCUCUGUUCAUGUGUGAUAUCGGCCAAGGUUUCGUCAAAAAUUUAGAUGCACUGCCAAAUCUAGUGGAAUUGAACAUUGAUUAUUGCCAUGAUCUGGUGCAACUUCCUCCCAACCUUUGUGACCUUGUUCACCUUAAGAAGCUUAGCAUCACCAACUGUCAUAAGCUUUCUGCCUUGCCUGCAGACAUCGGAAAGCUAGUCAAUCUUGAAGUGUUGAGGCUUAGGUCAUGUGCAGAUUUGUUAGAGUUGCCAGGCUCGAUUAGGAACCUUAAAGUUUUAAAAUUUCUCGACAUAUCUGAUUGCUUUAGCGUAAAGGAGUUGCCAGAGGACAUUGGUGCAAUGUGCAGCAUGGAAAAGAUCAACGUGAGCCAGUGUUCUAGACUGAAAGGGCUGCCUGCUUCUGUUAUGGAUCUUGAGCAGUUGAACGAAGUGAUAUGCGACGAGGAGACGAAAACUUUAUGGGAACCCUUCUUGCCAAUUCUCACAAACAUGCGCAUUAAGGUGAUCAAAGAAGAUAUCAACCUAAAUUGGCUCAACAAGCUUCCACCCUAAGGCUAUGGCCCUUCCAUCAAUGAGUGUUGGUGCAAUGUAUGCAGUAUGAUUGUGUAUAAUGUUAUUUUUCCUUUGUAAUUUACUUCUAUUUUAUGUUUUAUGUGUUUUUAAAUAACCUGGCAGCACUGUAAAUUAUUGUAAGGCCAAAUUGAAUAAAUGAUCCCUAUGGUUAUAAGGUAUUUGGAAGAUAACCUCUGUGCUUAAAAAUCUUAGAUUUAAACCCCUAUGGUGUACUCCAUGAAAAACUUUAGUCCAAAAGUGAUUUUUCCGUUAACUAUAUGUUAAUAUAUGGGUAAAAUUGUACUUUGACAUGUGCACUCUUCCUCGUCUCUCUGCUCUCUCUUCAACACAUCCCCCACCAGUACCUCUUGAAGCAGGUUACUGAAACGCUGCUCCUUCACGUCAACCGGCAAUAAAUCAUCAAUCUCUUUCUCAAUAUCAAAUACUGUCUCAUCAACUGGUGCAUCCAUAUAACUUCCCAUACUUGAAGCUGCCUGGAUGGUUGAUUCUUUUAAUUCAUUUAGUCCCUACAAUACAAAUGUGUUUCAAUUAAAGCACGAUGAUCACCUGGUAAUUAUUAUUGUUGAUGCACAAAACUGGAGGGGUCUUGGAAUAACGUAAAUCCGACCGUGAAUCUGCAAGAAAGUAAAGAACAUAAGAUGUAUCGUGGUUCACCCCAAUUUUUGGGCUACAUCCGCACUGAUGUUGAUAUUGUUUCACUCUGAAUGAUGAAUAUACAAGAAGGCUAGAGCCAGUGUGCUGUCUAGCCUAUUUUCUCUCUUCCCUUGGCCUGAAACUUGACCUCCCUCAAUGAAGAGAGUGAGGAGUCCUUUUAUAGAAUAAGGGCUCCUCACUUAUUACAUAUUUGCCCCUUCAUUUAUUACAUAAUUACAUUUGAGUCCCCCGAGUAUUUAUACAAGAUCUAAAUACAGAGGCCCUAAGUAUGGUACAAACAAUAGUCUCCCAAGUCUUCAGUCAAGAGAGUCUUUUGGCUGGAGACUUGAAAUUCAGUCCAUGUGUGGGCCGAAGUAACUAGAUGUCGUCUAGAACUGAAUACUCGAUAUGAGGCGGUGCUCAAUAUGAAAUGAUACUCAACUAGAAGUAGCACAUGUUGCGAGGCUGCUCGACUUGUGGCUUAUAUUGCCUUGGUUGGCUCAGCUUGUGGCGUUGAAUGUGAAGGAGUCCCUUUUAUAUAAUAAGGGCUCGCUCCUCAAUACAUAAGUGAUGGGUUAGGAGUGAUGCUCGUGGCGAGGCGGUUGCUUAGCAGGCGGCGAUGUUCUCUAAUGAUGGUGAAGGAGUCCCUUUUAUAGAAUAAGGGCUCGCUCCUCAAUACAUAAAUGAUGGGGUAGAGUUGAUGCUCGCGACGAGGCGAUUGCUCAGCAGGCGGCGAUGCUCUCUAAUGAUGGUGAGGGAGUCCCUUUUAUAGAAUAAGGGCUCGCUCCUUAAUACAUAAAUGAUGGGUUAGAGUUGAUGCUCGCGGCGAGGCGAUUGCUCAGCAGGUGACGAUGCUCUCUAAUGAUGGUGAGGGGGUCCCUUUUAUAGAAUAAGGGUUCGCUCCUCAAUACAUAAGUGAUGGGCCAAGAGUGAUGCUUACGGCGAAGCGGUUGCUCAGUUGGCGGCGAUACUCUCUAAUGAAGGUGAGGGAGUCCUUUUUAUAGAAUAAGGUUUCGUUCCUCAAUAUAUAAAUAAUGGGCUAAGUCCCCCAAGUGUUUUUCAUGAGGCCCAGUUGCGGAAGCCCAAUAUAUGGUACAUAGUGUAGUCUCCCAAGUCUUCAGUCAAUAGAGUCUGUUGGUUGGAGACUUCAAAUUCAAUCCAUGUAUGGGUCGAAGUGGCGGUUGUUCGGAGGCGGUCUUUGUAUACCAUGCACUGAAGCUUUGUAGGUGAAGCUUUGAAGCUAGAGCUUUUGUAAAUGAAGCUUUGAAGUCAGAGCUUUGUAAAUGAAGCUUUUGAAACUGAAGCUCUUGUAAAUGAAGCUUUCGAAGCUAGAGUUCUUGUAAAUGAAGCUUUCGAAGCUGGAGCUCUCGAAGCUGGAGCUCUGUAAAUGAAGCUUUCGAAACUGAUUGACAUAAGUGAUGCUCAUGAAUGUUUAUGUUGAUUGACAUGAGUGAUGCUCAUGGAUGUUGACAUGAGUGAUGCUCAUGAAUGUUGACAUGAGUGAUGUUCAUGAAUGUUUAUGUAUGAUUGACAUGAGUGAUGCUCAUGAAUGUUUAUGCAUGAUUGACAUGAGUGAUGCUCAUGUAUAAUUUUGGAGUACUGGACGUACUUUUGAUCACCUGAUUGGUGAUAAUAGUGGCAGGCUGUUGAAUAAUUUUGGAGUACUGAACGUACUUUUGAUCACCUGGUUGGUGAUAAUAGAGGGUGAACCUAAAGUGGAGGGAUAGAGGUUGGAGUUUGAAGCCAUAGGGCCUGGCUCUUUUGGGCAUAUGGGCCUUCGCCCUUCACAUAACAUUCCAGCCUACUAUCAUUUUGCCCUUUUUUUUUUGGCAUGCUGCCUUCUUUCUUUAUUUAUGAUUACCCUCUGGUGGGGUUAUACAGAUGUCUCCAAAAGAUAAGAAAAAGUAAAUCACAUCAUUAAAAAAAAACUGUUGUGCUGGGACUUGGCAACAACGAGAUUUCUCCCUUCACAUCAACCUCAGUGGUCUAGCUAUUGGAGGAAACCUUCACGUGGAGGCAGGUUUGGUCCGCAGGCAUGAUCUCUCAUACUUUGAUAGUACAAUCCCGUGGCUUUUUCAGAAAAUGGGGGGAACAUGCACUCCCCUUCAUGAUGAAAGUUUCAUCUUUUUCAACAUGUUGAUGGGCAUCUUCUGGUCCAACAUGAAGUGGAGACGGGGGACCUUGGUGGGCAUCUUCUUAUCUUAAUCAUGUUAUCCUGUGGGAUAGUGGAAUAGUGGAACAUAAUAAAUAAAAGAGGUAUUUAUCAAUUUCCCCCCUGAACUUGUGAUUAUUGGCCAAUUUCCCCCCUCAACUCUCAUAAUUAGACAAUUUCCCCCCUUAACUUUAAUUUGGCCAAUUUCCCCCCUCAACUCUCAUAAUUAGUCAAUUUGCACCCUACUGUUAAUUUUUUAAUUUGAUCAUAAUUAAACAAGUGUGUGUAAGAAACUAAAUAAGAUGUAUGUUAAUCAUUUUCCUAAGUCUUUAUCCUAUUACAAAUAGAUUAAAAUUUAGAAUUUUACAAUUUAUCAUAGAUAGUAUUAUUAGUCAUAAUAAAUCAGUAUGGAGUAAUUUUAUUUGAUUUUUUACUAUACAAAAUUGAUAACGAAACGGAUUGAUGUGUACAUUUUUGUAUGUGAAUACAAUUUUCUUUAUAAAAGUGAGAGCUAAGUUCAAGUAAAUUGCGGAGAAUCGAGCUUUAGUGCAAAAAUGGCUAAUCAAUUCAUAAUUUUCGACUCCUUAUUAAGAAUAACCCAUUUUAUUGAAAUAGGUCGGAUCCAUGAGUUUAGGAUUAUUAUUUCUUCUUCUACAUGCUUUAAACCCGAUUCAUAACUUUUUCUUAUAAUCAACCCAUAUCACAUACUAAUUGUAUUAUGUUUUUGUACAUUUUACCCUAUAUUAUGCAGGUGAGUUUAUGUUAAUUUUAGUACUUUGUUGGAAGUUAUUAGAAAGAUUGAAAGAAAACAAAAAGAAUAGAUGAAAAAUUAAAAAAAUUAACAGUAGGGUGCAAAUUGACUAAUUAUGAUAGUUGAGGGGGGAAAUUGGUCAAAUUAAAGUUGAGGGGGGGAAUUGACUAAUUAUGAGAGUUGAGGGGGGAAAUUGGCCAAAAUUAAAGUUGAGGGGGGGAAUCGGCCAAUGGUCGCAAGUUUAGGGGGGGAAUUGAUAAAUACCUCUAAAUAAAAUAAAGCAUUCGUUGGGGACCACCAUCAUAGGGACCCGAACUCUCGAAUUCCAGAUUGUCGCACGCACUUUUGCUUUAUUCGUCGGUGUUCGUACCAUUGGUCCCAGUUGCCCUCCAUUUUUUGUAGGGGAAACAUAACUUCCACCAUUGUUUUCCUCCUCUGUUCAAAAACAGAUGGCGCAAAAUGUCUGUCUUUCUUGACACUUUUUGAAGCUGCUGCACCAACAGCUGAAUGAGUAUUUGGCAUUACCCUAAUAAAUUGGCUAUGACCUGCCCAUUCCUGCAGAUCUUUCAAUUUGAUACCAGCAUCAAUUGAAACAAGCAACUUCUUCCUGGAAAGCAGCGGCCUCAACUGCAAAACUACAUCUUUAACAACUUGAGGUUUGACCAAGAAAAUGACAACGUCAUUCUCUUCCACCACGUCGUCGUUUUUGGAGAUGAGAUGGACUCAAGAGGACUCGAAGGCUUGGCGUCGACUGGCGUCAGGGUGGAAGAUAGCGAUGCGAUUGGGAGGGAGAACGCCCGAUCAGAUGAUUCAUCUGGCGAUGCUCUCGGUCAUUUUACCAGCUCCGACAAACCCUAGCUUUUAUGUUUCCGUCGGGAUGGGUACCGCCUCCAUGGCUGCAAUGCGACGUCGUAUCGUUGCUAAGUCUUCUGAUUCAGUUUGCUUAGAUUGGGGAUUUAGGGUUACGGAAGAGAGAGGAGAAGCGGGGGUUUAUCAUUCGAUAAGCCUGUGAGCGUCUUUGGGGGAGAGCUUAGGGGCGAAGGCAGGAUCCGUGUCCAGGACGAUGCCGUUCUCGUCCAGCUUUCGCUUCUUGGUUGAGUCCAUUGGCAGAAGAGCAAGUUUAAACCCUAACCCUUGGGAAGAGAAACAGAGAGUCUAGAGAGAGAGAGCGAGUUGGGAUUUUUUUUGUUUACUAGCAGAGAGAGACCAGGCUCUUCUUGUUUGUGGUCAUGUGGAAUGUAGAGGUAGAAUGGUCGGAGUUUGGGGUUUGGUUUUCUUGGGUUUUUUGCAGAUUCACGGUGGAUAUUGUGGUGAGGUUUCACGGUGGUGAGAUGAAAAAAUGAAAGAGAACCGACAUAGCUUUUUGUGUCGAUUCCCACAGACGGCACUAAAUGUUGAUGCACAAAACCGGAGGGGUCUUGGAACAACGUAAAUUCGACCGUGAAUCUGCAAGAAAGUAAAGAACACAAGAUGUAUCGUGGUUCACCCCAAUGUUUGGGCUACGUCCACACUGAUGUUGAUAUUGUUUCACUCUGAAGGGUGAAUAUACAAGAAGGCUAGAGGCAGUGUGCUCUCUAGCCUAUUUUCUUUCUUCCCUUGGCCUGAAACUUAACUUCCCUCAAUGAGGAGAGUGAGGAGUCAUUUUAUAGAAUAAGGGCUCCUCACUUAUUACAUAUUUACCCCUUCAUUUAUUACAUAAUUACAUUUGAGUCCCAUGAGUAUUUAUAUGAGAUCUAAACACGGAGGACCUAAAUAUGGUACAAACAGUAGUCCCCCACCAUCAUUAGAGAGAGACUCUUAGCCCAUGAAAAAUACUUGAAGGACUUAGCCUAUUACUUAUGUACUGUGGAGCAAAGCCUUAUUUUAUAAAAGGGACUCCCUCACCUUCAUUAGAGAGAGACUCUUAGCCCAUCACUUAUGUAUUGAGGAGCGAACCCUUAUUCUAUAAAAGGGACUACCUCACCUUCAUUAGAGAGCAUUGUCGCCAACUGAGCAACCGCCUCGCCGCCAGCUGAGCAACCGCCUCGCCGCCAGCAUCACUCCUAACCCAUCACUUAUGUAUUGAAGAGCGAGCCUUUAUUCUAUAAAAGGGACUCCCUCACCAUCAUUAGAGAGCAUCGCCACCUAGCAACUGCCUCGCCACCUAGCAACUGCCUCGCCACGAGCAUCAACUCUAGCCCAUCAUUUAUGUAUUGAGAAGCGAGCCCUUAUUCUAUAAAAAGGACUCCCUCACCUUCAUUAGAGAGCAUCGCCGCCAGCUGAGCAACCUCCUCGCCGCAAGCAUCACUCCUAACCCAUCACUUAUGUAUUGAGGAGCGAGCCCUUAUUCUAUAAAAAGGACUCCAUCACCAUCAUUAGAGAGUAUUGCCGCCUGCUGAGCAACCACCUCGCUGCGAGCAUAAACUCUAGCCCAUCAUUUAUGUAUUGAGGAGCGAGCCCUUAUUCUAUAAAAGGGACUCCCUCACCUUCAAAGCCACAAGCCGAGCCAACCAAGGCAACAUAAGCCACAAGCCGAGCAGCAUUGCAACAUGUGCUACUUCUACUUAAGCAUCAUUUCACAUUGAGCACCGCCUCAUAUCGAGUAUCAGUUCUAGACGACAUCUAGUUACUUCGGCCCACACAUGGACUGAAAUUCAAGUCUCCAGCCAAAAGACUCACUUGACUGAGGACUUGGGGGACUACUGUUUGUACCAUACUUAGGGCCUCCGAAUUUAGAUCUCGUAUAAAUACUCGGGGGACUUAAAUGUAAUUAUGUAAUAAAUGAAAGGGAAAAUAUAUAAUAAGUAAGGAGCCCUUAUUCUAUAAAAUGACUUCUCACUCUCCUUAUUAGGAGAGGUCAAAAUUUCAGACCAUGGGAAGAGAGAAAAUAGGCUAGAGAGCAUACUGCCUCUAGCCUUCUUGUAUAUUCACCAUUCAGAGUGAAACAAUAUCAACAUCAGUGUGGACGUAGCCCAAACAUUGAGGUAAACCACGAUACAUCUUGUGUUCUUUACUUUCUUGCAGACUGACGGUUGGAUUUACGUUGUUCCAAGACCCCUUCGGUUUUGUGCAUCAACAAAUAUCAUCAAAUCUUCUAAACUACGGCCUUCUUGCCAUUGCAAAUCAAAGCCACAUGUUUAAUAUAUCAAAAAAUUUGAAAAUUAAAAUAUAUAUUCUUGUCAUACUCGAGAUGAGGCCUCCUGGUAAACCAAAGGCGUCUGCAUUUGUCGAUAGGCAUCUUGCAUAUUUCCAUACAGUUAGAUAAAGAAAAGGUUUUGUGUGAUUACCUGUUAUUUAAGAGUAGCCAAACUCUUUGUAUGCAUUGGACACUGUGGGAUGACUCCAUUUCAUGGAGGAAUUCCAAGCAGACCACACAUUAAAGUAUGCCAUGAAAAGCUCCAAUGAUAUAGAGGACUGGAACAUUGAGCAUGUCCUGUGAGAGGCCAGUCUUUCAAGCCUUUCAAUUCUUGUUGUUCGUAGAAAACAACGAGAGGCCAGUCUUGAAGCUUCCUGCCGAUCUCAAUGACGGCUUUCUUAGAAUUGGUUUGUGAAAAUUCAAAUUACAGAGAGAGUAGAGAAACAAGGAAGAGUGUACAUGUCAAAGUCCAAUUUUAUCCAUGUAUUAACAGAUAGUUAACGGAAAAAUCACUUUUGGGCUAAAUUUGGUAACGGAGUACAUCACAUGGGUUUAAAUCUGAGUUUUUUUAGCACAUGGGCUAUUUUCCGAAUACCUUAUGACCAUAGGGAUCAUUUAUCCGAUUUGGCCUUAUUGUAAUUAUUCACCAUGGCUAUUAUUGUAAAUAACAUGUUUGCACUCCUCAUUGUGCAACUCUUUUAUUGAUUCUCUUUGAUUUAUCCAAUCAAUGGGUGUUUGUAGGGGUGGGUUCAAAAAACCGAAAACCAAAAAAAAAUCGAGAACCGAACCGGACCGAGGCCGAAAAAACCGAAUCGAAAAAAACCGAACCGAAAACUAUCAAACCGAACCAAACCGAUAUAUAUAUAUAUUUAAUUAUUUUUUAUAAUAUUUUAAUUAUAAAAAUCAUAAAAAUAAAAAAAAAUAUCUAAAACCUAGAGGCUUGAGGGUUCGAACCCAAGCCUUUCAGGUUGAAAGGUUUCACUAAAACUAACCUGGCAACGGGUCUUGUUUUGUUAUGAUUGUAAGAUUAAAGUAUUUAUAAAGAUUGAAACCUAUAGUCUUUUGUGAAAUUAGAAAUCAAUAAAACCCUAGCCACUAGUGGUAGCAGCCAUACCUUUUUUAUUUUUCAUUCCCCUCUUCUCCUUUUCGCCCCUCCAUGUCCAUGCCUCCAAUUUCUCCAUUAUUUUCUCUCCGUUUCUCGAUCUUCUCACUCCUGGGUAAGAUCUCUAACCUCUCUUGUUUAUUUAGUUGAUUUAUGGUUUUUUUUUUUUGGAGUAAAGUCCAUGGAGGGAAUCUAAAAUUUUGGUGAUUGUUAUGGUUCGUAUUGCAGAUUUGUUUGAUUUUUGUGUUGUGAGAGUCUCACCCAUUUUUUUCCUUUUGUUUUUUUUUCUCCCCUGGUAUCAUUAUUUGAUUGGUUUUCCUCUUUUUUUGCCUCAGCUGCAGCAAGGGCAGUGACAGCACCACCACCACAACCAGUUGCAGCAACUGCAAUAGCACCACCUCCACCAGCUGUGGUGGUCUUGCCGCCCAACACAGCCAAUAAGUAUGCAGCGACCACUUUCAUCUCUGCUUGAGAUGGCUUUGGAUCUGCGGAGUGUGGAGAGAAAGGGUAAAUUUGCAGCCGAAUGCGGAAAAAAAGUACUUUAAGCUCCAGAUAUUAAAAAAAAUGCAUGAAAAAACCGAAAAAAAAAAUCGAAACCGAACCGUUUAGAACCGAACCCAGCCCUAGGUGUUUGUGCAAUGUAUGCCGGGAUAAGUGCAUGGAAAGAAAAUAAGAGUUCAAAAAUAACAACCCUUUGAUUUAUCCAAUUAAUGAGUGUUGGUGCAAAAUGUAUUAACUUUUGGUUGUUUCUCCACUCUCUCUCUUGCUACACCUCUUUAUCCCCUUCAGUUAAAUAUGCCAUAACAUUACUGUUUUAUUUAAGGGUAAUUUAAAUUAGUAGAUAAAAUUUUGCAAACUAAGUGACAUGGAAAUUGAUAAUUGGAAUAUGACUUAAACGUAGAUAAAUGUGCUUAAUCCUAUUGGUAACAUAUCAUUUAGUUUGCAAAUUUUGUCCUCUUAACAUUACUCAUAUUUUAAAUUAUUUAUUCAAGAGCACAACAUUUUUUUUACUAUUUUAUUUUCAACUAUAUAUGCUACAACACAAAAUUUUAAAAGCAGUGCAAUACCAAAUCAUAUGCACUAGAAAAUUCUGUAUCUUCUCGCCUCCUAAUGGCGCGUCAAAUGUCUUACCCGACUCAUUCGUUUUCUUUGGGUGAAAUUCAUUGCUCUUCGUUAAGUUGUAUAUAUGUGUGCUGAAACCAACAGACAGCUUACAUCACAUUCUUACUUUCUCAUCAAACUAAAUUAACAAAGAGGAUUAAGGGUUAGUUUGGGAUUGUUGUGUUUUGUUGAUGCACAAAAUCAGUGAGGACUUUGGUACAACAGAAAGUGUCAAGUUUGUGACCUUCGUUAGAUUGCUCCAGUCACUAGUGUGGAUAAGUAUGUAAAUGAAUAGAGGCAAGGAAGCAAGUAUAAGGUGUACGUGGUUCACCUAGAUUGGCUACGUCCAAGGAGUCGAGGAGUUCUCAUUAAUUGUGAAGGGUUUACACAAGUAUAUAGGUUCAAGCUCUCCUUUAAUGAGUACUAGUGAAUGAUUUAAUACAAAUGACAUUAGGGAUUAUUGUGGGAGAAUGAUCUCCUUUUAUAAAAGAGAGUUUCUAGCUUUGUUAUGGCUUUGACACGUGUCAUGCUAUGAUUGACCUUUGAUGUUGACAUGUGUCUCCUGUGAUUGGCCUCUUGGUGUUGACACGUGUUACGUUGUGAUUGGCCUUCUGGUUGAAGGGAAACUCUUCUGGGUCCUUGACGGUAUAACGCUGACCGGUGCUUAGUAGUUUCGGGAUUGGGGUCAAGUAUGGUACAAACAGUGCUCCCCUAAGUUCUCGAGUGAGGGAAGCUCCUCGGUUGGGGACUUGUAAGAUCCAAGCCGCUGAGUAAUCACGAAACUUCUAAGUACCGAAGUGUGGUAUUGUUUUCACUUGCCUUAUCUGUCUCAUAGGUAGAUGUGGCAUCUUCUCUGGAAGUACUUUUCCUCUAUCUAGUGGUGGUAUCUUUAACCGAUGGACAUGCAUAAGGUAAUGUAUCAAUUUCACUUGAAGCUUACUUGUAGUUUUGGGCUUGGACAAGCGCAAUACAAACCCUAUAGUAGGAGUCCCCCAAGUCUUUGAGCGAGGAGAUCUGCUGAAAGAGGUGACAGACAAAGUAAGCAAUCAGAGUUCCAAGCAGUCAGUCUUAGAUCAAAAGUUUGAUCUCAUGUUCCGGCUGAUUGUUCUCCUUCUUCUUAUUCUGUAGACAUCAACAAGGACAAAGAAAAUGACAUGGAGAAGAGAUGAUAUAAGAUACUUUUGCUUUUGAAGAAGUAACUUUCCACAUGCUUAUUCUUGAACUGGGCUGGAGGGUUUUCUGGUUUCCUCUAGAGUAUAAGGCUAACUUAAGAAUUUGAGGGUCAAAACAAGUCCAUCAAAUCAAGAGUGCGUUCGACCUUGAUGUUAUGGGAUACUUUUGUUGUUGACAAAGUAAUAGAUAAAUCGACACAUGUUCUGUUGCACUUGUCUCCACAUACUUCCUUGUAUCCUUCUCACUUACCCUAUCUGUUCCUCAGGCAGAUGUGGUAUCUUUUCUGGAAGCACAAGAUGUUGAAGAUGAAUACUCGAGAGAAAUGCCAGGUAAGUAAUCAGGCAAGGGGUUCCAGGCAGUCAGUUCAUGACUGGAAGCUUAAUUCCAAGUGCUGACUGAUUGCUCUCUUUCUCAUUGUCUUGCAGGUAAGAACAAGGGCAAAGGAAAAGACAGGGAAAAAGAAUGAUAUGGGAUACUCUUGCUUUAACCCCGAUGAUAUGAGAUACUCUUGCUCUGGUGUGGCUUGUUUGCAGAGGUAUUAUCGGGGGAAAGAAAGUUGAGUAUUUCGAGAGGCUUCGUUGGAAGUGCCCUCUUAGAUAUGAGGAAGGGUUGAGCAUUUUUGCAGGUCUGACUGUCCGUGAAGGAUGGAGGUAGCCAUAUAUAGGAGUUUCCCCAACAAGUAGUAAUGUUAUUCCUUUACCCUUCUUGGUCAUAGCAAUGUAGUGGGAGCUGCAAGCUUCACGUGUUUUAACUUUGUCAGCACUUUGAAAAAGUGGUCCAUGGUGUCUGGAGAGCUGAUAUUGCGUGUGAAGAUUGCAGACAAGCUUUAUCCAAGGAAAUCUGGCUCUUGAAGCUCAAAGAGUGGUGCCUUUUCAGUUUUCGGGAAAGAAGAUAUGUUAAAGAUUUGGCUCUCGAAAUUUGGAGAGCGUUGCCUCUUCGAUUUUUCAACAAGCAAUCCUAUUGGGAGUCUGGCUUUAAAUAUUCAGAGAGCGGUGCCUCUUUGAUUUUUGAGAAAGCAAUCAUGUUGGGAGUCUGACUCUCGAGAUUCGAAGAGCGGUGCCUCUUCGAUUUUUGAGCAAGUAAUCCUGUUAGGGGUCUGGCUCUCGAGAUUCGGAGAGCGGUGCCUUUUCGAUUUUUUAGCAAGUAAUCCUGUUGGGAGUGUUUUCUCAGAUGUGAGUAAAGGUUGAGCAUUUUUGCCAGUCUGCCUUGCCACGGAGCACGAAGGUUGACACACAUAGGGACUUUCCAGUUAUCAAGCAGUGGUGAUGUUCCUUUACCCUUGUGGGUAAUAGUAGGGUAGCUGGACCUUCAAAUUUUAUGUGGCUAAACUUUGUCAGAGAUCUUUGGCAAAGUUAUCUAGGGUACCCGAGGAAUUGAUGUUGCGCGUAGAGAUUGUCAACAGAUUUUACUCAAGAAAAUCCGCUUCUCGAAAUCCAGAGAGUGGUGCCUCUUCAAUUUUUGAACAAACGGCCCUGCUGCCCUUUCUUUUAUAGGGGCACCAAUUGUGUGCAGGAAGUAUGUUUAGAGAGUUAUUGCUUGUAGGAAUUUUCCCCUUAUUUUUGUACUUUAGAGAUUUAUUGGACCUCAUUUCUCCUUCAUCAUUUCUGAAAAUAUCUGGCCCAUCUGACCGUUGUUUUGACUUGAACUUUGGUGAAGAGGCAGCCAUGCCUCCUCAAGACAACAUAUGGCGCCCAUCUUUCUUAUCCCUUACUGGUUCUCUUACCGAUGGGGACUCUAUGAUGAAGAAUGAUAUGACCGCUACGGUGGUGGCCAGAAACCUUCUCACUCCCAAAGAUAACAGACUACUUUCCAAACGGUCUGAUGAGUUGGCUUAAGGAUUCUCUGGCUCUCAGUGUUUAGUGUGCGGGUUCUGUGUCUAAUAUGGCCCAACGCCUAUUUGCUCGAACCCGUCAAGUUGAAUCAUUGGUGACUGAAGUGAUAAGUCUCAAAUAGGAGAUCAGAGGGCUCCAGCAUGAGAAUAAACAGUUGCACAGGCUCGCACAUGACUAUGCUACAAACAUGAAGAGGAAGCUUGACCAGCUACAGGAAUUUGAUGGUCAGAUUUUACUUGAUUAUCAGAGGUUUAUGGGUUUGUUCCAAAGGCAUUUAUUGCCUUCAUCUUCUGGGGCUGUACCGCGUAAUGAAGCUCCAAAUGAUCAACCUCCAAUGCCUCCUCCUUCUGGGGUUCUGCCCAGUACUGAGGCUCCGAAUGAUCACCCUCCGAUGCCUCCUCUUUCUGGGGCUCUGCCGAUUGCUGAGACUUCUCCUGAGCAACCUUUGUGAAGGCUACCUCUUGUUUGUUUAUUUUGAUUCAUGUAUAUGUACAUAUUUGUAACUUAUCGGAGAUAUCAAUAAAUAAGCUUUGCUUCAUUUCAACGUAUUGUGUUAAAUACACCAAGGCCUCAUUCACUAAGUUCUUUGAAUUUAUUCUUUUGUUGAAGCUUAUAUGUUGAAGCUUUGUGAGUGAAGCAUAUAGGUUGAGGUAGUGCUCCCUUAAUUUCUCGAGUGAGAAAAACUUCUUGGUUGGAGACUUGAAAGAUCCAAAUCACUGAGUAGUCGUGAACCUUCCAAGUACCGAGGUGUAGUAGCAUAUGGUAGGAGUCCCCCAAGUCUCCGGUCGAGAGAGUUGACGAAGGAGGUGUCUUGCUAGUAGCCAAGUUUCCAAAGAAACAAAACUUCACCAUUUUCCUUUCUAAGUGGUAGCCCAAAACUCCUCCUUCAUUUGUAUUUGUUAUGAAAGUUGUUAGGCCCAAAGAAGGGGAGGCCUAGGCCUUUUUUUUUUUUUUUUUUUUUUUGAAUUUUUGAAUUUUUUUUUUCUCGAAUUUUCAAAAAAAUAUAUAUUUUUUAAAGCUUUAUAGGUAAAGCUUUGUAGGGUGAAGCUUUGAUGUUGAAGCUUUGUAGGUGAAGCUUUGGAGUUUGAAGCUUUGUAGGUGAAUCUUUGUGUUGAAGCUUUUGUAGGUGAAGCUUUUGUGUUGAAGCUUUGUAGGUGAAGCUUUUAUGUUGAAGCUUUGUAGGUGAAGCCUUUGAGGUUGAAGCUUUGUUGGGUACCAUGAAUUGAUUUUGCUUCACACUAUCUUGAUGAAGAGUGUGUGAAGCUUUUGAGAAUUGUAGUUGCCCUCCAUUUGUUGAAGCUUUUGUGGUGAAGCUUUGUUGGGUACCAUGAAUUGAUUUUGCUUCACACUAUCUUGAUCAAGAGUGUGUGAAGCUUUUGGCAUUUGUAGUUACCCUCCAUUUGUUGAAGCUUUUGUGGUGAAGCUUUUGUGUUGAAGCUUUAUAGAUGAAGCUUUGAGGUUGAAGCUUUGUUGGGUACCAUGAAUUGAUUUUGCUUCACACUAUCUUGAUCAAGAGUGUGUGAAGCUUUUGACAUUUUGGGGAAAACUAGAAAUUUGAAAAUGUGGGAGAGACAACACAUACAAAUUUUUCUUCCACACUUUGAGCAAGAGAUUGUGGUGCAAGCCACACCUUGUAGUAGUCAAAGGUUUGGAUGAACCAUAUAAAUUGAAUUUGCUUCAAACAGUCUUGAUCAAGAGUGUGUGAAGCUUUCUAUGAGUUGUAGUGUUUGCAUUGUUACAAAGGAGAAAUGUCCGAAGCAGAUGCAAGAGGGCUGAAGAGCUUAAUCUUCGUAUGCCAUGCACUGAAGCCAUUGUUGGCUUGCAAUAAGACCUUGUUGGUGACUAUAACUCUUGUUAGGCAUAAGUGUUCUCCUAGUUGAGUUGUAAAGCUUGAGGGUUUUUGAUUAUUUGUGAAUGCUAGGAGUUCACAUGUACAAGUUGUACCAUUCGUCUUCUGGUUGGUGGAAUGAAUGGUGAGUUGCUUUCAUCACUUUGAUUCAUGGUACGAAGGUGAGUUCCUUCAUCACCUUUUAUCACAUUUCAUCACCUGGUUGGUGGCACGAAGAUGAGUUCCUUCUUCACCUGGUUGGUAAUAAGAGUGGCAAGUUGCCAAAUAAGAUUAGAGUACGGGUUGUACAUUUCAUCAUCUAGUUGGUGGCAUGAAGAUGAGUUCCUUCUUCACCUGGUUGGUGGCAUGAGUGUUAAGUUGCCAAAUGAUAUUAGAGUAAGGGUUGUACAUUUCAUCACAUGGUUGGUGGCAUGAAAGAGAGUACAGGUUGUACAUUUCAUCACCUGGUUGGUGAGAAUAAGGGCAAUGUGUCGAGGCACAUUGUAGCAAGUGUUGAAUGACACAAACUAUGUUGAACCCUUUCGAAGCACAGUUGGCUUAUGUAUGGAUGCGUUGGAAUGUAUUAUGUUUAUGUAUGAAUGUGUUGAAAUGUAUGAUGUUUAUUUAUGAAUGUGUUGGAAUGUAUGAUGUUUAUGUUGAUUGACAUGAGUGUUGCUUAUGAAUGUUUUGCUAUGCAUGAAGGGAUCCAUGCUUUCGAUAUGCGAACCAUGUUGGUUGUAACACUUAGUAUCACAUACUUUGUGUCAAAGUACGCAUGUUGAAGCUCUGAGUUGGAUUAUAGGGGUAGGUCAGUGUAGACCAAGUGUUCCAGUGUUAGAAAUGCAAAAGACUCAGAAGAAGUUGUCUGAAUUCCCUCUUCUUUAAAUAUGUGCCGAAUGGCUUAUGUGACAAAAGAUCUCAAACGGUUGAGAGUCAAAACAUUUGUAAUGUGUAUGCCUUCUUAUAAUAGCAUUUCCUUUAGUACCUAGUCCUCCACUUUGAAAGAGUGAGGCUUGGCCCCAUAGUCAUAAUAGUCGACGGUACGUUCACCCCUGGUUUUCUUGAUACGAACUUUUAUCCCUCUUGUUGUAAUGGGCUUGCUGAGAGUAAAAAUCUUUCCUCUUACCAAGAGACAAAUAUGUUUGGUGACUUAGUGAGUAGCUAAAUGAGGCAGUAGAUGAUGCAAUGGGUGUCUUAAUGGCCAAGAUCUCCUCACUUGGUAGAACUUGACUUCCACUUCCCACUUGUUGAUAGGGGUUAACCAUAUAGGGGUUCCCUUGGUAUGUCCUUGCUUCGGCGGAAGCGUGGCUGUAAGCCUGUGCCAUCACCUCAGAGUAAGUCUUCCAAGUGUUGGCAUUGAUCAUGUACUUGAAGAAACAAUCACGUAGGCUUGUCGUGAAGGCUUUGAGGGCAGUCUUGUCAUCUGCCUCAGCGCAGCGAGAAUACUCAUAGCUAAAGCGACAUGCAUACUCUCAUAAUGACUCGUCCGACUUCUGGCGAAUAGGGUACAAGUCAUUUGCAGAAUGUAAGCGAUCAGUCUGAAAGAUGUGUUGAGAGACAAACAAUUUCCUUAGUUCUUCAAAUGAGUCUACUGUUUCGGGUGGAAGAUGACAAUACUAGUUUAGAGCUCCGUCAGAAAGGGUGGAAGGGAAAAGAAGACAUCGCUCUUCGUCGGUGUGCAUCCGAUAUGCCAUGGUGGACUCAAAGAGGUUAAGGUGUUCAAUCGGGUCCUCCAUUCUAGUAUAGAGUUGUAAACCAAACUUUUGUUUUGUCUUCGCUUGAAGAGGGGUGUCAAGGAUCCUCCUUAUGAUAGGGCUAGGCUUGGGUUGGUUCCAGUUAAGUAUCUCGGCCUGACGUUCGGCCUUCAACUUUUUUACUUCCUCAAGGAGCUGUAGGACAAUGGGGUCCUGAGUAGAGUCAUGUACCACUGGAAUUUUCUUCCGUAAGUCUCCAUUGUCUCUCAGAAGUAGAAAAGUUUAAGUAAGAGCGUGUGAUUUUUCCUUGGACUCGCCGUACUGACUUCUAGGGCGAGUCUGUCGGAAUACCUCCGAGUCCCCUGUACUUUCAUAUUCCUCUGGGACUUGUCGUUCCUUCCUUAGAUGGGCAGCUGGCUUGGGUCGUGGGAGGGGACCGAGUUUUUCAGAAACCCUUGGGUCAUUGAUCUUGGAGCUUAUGUGAAGGGGAUUCUCUCAAUGUUGUUUUAGGAAGUCUCGGCAGUCACGAUAAACAGCUUUCGAUCCUUCCAACUCUUCUGCAAGGAGGUGUCUUCCUCCACUUCUCCUGCUUCAGGUCGAAGCAGCUUGGUUGAGAGAAGUCUCAUGUUGAUCAAUGUUUUGAUGAUUAGCUCGCUCCUCAUUAGGGAUACCCAUGUCGAAGGAAGGUGACCCUCCGUGUUGAGGGGUACCCAGAUGAUGGUUGAUGUCCACAGGGGCAACAAGCUCGCGUGUUUGAGUACGCCUAGUUUCGUGGAACGUCUCGAAGAGCUUCUCAUAUUGUUCUUGGAGGAUCUCAUUCUUUAUUGCUAUCUUGAUCCUCCAGCUUCUCGACUUUAGCUUGAAGAAUGAGCUUCUUUCCUUCUUUCUUUCUUUGCUUCGCACUAGGUGUAAGAAGGGUGUCAUUAUGUGUGUCGUGGCUUCCUUUGCUCCCUAUGUUAGAGAGGGAUGCCUGGUCAAAAGAGAGUGUACAAAUGGUGGAAACCAGCUUGACAAAGUGAAGAAAGUGGGAAUAAGUGUCAUUCCAACAUACGGCGCCAAAUGUUGAUGCACAAAAUCAGUGAGGACAUUGGUACAACAGAAAAUGCAAGUUUAUGACCUUCGCUAAAUUGCUCCGGUCACUAGUAUGGAUAAGUAUGUAAAUGGAUAGAGACAAGGAAGCAAACACAAGAUAUACGUGAUGUAAGGUUAGUAUUUGUAGUGGUAGGUGAUAACAUUUAUUUUAUUCUCUAAGGAAUGUGUUUGGAAGGUUAAACAAUGUCAUUUAAAAAAAAAAAUUAAUGAGGUAUUACAACAAUUGAAAAUAAUUAUUAUAAACACAACUCUACUUUUUUUUAUUAAAGCAGCUUUUAAAAGCAACUUGUGGGCUGCUUUUAAAAGAUGCUCUUUGGAGUCUCUUUGUUUUGGUAAAUAUGUCUCUGGCUUCGGUCGGAAUGGGUGCUUUCAGAACGGCAUUUGAAAUGUUGUUUGAUGCUGUAAAAUCAGUGCAGGAGGAGAAUAAAAUGUUCCAACACCUCUCCCGAGACAUCAAGUUCGCACUAGACUCUGUACAACCACUCAUCAAAGACAUCGAAAAGUAUAACUCGAAAGAGGGACUGCAAAAUUUUGCAAUACAGAUGGAGGAGGGAGCAAGUUUUCAACAACUGUUACAUAAUCUCAGUGGCAUUCUCGAAUAUAGAAGAAAUGUAUAUCGACUAUUGCAGUGAUUUAAUAGAGUUGCCCGCCGAGUUUUGUGAUCUUAGUAAACUAAAGAAGCUCAGUGUCACUAACUGUCAUAAGAUAUCUGUCUUUACCUGAAGGGAUUGGAAAGUCGGAAAAUUUAGAAAUGUUCAGGCUAAGAUCCUGCACAGAACUGUCAAAGCUUCCAACCACGAUGAAGAACCUUGGAAAGGUAAACUUUCUUGACAUAUCUAUUUGCUUCAGCAUCAAGAUGUUGCCCAAAGACAUAGGUGAAAUGAGUAGUUUAAAGAAGAUCAACGUGAGACAAUGCUCAAGGUUGCAAGACCUGCCUCCAUCAGUCAUGGAUCUUAAGCAGUUAAAGGAAGUUGUCUGUGAUGAAGAGAUAAAAUACUUAUGGGAAUCUUUCUCAUUGCGUCUCAACAACGUAAGGAUAAUUGUGGCCAAAGAGAAUAUCAACCUAAAUUGGAUCCACAAGACUCAGUUCUGAUACCUGUGUUUCCUCGGUGAACGUUGCUCUUCAACCUCUCUUGACUUGUGUUUCAUUGUCUUCCUAUUUUAGGCUAUUUCCCAUCUCCUUUUCAGUUUACGCCCUUCGUUUCGUAAAUAGUAGUGUGGGAUAUUAAACCAUUGGUAUUAAAUAUAGAAAUUAUGAAAAUAACACAAGAAUUUCAAUAAUAAUAAUUACAAGGAAAUUCACAACAUCACAUGUGCACAAAAUUAAUAUAAACAACCAGAGAGAAAGUUAGAAAAACUGACAAACUUGGAGAUUGAGGCUUGCAUAAAUGCAAUGUCCUAAAGACAGAAUUUCGCCCCUACUCUUAUGCUUGUAGUUCGGUAGGCAUCCGUCUCCUAGGAUUCAACAAUCUAUAAUCCGAAGUCAAAGCAUUCAAUCUUCGGACUUUGGCUAACUUUAUAUAUUAUGUACUCUCAAGACACGACUCAGAAGUUUGACUAAGACAUUAGAGAAAACUAUUCUCAUAAUACUCUCACGACUAUACUAACGUGAGUUUAUAUAAAACCUAAGAUACUGGUUGAUUAAGAGACACAAGCAUUCAUGUAUUAGAUGAUACCGUUUACCAAAGAUUGCCUUGAUCCCUUUCAAAAGGUUAUGCAUUUUUCAUUCAAUAUUUUGAAUUAAAUAUUAUAAUUAUUAAUAUUAUAAUAUAUAAAUUCCAACAAUCCCCCACAUGAAUGAAAAAUUAGGAAGAAUUUAAGAGUACAGGCGAAAAAGAGAUGCAUCGGGAGAGGUAUCUUUUGGACUUGAACCUACCCUAGUGAAUACUUAUCGGAUUUACUUGGUGACGCAGUGAAUAUAGAAUCUUAAACUGUUCACCGUAAUAGUAAACCGAGACAAUAAGCAACACACAUCACUAAUCCUAAUAUAUUUUGGUUCAUAUGGUUGUGUUCAUUUUGGUCCUGAACAAAUCCCAGAUUCAUGAGAGCUUUAGAGAAUUUAGCCAUCUCAUACGCAUAGAAGCGACCCACUUCUACUCUCACAUAGGUGACCACUGAUUAAGAAUAGUCUACUCUAUUCCUCUUAUUUAUAAGAUAUCACUGUCAUUAAGUAUAAAUAUACAACCUAAAACCUCUGCAGACAACACACUUUUUCCAUCAUAGGAAUGAGGUAUAUAGUGUGUUAACUUCUUUGAAUCAUGCCCAACCAGUUUGCCUAUUGAACUUAGACCAUGGGAUCUCCAAUCAACAAAGUUAGGUUUCCGCUCGGCUGAUUCAUUAGUUAUGUUGGCUUUAGCCUCAUUCCCAUCGAUGAUCAACUUUCUCUCUAGUCUAACCUUUAAUAAUUGAAUCCACUACUAGGUUGACUAUUUUUAAUGGUGUGCACAAUCCAUCUUAUGAAAUUAUAUUUCAUACGAGAGGAGUUGUUUGACAUUACUUGAAAUGUCAAGUCCUCAAAAUUAUAUUAGAAAUCUCAAGAGUAAAAAUUAACUCUAAUUUUCUAUAUUUAAUACCAAUGGUUUCAUGGGUUUAUAUAGAAUCCAACUUCUACUUAUUAAAGAGAUGUAACUUUUCAUCUAUAAGUAUACAUCACUUAUUAAGGGAAUACACCUAAACAACAUAACCUUUCUAAGUAAUUUGCUAACACUAAGCACUUGGGUAAACUCCCCCACAUUUAAGGUAUUUGUAAGAAGAUCUCUAACCUUGCCAUACCUUAAAAUUAUUCAUUACAACAGAUGACAUCUUAAAUGUCGUUCAAUUAGCAAAUUACUUUUAACCAACUCCCACAAUUCUUUCAUAAUUGUAGUUGCUUUUAAUGCUAUCAUUAAAUCGAUCACAUUUUCCACUUUAAGAAGUAAGAAACAACUAAGAUAGACUCUAUCUAUCUUUUUAGGCCUUCAUGCUUCACUAGAAAUGAUGAGAAAAUCACUUCUUGACUUUCAUUCUUUCCUUACUCUGACUAACAUGCAUGAUCCGACUCAUAUGCUUACUUAAUAAGCAUCAUUAUGUCGAAUUCAAAUCUGUGAAAUGUCUUUCACAUUUUUAGUAUGGUCUUGUCCUUUUUUGAAAGACCCCCACACUUUCAUGAUUAUUUCUUUAUAUUAAUAUCACUUUAAAUGACACUCAAUAUCAUCAUGGGCCUCUUGUAAUUUAGAAAUAUAUCACUUCAAAGAAAGCAUAUAAAUGAUUUUGCAACAUUAUUAUCACUAUAUGAUAAUACAUCCAAUCGGUAUGUGGAAGUUUACAUACCAGCCAAUGAACACAUUUGAAUAUGCCAAUGACUAGUUGAAAAUGUCAUACCCCUUCACUGUCAAAAGCAGCACUUCAAAUGGCAUGCUUUUCCUUUGAAUCUCACAUGGUAGAUUUCAAUUUUCAAUUCCACCUUACAAAACCAUCCAUUUGUUAAAUAGUUGCAUAUUUAUGCAACUUUACCGCCACAUGGUUCAAUAUAAGUCUUGGACCUUGACCCCAUAAUUCAAUAAGCAUCUUUCGACGUUGAUAGAUAACUCAUCUAAAAUGAGUUCAGUUUAUUAGUUUAUUUUUGUUGCUUCUCAAAGCCAAAUUCAUCCACUUUCUGGGUUCUUAUCAUGACUGAAGGCUAGACCCAAUUCUGCAUAUGCACACAUAUGCCUGAGUAAUUGUUCAAUUUUCCUCAUACGUAUUCCAUUCAUUCCAUGAGUGGACAUGUACAUAUGAGUACUGCACUCAUCUUAUAUUCCAUGAUACCAUGGAAGUUGGGUUCAUAUCUUGUACUGGAGUUUUCCAACUGUUUCAAUACAAAUUUGAAACAACCCCAUUUUAUUUGUGUAUUCACUCUUCAUCAAGAGCUUUCGCUGACAUCUUUAUGAAUAUAAGGGUUUUCUCAACAAAAACCUAUUAAUCAUCAUCGUGCCCAAUCAAAUAUUGAUCUCCUUUGUCCCAAGAAAGAAACAUUGCAUUAGUCCACGAACUGGUACAUUAUGUCCCUUUUAGAUUUGCAAAUAAUGCAAAUUUUUGUAUGACUAUUGAAGAAAGUUGGGAUUCCAACAUAUAACCAAUUGAGAAUAUGGAGAACAAUCUAAUUCCUUAUAAGCUUUUGUUAUAUUUCUCAUUUCACCAAUGUGAAACCCCUUUUGUCUUCACAUCCUCACAAUCAUACCAUUUCACUUGGCCUUAUUCGAAACCUUUCUUCAUAUAAAGGAGACAAACACUGAACAUGGAUUUUAAGUAGAUCUGAUAAUAAUUGCAGUAGCCAUAUAAUAAAAAUUGUUAUCACUGUAUCGUUCUGGAAACUAGAAUCUUGAUCUUUUCUAUAUAAAACAGUUAUAGAGACAUGUAUAAAGUAACAGCCAAGUAUGAGAUUUCUAUAUAUCAAAGGAUUUAUAUAAUUAACAACAACAGCAACAACAGUUGCGGCAUGCAUAAUAAUUUACCAUGCCUCAAAGUUUAAAACAUUGUCUGAUCGCGACAUGCCUAGAAUGCCAAGAGAAGGUAAAUUCAAACUAACAUUAAUUUAAAAGCAGUUAGAUUCUAAUUUCUAAUAAAUAUAUAUAAGACAAAUAACCUUCUAUCCUAAUCAUCAUCAUCAUCAUCAAUAAAUCCCAAAAUUGUUGUGUUGUUUUGUGUGUGUAUAUAUAUAUAUAACUUUCAACACAUCAUCUAGCCCUGAUCUAUCUUUUCGUAGAAAUUUAAAGGAUUCAUGUCUUAGAUGCAUCGGUGAAAUAUACUGAUGUCUUCUUCUUUAUUUCUUCAAGAGGGCUAGGCUAAACAUAAAUUACAAUAUUUUCAUUGCGAAUCCCUAAAGUCCUAGGCUUUACUCAUAUUUUCUAAUUGUUUCAUAAACAAAUUUCUGUCUUUAGAUUGUUGGAGCAAUAUUAGAAAGUAUGAAAAUAACACAAGAAUUCCAAUAUUAAUAAUUACAAAGAAAUUCACAACAUCACAUGUGCACAAAAUUAAUAUCAACAACUAGAGAGAAAGUUAGAAAAACUAACAAACUUGGAGAUUGAGGCUUGCAUAAAUGCAAUGUCCUAAAGACAGAAUUUCGCCCAUACUUUUAUGCUUGUAUUUUGGUAGGCCUUCGUCUCCCAGGAUUCAACAAUCCAUAAUCCGAAGUCAAAGCAUUCAAUCUUCGGACUCUGGCUAACUUUAUAUAUUAUGUACUCUUAAGACACGACUCAGAAGUUUGACUAAGACAUUAGAGAAAACUAUUCUCAUAAUACUCUCACGACUAUACUAACAUGAGUUUAUAUAAAACGUAAGAUGCUGGUUGAUUAAGAUAUACAAGCAUUCAUCUAUUAGAUGAUACCGUUUACCAAAGAUUGCCUUGAUCCCUUUCAAAUGGUUAUGCAUUUUUCAUUCAAUAUUUUGAAUUAAAUAUUAUAAUUAUUAAUAUUAUAAUAUAUAAAUUCCAACAAGGUAUAAUCAUUUGUCGUUAAAUGAGCACUAUUUUGACAACCUUAAGAAAUUUUCUAAACUUGUGAAAUGUGAGGGGAAAUUUAAUAUCUGAGCAAUAAGUUUAAUGUGAAAGUUGUUUUUUUAGAGGGAAAAUGUGGUUUGUGUUUUUAAUGGGACUUCUUAAACUCUACUCUGACAUAGUUUCACAAUCAAUCCCUAUACACAGUUUCUUAACCUUUUGGUUUGAAAAUCUGUAUGUAUAGUUCAACAUCACAGUGUGAUUAUGCUCUCCCAAAAUAAGUUUUAUAAGUAAAAGGAACCAAAAAGAAGGGGUUGAAGAGUCUCCAUAAGACAAGAACUUUUAUGUCACAGAGUCAAGUAUUAAUCUCGUCAUCGGUAAGUUUCUCAAGUAUCUAUAUUCACAUUUGUUGGUCAAGUUUUCAGAAUUGUGUUCACAUAUAAUCUAAAUUCAUUGCCAAAUGUUGAGGAAUUGAUUGUUAUUGACUAUUGCGAUGAAUUGGUCUCAAACUACGUUUUCCAACCAACACGGUUUGAUCAGUUUUAAAAAAACCACUGUUUGAUUAGUCUCGUUCAAUACCAUUACGUGAUUAGCUUAAAUUUACUUUUCAUGUUCAAACUAGUUAAACUAAGAAAGAACGGGCCAUAUUUUCUUUCUUUUCAAAGUUGUUCACAUAGAAGUGGACAUUGACAAAGUAGAUAAUGAAUAACAUUAUAACAUUGUAAUUUGGAUGAAAAUACACAAAUCCAAUACUUUAAUUAGAUGCAUUAUACUUUAAAUGAAAAUAAAUAAAUUUAAUAUUCUUAGAGGUCACAAUAGAAAUUUCACAACUAAGAACGGAUUAGGGCAUGCCAAUACUUAAAAAGCCGACUUUUCUAAUUCAAUUCACAAGAUUCUCAAAACCAUUGCUCACACAUAUUCUAAAACUAAGGCUAGAGUGACACAGUUAAGCCAAGCCUACAUCUUUGAAGCUGAUAUCAAAUCUAAGAAACCAACAAGUCAAGUGAUGCAACUUUGGACCACUUAAACGAAUCCAAACCAGAAAACAAUUCCGAACCAUCACUCAACGGAAUCGUGGAGUAGAAGGGAUUUAGGACCAUCACUCAAAGGAAUCCAAACAAGGAUACGAUUCCGGACCAUCACUCAACGGAAUCGAGGAGUAGAAAGGAUUCCGGACCAUCACUCAAUGGAAUCCAAACAAGGAUAUGAUUCUGGACCAUCACUCAAUGGAAUCACUUGCACUAUCAACUUCUCAUGACCACUAUCUUGUCAUACAAGCAUAAAAGUUAUACAUAAUACUUCUCAUAAGAUUCUGGGUUCACAUCGUCCUAAAAACAAUCAUACACAUCAUAUUGAUCAUACAUAUCUAACCACAUUUCAUAAAUGUUUCCAAGCUACAAUCGAAUCACAAUUAAUAAACAUAGAUCGAUGCUAAAAUAAAAUAACACUUCAAUAGAAAGCACAUUUAAUUAACAAGUAUAACUCAAUAUGAUGCAACUAAUACAUAUAUCGAGACACACAUCAACCAAGAAUGACACGUCAUCGUGAUGAGCCAACUAAGUUCCAUCAAGCCUCAACAGCAAACUAGAGAUAAACGACACUCUAGAGUAUAACACGUUGACUAGAACGUUAACCGUCAAUAAGGUAGGUCCAUUAAGAUCAACAAUCUAAGGUUAUUUAAACCAGAAGAUCCGCACAUCAGAUUUCCGAUCCGUAAGUUCUCAAAGGUCCAACAACUGAUACCUAAGGUGCUCACAAAAUUGUACGACGAUCCAACAAUCGGAUUGUCAUCAAUCAUACAAACAAGUGGUAGUCCAAUUUGAUUACCACAUCAAACAAUUUAAUUUCGGGAAACCGAGCUAGACAUAGGUUCAUAGAGUCACUAGAAGGUAUUUAGUACUUAGACAACAUUCAUGGACGGUCUCACGCACCGCCACAAGCGAUGGUAGCCAUGGUGAAGGGUUUGAAAACCCAAAUUUUCAACCUUAACCAAAAAGGUUCAAAUUUAUGUGGUAACUAGAGCUCAACAAGGGAAACAUUAUUCACAACUAGGCCAAUGACAAAUUCUAACCGGAAACCAUCCAAAUUCAUCGGGAAAAACCGGGUUUCUAGGGUUCUAAACACCCAACUCUAAAACAAAUACGAAAGCACAAAACAAGCAUAUCAACUUGAAGAUUAUGAAGAGUAGAUGAAGCUUAAUACCUCACUCGAAAGAAAUGGUUGCCGAAAUCACCGGAAAAAUGACAAAAUCGUCGGAAACCAAGGAACUUUGCUGCCUCGAACUGGAAAAAUGGAUAAGAAAAUUGGAAAUGUAACACUGCAGAGAUGUAGGGCUCGUCAAGAGCUUUCUAUGGACUCCAAGAUCACCCAAAACGGAGAUCGGAUGAAGGAGAUAUGAGCAGAUCAAGUUUGCGGGUUAACGGGUCUAAUUCGCCCCAAAACGGGUUUUUUCUUCUUUUCUCUCGCCACACUUCCGUGGCUUUCUUUUCCUUCCCUCUUUUAGCCACUCCCGUGGCUUUUUCCUUCUCUUUUCAUUUUUUUUAUUUUUUAUUUUUUUAGCAACAACUUCAAACGUCCGUAACUAUACCGUUACAAUUUGGACUCGCAAACGGUUUUUGCCUAUACGUUCAUAAUCUCGAUAUCUAUUCGACAAUAUAAAUUGUGACCUCGAAUGGUCUACAGAUUUUAAAUAAUUAAUUUCCCGAAAAAUAAUAUAAAAUUUCUAUAAUACCAAUACGUAGAUUAUAAUAAUGAAAUCCAGGAACGGGAUUUGACAUUCUCCCCCCCUUAAAAAAAUUUUGUCCUCGAAAUUUUAGUAUCAAUUCAAUAUCCACCAAUGCCACAAUUCAACCGAAUGACAAUUUCGAAAUGGUAUUUACUCUUUAAUUAUAAUCGAAUUUAAUUAACAUCAAACUCGACAACAUCGAAUCACAAGUCACAAAUACAAUUAUCAUCGUCUCAGCACGACUUCACCACCAAUCUUUGCACAAUCACAAAGAAUGGCACUACUAAUAAGAAUUCAUCAAUAUACUCAUAAUUCUGGCAACCAUACCAACCAAUUUUGUAAUUACAAGCAUUUCCCAUUAUUCCAUUUAUGGUGAAUAAGAUCAUAACCUCAGUCUACGAGUUUAUUCAACUCAAAACAAAUAAAUUAACGGAUAGAUCAUCAUGAUUCUCACCCAUAUACUCAGAUUCACAGCAAUAUUUAUUGGCAGAAUAAAUAUUAGAAAUUCUAGCCAUACACAUUGUCAAAAUAUUUAUUAAACAUCAAGCCACAGUCUUCAUAACUUAAAAUAAUUACUAAAUUAUCAAAUCACAUUUACUAUUGGUUAGACAUAUACUAACAUAAUAAUUACAAUUAUUGGUAAACCAUCCACCAUCAUUGGCUAUACAUAGUCGUAACUACGAUUCUUUCUCAAAAUUUCUAGCCACACUCCCUUGCAAAAUAAUAUCCACCUUAAACCAUAAGUCUUGUUGGCUAAAUGAAUAUUAAAAUUUCAGCCAACCAUUAAAAUUGACAAAUCAAGUUCCAAAAUUCCAACCAAAAUUAUUGGAAUUUCCAAACACAUCACUAGGUAAUGGAAAGAAGAAUACCAAGUGAUCACAAAUAAACCGAAUUAUGAGUCAUUGAUUAAUUUGACUCAAAUUAUUUCCAUAUCAUCUAUUAUAUGCUUAUUUUUGCUCAAAAACAAAUUUUGACAUUCCUUUAGUGUUGUUUUCAGAGCAUACCUACGUCAUAUUUUACUACACAAGGAACGAGAUCAUAGGUAUCAAUGUAAACGUCGUGAAAACAAUCUUUGAAUCAAGAAUAGCUAUCAUGGCAGCAGUUAUUCUCUUCCUUACAAACGAAGGGUUAAAAUUUAGUCACCAUUCCACAUUCAACCAAUUUGUUUUGAAUCAAGGUUAUAGCGGUGAGACGAGCAUCGAUAUUAGAUCAUUUAUUGGCUGAGUUGUGCAAUAGCAAUUUUUAUAAACUUUCACAUACUCCAACACAAUGAAUAAGAUAGUAAUAAUUCAACCAAUUUCUUCCCAAUUUCUCACCAAAACAGAUUAUGCAACCAGUUCAUGUAUCAAUUUAAAGAUAGUCUCAGUCAUAGAACUAACUUAUCUCACAUUGACAAAGUCACAUGCCAAAUCUCAAGCCAUGACUAACAUGGCUAACAAAAUAUCAUAAUUUCAUACCAUAAUACGUUAAUGGUAAACCAACCAAUCAAGUUUAUAAUUAUCAACCUUUCGCGUCAAUUCUUUUCAUCAGACGAAGAAACUCAGUUGGGAAAGCAUUUAUAUUAAAUGAAUUCAAAUUUUCAUUCUAUAAUUUCAUUCAUAUUCACCCACCAUUCUCAUUAUAAUGGCAAACCAUAAUCACAGUUUAUAAUUUCAUUCCCCUUCAACAAAUCACCAUAUCUUCCUUAAAUGUUAACAUUUCCAACCACUUUUAUCGUUGGCCAAAACAUUUUAAAAUUUCUAUCCACACCUAUCAUUGACGGAAUAAUGAUUUCACCAUCUUUUUCUUUUAUUUCAAUCAGUGACUAGUAAUCUGGAAAAGAUUGUAAUAUACCUGACCAAUACACAUCACACUUUCUUUUUCUUUUCUUCUUCUUCUUUUUCUUUCUUUUUCUUCUUCUUUUUCUUCUUCUUUUUUUUCUUCUUUCUCACAUCUACGGGCCUUUUCCGCCCAUUUACACAUUCGCAGGCCUUUCUUGCCCAAUUUCACAUUUCCACCCUUAUAUCCACGGGCCUUUUGCCCAAUUCAAUUUCUCAAGUGCCAGGUCUAAUACAAACUCUCCAUCUACUUAUCACCACCUCAAAAUCACCUUAACAUUCAACAUUUUCAUAAUACAUAGAAAAAUAACCAAGUAGGCAAUUACGUGACUCCCUAAUGCGGAUUAACCAGCAGGACCACAAAUGGCCCCCCAAUGCGGAUUAACCAAGCAGGGUCAAGAUAAUCAGGUAGGUAGUGACCCCCCAAUGAGGAUUAACCAAGCAGAGUCACACCUGCAGAACUGUUAGGCAGUGAUCACCCAACGCGGAUUAACCAAGCAUGAUCACCCCUAAGUAUAAAUAGCCAUCAGGAUCGCCCAACGCGGAUUAACCAAGCGCGAUCCAUAUAUAGUAUGGUCCCCUAAUGCAGAUUAACCAAGUAGGAUCACUAAUGACCCCCUAUCGUAGAUUAACCAAGCAGGGUCAUAGUCUCCUAUUAGGCCUCAAUUUAACAACCAUUCCAAUAUGCAAUUCAAUUCACUUUUUCAAAAAUAUUAUCAAUCCAAUUUACUUCACUUCAUGAUGUUUCACAACAUAAAUAUACUUCUCACAUAACUUUCUCAUUACUUAAAGAACUUAGGGAAUAAUGCAAUACCAAUGCAAAUCAUAAUUCCCAUUAAUGAGUUUUUCAUAAUCACCAUGGAAAUUUCACCACAACACAAUGCAAUUCAUAUAUGUAUCUCAAAAGUAUAUGUGUCCAUAUAUCACAUGAAUGCAUCUUUAUGCCCAAAAAAAUUAUGAAAUCAUGCAACCACAAUGCAUAUCGUAAUUCACGCCAACAAGACUCGAAAAGGUUGUAUAUCAUAGAGUAUGAUCAUUUGCUCUGAUACCAUUAAAUGUUGUCACGCCCCGAUCCCGACAUACGUCUAGAAUCGACACGUGACGUCACCAAAUACCCAUAUCUAUCAUACCUCGCCUUUGGGAUAUGGGCAGAGCACAAUUCGAUAAUCGAAUCGCAUAGUAAUUUUACGUAUGCUUUAUGGCUGCAUUUAACCUCCUCGUUAGACUGCCUACGUACCCUAAACAGGGAUCAAGUCAUUCGUAGUUCGUCAUGUACUAUAAUUGACAUAUGUCACAGUCCGUUUAAGGCGAAGGGCAUAACAUUUCUCAAUCAAUCAAUAGCUUAACAAGCAUGAAAUUUCUAGACUCAAGGUUACAUAACAAACCCACCUGAAAGUCAUGAUUUCCCUUCCAGCUUCUGUAUAAGUCAUUAUGUCGCAACAUGAUACCGUAAUUCACAACAUAUAUCAUAUCAAGAAACCGACGAAGCACAAUACAAUUCUCUAGCCACAUUAAUUAACUAAUUUGCCCAAAAUAAUAACAACUAUAACCAUAUCUUCUAAAUUCAUACUUUAUGAAAUCAUAAUUGAAUCAUAGAAAAUCAUGAAGGAGUCACCCAAACGUCCAACAACUUUUCUAAUUCAAUUCACAAGAUUCUCAAAACCAUUGCUCACACAUAUUCUAAAACUAAGGCUAGAGUGACACAGUUAAGCCAAGCCUACAUCUCUGAAGUUGAUAUCAAAUAUAAGAAACCAACAAGUCAAGUGAUGCAACUUUGGACCACUUAAACGAAUUCAAACCAGGAAACGAUUCCGGACCAUCACUCAACGGAAUCGUGAAGUAGAAAGGAUUCUGGACCAUCACUCAACGGAAUCCAAACAAGGAUACGAUUCCGGACCAUCACUCAACGGAAUCGCGGAGUAGAAAGGAUUCCGGACCAUCACUCAACGGAAUCCAAACAAGGAUACGAUUCCGGACCAUCACUCAACGGAAUCACUUGCACUAUCAACUUCUCAUGACCACUAACUAUCUUAUCAUACAAGCAUAAAAGUUAUACGUAAUACUUCUCAUAAGAUUCUGGGUUCACAUCAUCCUAAAAAAAAUCAUACAAAUCAUACUGAUUAUACAUAUCUAACCACAUUUCAUAAAUGUUUCCAAGCUACAGUCGAAUCACAAUUAAUAAACAUAGAUCGAUGCUAAAAUAAAAUAACACUUCAAUAGAAAGCACAUUUAAUUAACAAGUAUAACUCAAUAUGAUGCCACUAAUACAUAUAUUGAGACACAUGUCAACCAAGAACGACACGUCAUCGUGAUGAGCCAACUAAGUUCCAUCAAGUCUCAACAACAAACUAGAGAUAAACGACACUCUAGUGUAUAACACGUUGACUAGAACGUCAACCGUCAAUAAGGUAGGUCCAUUAAGAUCAACAAUCUAAGUUAUUCAAACCGGAAGAUCCGCACAUCAGAUUUCCGAUCCGUAAGUUCUCAAAGGUCCAACAACUGAUAACUAAGGUGCUCACAAAAUUGUACGACGAUCCAACGAUCGGAUUGUCGUCAAUCAUACAAACAAGUGGUGGUCCAUUUUGAUCACCACAUCAAACAAUUGAAUUUCGGGAAACCGAGCUAGACAUAGGUUCUUAGGAUCACUAGAAGGUAUUUCGUACUUAGACAACACUCAUGCACAGUCCCACGCACCGCCACACGCAAUGGUAGCCAUGGUGAAGGGUUUGAAAACCCAAUUUUCAACCUUAACCAAAAAGGCUCAAAUUUACGUGGUAACUAGAGCUCAACAAGGGAAACAUUAUUCACAACUAGGCCAACGACAAAUUCUAACCGGAAACCAUCCAAAUUCAUCAGGGAAAACCGGGUUUCUAGGGUUCUAAACACCUAACUCUAAAACGAAAACGAAACCACAAACCAAGCAUACCAACUUGAAGAUUAUGAAGAGUAGAUGAAGUUUAAUACCUCACUCGAAAGAAAUGGUUGCCGAAAUCACCGGAAACCCAAGGAACUUUGCUGCCUAUAACUGGAAAAAUGGAUAAGAAAAUGGGAAAUGUAACACUGCAGAGAUAUAGGGCUCAUCAAGAGCUUUCAAUGGACACCAAGAUCACCCAAAACAGAGAUCGGAAGAAGGAGAUAUGAGCGGAUCAAGUUUGCGGGUUAACGGGUCUAAUUCGCCCCAAAACGGGUUUUUUCUUCCUUUCUCUCGCCACACUCCAGUGGCUUUCUUUUCCUUCCCUCUUUUAGCCACUCCGGUGGCUUUUUUCUUCUCUUUUCAUUUUUUUUAGCAACAACUUUAAACAUCCGUAGCUAUACCGUUACAAUCCGGACUCGCAAACGGUUUUCGCAUAUGCGUUCAUAAUCUCGAUAUCUAUUCAACAAUAUAAAUUGUGACCUCGAAUGGUCUACGGAUUUUAAAUAAUUAAUUUCCCGAAAAAUAAUAUAAAAUUUCUAUAAUACCAAUACGUAGAUUAUAAUAAUGAAAUUUAGGAAUGAGAUUUCACACUUAUAGUUUUGAAACAAAUAAUUUUACAUUAGAAAAGAUAACUUAUACUUUCACUAAAAAGGAGAGCUGAUUUUUAUUAAUUAACAUUGAAGUUUUUGCCUAUUCAAGAGAUGUGGGUCCUGUAUUUCAAUCAACACAUGUGAGUCUCAUCUCUAUUAAAAAAAUGAUACAAAUGAUGGUUACAAAUAAAUGAUAAGAAUAAUAUUUUUAUUUACAAAAAAAUUAUUAUGCACUCCUAUCUAAUAAAGUAAACAAGGUCAAAAGGAGGACAAAGUGGGUUUCUUUUAGCGCUAAUAUUCUUUUAGAAACUAUAUAUUUGAUUGUAUGAACAAUAAAGUCAUUGUACAAUUUAAAUUUAAAACUCAUAAAGAAAAUUAUACAAGGCAUACAAAGUUUAUUAAUCAACAUUGAACCUUUUGUGCAUAUUCUUUGAAAACAUAAGGAAAUUAUACAAUGGUCUCCUCACAAGAAAUUCUCAACUCUUUCAUUUUUUGUGAACUUGUGAUACACGCUAAAGGGGAUGAAUUCUUCAAUGAAAUUUUGACAUGUAAAAAUGAGACCUAUUCGUAAGUUUAUUGAAAAUAAUAAAGCUCAUAUGAGUAGCCCAGAAUAUAAUUUCCUUGUGUUUUCAUAGCAUAUGAACACAAAAUAUAAUGUUGCAAAAUAAGUUUGAUGUUUUAUGUAUAUAAUUAUAAGUAUAAUAUUUUCUCACCUUCUAGUACAAGUUUUGUGCAUAUUCUACAAAACCAAAAACAAAUUAAAACUCAACAUCAUAGCAAUAUUUUCUCAAAAAUAAAAAAGCAUUUCGUAGUAAACGAAUAUACUUUUCCCUCACACUAAAUUUCGUAAAUAUUUUAUGAAAAUAUAAGGAAAUUACACUAUGGUCUCCCCUCAAGAAAUUCCAAGAAAUUCCCAGCUCCAUUAUUUUUUGUUAACUUAUAAUUCAUGGGAUCAAUUUACCAAAGGACGUAUGAUACACGUAAAUAAGAUCAAUUUAUAAGUGCAUUGAACAUGACAUAUUAUGUUAAUAGAGAAACAUAUAAUUUUCUUAUGUUUCAUGGCAUGUGCACAAAAAGUUUUAUUGUUGAAAAUUUUAUAUGUAUAUAAGCAUAUUUUCUCAUCUUAUAGUAUGCUAAAAGGAAACCAAAUAGUAGCAUCUUCAUAAUAAAUUCUCUAACUUGCUUACACCAGGCCUAUAGUGGCGAAGCCACGUGAGGGCGAGGAGUGGCGUCCACCACUCCCCUAGCCUGAAAAACAAGACUGGAGCGCUGAUUUUGCCCCUCCCCUGCCGGAAAACCCACUGGUUCUACUAUUGUUGGUCUUCGUCUCCGACUCUCCGGUCUGCUUUGCAGAUCUAACUUUUUUUUUUUUUAAACAACCAGGCCAAAACAACGUCGUUUUGGACCUGGUAAAAAAAUUUUAAAAAGAAAAAGAAAAAAAAAUGAAACGGGCAGUUUUGAUAAGUUGGAAGUCAAAAAAAAAAAUUAUAUAGGGGGACCGCGUGUCCCCCAUUCAUUCAAUCUCUUCCUUUCUCUCUCUGUUGUGUCGUUUUGCACCUUUCCCCUUUUCAUCCUCCAAUCACAGCAGCAAAGGGCAGCCAUUGCUCCCCUUUUCGAAGCAGAAAAUGGAACGGAACUUCUGCACAGCAGCACCGUUUGGCAUUAGACCAAUUAGCACUCAACAGCAGCACAGCGCCACUGCCAGGGCCCAGCUUCCAACCAUCAAACACAAUAUUUAGGUAAAUUUUUUAAUUCCCAAAUUUAUAAUCCCUAACCCUAAUUAAUUAUUUAAAAUGAAUUUUGUUUAAUUGGUAUAGAAUCAUAUAGUAAAACACUCAAUGCACUAAUAUGGUUAUAGUUAUUGAUUAUUGAUAUGAAAUUAUGAAAUUAUUUUUUAGGGUAAAAAUUAAAAUUUGAAUUCUCGAUUAUUUAUUAAUUAAUUGAAUUAUUACAUAAUGUAUUACAAUUAUUCAUGUGAUUAGUUGAAUUGAAUUUUUAUUUAUCGAAUAAUUGUUUGUUUAUUGGUAUUGAUUAAUUGAAUUGUUGGUUGGAUUAGUUAUUAUGCAUACUAUAGUAUAGUCUACUCUAGGAUUAAGAGUCUAAGAAUUUUUUUUUUCUUUCCAUUUUACAGUUAUGUAAUGGAACGAUACUAUAAGAAACAAUGCUUAAAUCCUCCUUCAAACAUUUCGGGUAGUCCUUCUCCUUCAAACAUUUCGGGUAGUCCUUUUCCUUCAAAUAUUCCGAGUAGUCCUCCUCCUCCUUCAAAUAUUCCAAGAAGUCCUCCUUCGAAUAUUCCUAGUAGGUCACAACAAAGUAAGGCCACUGAGUUGGAUGAAAUAUUAGCUAAUCUUCCUGCAGACCCUGGACAUAGACGUCAAAUGCUUGAUUAUCCACCUAAUUAUCGUGAAGCAAUUCGUAGACACUAUCUCCAAAAUGAUCCUUGUCAACCUAGAGACCACAUCAUGCCAAGAAAAGUUUGUGACAAAAGAUGUUUUAUCAUCGGUUGGUUUGAUAAGUUUAAGUGUUUGGAGUAUAGUAUAUCAAAAAAUGCUUCAUUUUGCCGUUAUUGCUAUCUUUUCAAAUGUGAUUUCGAUCAAAUGGGUAGCACUAGAAGUGAUGUCUUCACUAAGAAAAGGUUUACAAAUUAGAAGAAAGGACCUCAAAAUCUUCGAGUCCAUGAGGGAGGUGUUGGAAGUCUUCAUAAUAAAGCUGUACAAUAAGCUAGAGAUUUGAUGGCACAAAAACAACACAUUGAAACAUUUGUGAGUAAGCAAACCGAUGAAGCUCGCAUUAAUUAUCGUACUUUCUUGAAUGCCUCACUUGAGUGUACAAGAUGGUUGUUAGGACAAGGUUUGCCUUUUCGUGAUCACGAUGAAUCAUUCAAAUCAAGCAAUAGAGGUAAUUAUUUGGAGCUUAUGCAAUUUCUUUCCAAGCAUAAUGAGCAAGUUAGGAAAGUUGUGUUGAGAAUGCUCCCAAGAAUCUUAAGUAUACUUCUUCCGAUAUUCAAAAAGAUCUUGUCCGUGCUUGUGCCAUUGAAAUUAUAGAUGCAAUCACUAAAGAUAUGGAAGGUGCAUUCUUUUCUCUUUUGGUUGAUGGAUCACAUGAUUCUUCAACUAAAGAGCAAAUGGCAGUAGUAUUGCGUUAUGUGAACAAAAAAGGAGAAGCAAUUGAAAAGUUUUUGGGUGUACAACAUGUCACUUCUACAACUAGUAGCUCACUUGAAGAGGCUAUUGAGAGAUUUUUUGCUACAACAAAUUUGAGUAUGUCCAAGUUACAGGACAAAGCUAUGAUGGAGCUAGUAAUAUGAAAGGUGAGCUAAUGGCCUUAAAACAAAGAUUUUGAACAAGUAUCCUCAAGCAUUUUAUGUUCAUUGUUUUGCACACCAACUUCAACUAGCUCAUGUAGCCGUUGCAAAGGGAAUUGAGGGCGUCGCCAUUUUCUUCAACAAUGCUAGUAUCUUGGUCAAUACUAUUGGAUCAUCGUGUAAGCAUCGUGAUGCAUUUAGAGAGAAACAACUAGAACAAAUUACAAAAACUCUUGAUAUUGUUGAUCUUGAAAUGGGUAGAGGGUUAAAUCAAGAGAGCAGUCUCAUGUGUCUUUGUGAUAUACGUUGGAACUCACAUUAUGGUACUAUAAUGAGUAUUAUUGUCAAUUUUGAAGCUGUGGUGGAGGUGCUUGAAUGGAUUAAAGAUGAUACCAACCAAGACAAUUUCGAAGAAGCAAGUAAGUUAUUCCAUGACAUACAAACUUUUGAUUUUGUGUUUCACCUUUUUUUUAUGAGACACAUAUUGGGAAUUAUAGAUGAGUUAUCACAAGCAUUACAAAAGAAAGAUGAAGAUAUUGUGAAUGCGAUGGCAUUAGUGGAGGUAUGCAAGCAAAGAUUACAAUCCUUGAGAGAUGAUGAUUUUGGGAACUUGCUUGAUGAUGUACAAAAGUUUUGUGAAGAGCAUGAUAUUGUUGUUCCUAACAUGGAGGAUUUGCAUUUCGUACCCGAAAAAUCAAGGCGUAAAGCUCCAAGACUCACAAACUUCCAUUACUAUCGUGUGGACCUCUAUUUUCAAGUCCUUGAUACGCAAUUAAAGGAAUUGAAUGAUCACUUCGAUGAGGUAAACACUGAAUUGCUUCUUUGUAUGGCAUGUUUGAGUCUGGUGAAUAAUUUUGCAUCUUUUGAUAAAGCAAAAAUUGUUCAUCUAGCCCAACAUUAUCCUCAAGAUUUUGAUCGUAUGGACCUCAUAAAUCUUCCAAUUCAACUUGACAAUUACAUUCAUGAUAUGAAGAUGCAUAGUGAGUUUUCAUCAUUGAGAGGAAUUGUGAUCUUGCAAAGGAGUUGGUGAAGACCGGAAGGUGUGCAAGCUAUAUCUUAGUGUAUAAGCUUCUUACAUUGGCUUUAGUGUUACCGGUUGCAACCGCUUCGGUGGAGAGAGCUUUUUAUGCUAUGAAGAUUGUGAAAACACCAUUGCGUAACAAAAUGGGAGAUCAAUUGUUAAGUGAUAACAUGCUUGUUUACAUUGAGAGAGAUGUAUUUGCUUUUAUUGAUAAUGAGCCUAUUAUGCGACGUUUUCAUGAUAUGAAACCUCACCGGCAACAAUUGUAAUUGUAUUGAUAAAUUAUGGAAGACAUUACUAUAUAAAAGGAUUUGGUUGUUGCUAUUCUUUUGAACUUUGCAAUCUUUUAACUUCGCCCCUCCCCCCGUCAAUUCCUGGUUUCGCCACUGCAGGCCUAUGAAUUCACUCGCAACAAAAUUUGAAUUGAGAAAAAAAUUCAUCUUACACUAUUCUCCAAUGAAAUAAGAAAGGUCAAAAGGAGGGCAAAGUGAAUUUCUUUUAGCAAUAAUAACAGUUUUUUUUUUUUGAACAAACAAUAUAAUCCAUACUAAGGAGGUGAGGGAGGUGGGCUAAGCCUCACAAUGACUAACAAUAAUGUGGUUCAAAUUCUUCUUUGGUGAGAAUCGAACCUAAGAACUCUUACUUACAAGUGAAAAGGAAUACUACUAGACCGUAGUACUAAGUUGCCUAAUAAUAGUUCUUUUAAAAACUAUAUAUUUGAUUACAUGAACAAUAAAGUCAUUGUAUAAUUUAUAUUUAAAACUCAUAAAGAAAAUUAUUUAGGAAAUAAAAUUAUAUUUAAAGACAUUCAAGUUUUAUUAAUCAAUAUUGAAACAAUUGUGCAUAUUCCAUGAAAGCAUAUUGAUGAGAUUAUAAUAUAGUCUCCCACAUGAAAUUCUCAGAUCUAUUAAUUUCCGUGAACUUGUGAUACACAAUAAAUGUGUGAAUUCUCCAAUGGACUUCUGAUAAUUGUAAAUGAAAUCCAUUCUUAAGUUUAAACUGGAAAUGACGAAGCAACCAAGAAGAACAAAGUAGACCCAGGAGGAGCCAAUAACACACCAACACAAAACUAAAAUACUCACUAGAGAUACUCACAAAUAACCUCAAGAAAAUAGUAAGGCUAGGAGAACGGAGAUGGGCAGCCAUUGGCCACAAGCUAAAGAAAGGGGUCAGGAGCUGUGAAUUUUAUAAAUAUAAGAUUUUAGUAGAGGAAAGGAGAGAGACGCUAGCAGUAGUUUCUUAUAUAUUAGCAUUCCAAGAAUCCAUCCUUUUGACUUUUAUUAAUGUAUUUCUAGUACAAUUUUAAUAAGAGUAUUAUCGGAAAGUAAAUAUGUAUUUUACACUAAUAAGAAAGAUGUAAAUUUGGGAGCUCAUUUAUUUAUGGUCUCUUUUAACCAAUGAAAAUGGAUAUACAUAUUUUUUUAGUCCACCUCUUAAAAAUGUAAAUAUACAUUUUAUUCACAUGUUUACACUAAUCCUUUGAGAGCUUUCCAACCAAAAAAAAUUAAAUUGUAGUACACCACAUGCUAUUAUAUAAUUGGAAAAAAAAAUUAAUUUUUCAAGUGUUAUUCUAUUUGUAUAAUGAUAUGUGUUAUAUUACUUUGUGUUUUGUGCACUGAAAAAUAUCUCGUAUCAGAUAUGCUAGUGGAGUACCAAUUUGGGGUUGUUGAAAUUAAUUUUUUUUUGUCAAAGGGUUGUUGAAAUUAUUUAAAAGAAUAAAUUGUAGCAAUGGUACCUCAAUUUUAAUGAAAUUAGAGCAAUGAUUCUUCAACUAAAAACCUAUUAUCAUUCGUCCUUCAACUCAUCAAAACGUGUAGCUGUGAUCCUUUUCGUCAACUUGGUCAAAAUGAAUUAUGUUGGAAGGACCAUUGCUACAAUUAGAUUAAAGUUUAGGGACCAUUCUCCAAUUGGAUUAAAAUUGAGAGACCAUUUUUUCAGUUAAAUUAGAAUUGAAGAACCAUUGGUAAUAGAUUUUUAGUUGAGGGACUAUAGCUGCACGUUUUGAUGAGUUAAAAGACCAAUGCUAAUAGAUUUUUAGUUAGAGAUCAUUAUUUCAAUUGAGUUAAAGUUAAUUGACUAUUACUAUAAUUUACUAUAUUUAAAAAGCAACUUAUUAAAAAAUCUGGUGAAUGGUGAACAUUAAAGUUUAAUGAAAAUUUUAUGAGGAUAGCAGUACCCUGGGUUUUUAAUUAAAAUUACAGCCAGUAUCUUCGCUUCUCCUUUCCCCUUUCUCCAUGUCGUCCUUCAAAUCGAAGGUUGGCGACCUUCAAUUACCUGGAGAAAUCAACAAUAAGCCAUAAUUCCUUCAAUUAGAGGAUGCUCUGCUCGUCUUCUGCUGACUUUUCUUUAAAUUUUGAGCUUACAGUGCUCACAUGGGAACAUAGAGAGAGAGAGAGAGAGAUAAAGAGAGAGAGAGAGAGAGAGAGAUUGAAGUUUUUAUGGAAGGAAAGAAAUUUGAGCUUUGUGUAGGAUAGAGCAGGCGAGUGAGAUUGCAUGCGACGAAUCAGUUAGGUUUCUGACUUCAAAUGGCGCCGUUUGUGGUCUGAUCCGUCCGAGUUAUGGAGAUCGGACAUUGGAGCUCCUAACUAGCAAUAAUUUGGAGCUGCAGAUUCGGUGAGAAAUUCAAAAUAUUUGGAAUGGCUAUGGGGAAACGGGAUGACACAGAGAGAUUGGGUGAUUAGGAUUGUGCCGUGGGCUGGGAGGUCGCGGCGGCGGCGGAAGGAACCCAGACAUAAAACCGUAUAAUUAUUAGAAAUAUUUAGAAAUUGAUGGGCUGGUAUUUGUUCAAUAAAUCUAUGGGCUGGAUAUAUGGGCUGGUGUUUGUUUAAUUAAUCCAUGGGCUGGUGUUCAAUAUGACUUGGAUUUAAGGUGAAAUUAUUAGAAAAUUUCUAUUAAACUAUUUGAUGGCACGUAAGUGCAGAAGCUGAAGAUAAACAUUGAAGAAGAUAAACAUCGAAGGAAAAAUGGGGAAGAUAAGAUUAUUAAAGAAAAAGGUUAGAUAAAUUAUCAUCCAACCUUAUGAUAUUUUCAGUCAUCUCUAUAUGGGCUUGUUUGACGGCCUGAAAGAUUUUGGACCUUAGAGAGAAAAUUAUAUUAAUAGGGAUUUGAAAGGUAAAACUUGUAACCUAUGUAUAAAGAUAAAUUAGAUAACAUAUUUUAUUGUGAAUUCAUAAUUCAUCAUUGUAGAUGUAAAUUUCUUUCUCCUUGUUCUUGGACAAAAUUGCACCUACAAAAUAAAUAACAACUUAGAUCAAGACCAAGAGCCUCACGCGCCCACGAUGAAUUAGGGGGGCUUUGGUCGAAAAACCUCUGAUGUCAAAAUUAGAAUUUUUAGAGAAAAUUGUUUGAAGAAUUUUGAGUGUUUAGCAAGAGUGAAACUUAGGUUUUUAAAGAAAAUAAGGAAGAAUAUAUAAGGCAUGGCCGGCCCCCUUGGGAGAGAAGAUGACCGGCCUCUUGUGUGUUUUUUUGGUGUAAUUGGUAGUUUAAUUAGCCAUUAAUAAAUUAAUUAGGUAAUAAAUCCAUUAAUUAGUUAAUUAACAUAAUUUAAAAGGAAUGUUUUAGGGGUUACCUCGUGGAGAAGAUAUGAUAAGGGACGGAUGAAAUAAGUUAUAAAUAAAUACCUAUUUGUGCACUUUUGACUUGAUUGUGAGAUGAUUGUCCACUGCUCGUGUGUAGUAAUUCCAGUGUGCCUCAAGGAUAAUUUUGUCAUUUUAACCCAACAAUCCACGUGUCGCCUCUUGAUUAUUUUUAGCUCCACAAUCAUGUCAUGUCCACUUUACUUUUUAACACAACAAACAACGAAUUAGAUUAAGGUCUAUUUUAACUAUUACAUGCUAACACAUAUUGUGCGAAAAAUUUCUUUUUAUUUUGUUUUGUAUUAUAAAGUGUUGAUUAUUUUAAAAAUUCUCGAAAAAGCUUACAUGAGGUGCUCAGAUCAGAGUCGAUCGUUUUCAAGUCGUAACCCUUUUCGGAGCUGUGGGGAAGAUGGUGGCUUGGUAGUUGGGUUGGGUGAUAUCCGCCUCUUAUGAAGCUUUUUCUAUUUUUUUUAUUUUUUAUUGUUAAUUUUCUUUUUAUUUGUUUGUUAUUAAAUUUUGUGGGAUUCACAUGUGUGUCACGUUAACAUUCUAACAGAAGUUUUGACGAAAAUAUAAUGGCAAAUUGAUUUGUAGCAUCCAAUUCAAAGGCUACACUGAUCGAUUUCAAUUUCAAAUGUCACCUUAAUUAGUGCGUCAAUUUCCGACUAUUUGCGUUGAAGACACAUUAUAGAAAAAUCUACUACACACACAACGUGUGGGGGGUGUUGAUUUGAACGCCCGGUGAAGUCACGGUAAGACCAAAACAUGUAGCCAGAAAAUUCGGUGUCUCGCCUUCCCAACUCGUUCGACCUAUGUAUGUGUGCUGAAACAGAGUCGAAAACAAACAACGCACGACAUUCUCAGUUUCUCAUCAAACUAAAUUAUUUUACGUUCUCUCUGUAAACCGUUGGAAUUUCUGUUCUUCUUUCGUCACCCAAGAACAGAUUACGUAAUUGAAUCAAGUUUUGAGUCUCAUUGUUUCCGUAAAUUAUGUCUCUGGUUUCGGUCAGAAUGGGUGCUCUGAGAACGUCAUUUCAAAUGCUGUUUGAUGCGGUAAAAUCAGCGCAGGAGGAGAAUACAAUGUUCCAACACCUCCUCGGAGACAUCAAAUCCACACUGGAAUCUCUACAACCACUCAUCAAAGACAUCGAAAAGUAUAACUCCAAGGAGGGGCGGGAAAAUUAUGCAAUACAGAUGGAGGAAGGAGCAAAGCUUGUUCAAAAGUGCAGCAAAGUUGGCGUGUGGAGAAAACACACAUACACCAAGAAGCUUAAUCAACUGGACAAAUCUCUUCGAAGAGUGUUUGAUGUGCUUAAACUGCAGGUUAUGAGGGUGCGAGGGAGACGUUGGUUCCUUUGAGGAAUAUCGAGACGGUGCUCUCUCGAAUAGAAGAGAGAUUGAAGAUAAAAAAUAACCAGCCUGAAAUGGUUAAAUGUUCGUCUGCGGUGCCUGAAGCGCCAUCAGUUACAGUCGGGUUGGAUUUGCCGUUGAAGGAGUUGAAGGUGAAGCUCCUUAAGGAUGAAAAGGUGUCUAUGCUUGUGCUGACCGCCGCUGGACGAUGCGGGAAAACCACCUUGGCUAAAAUGUUUUGUCAAGAUCAAGAAGUCAAAGGUAUGCUAUUUAUGAUUUCAACCAUACACAGUAACCAAAAUUUGUUAAAAGAAAAACAACGAAAGGGGACAUGAAACUAAAGCGCACGAAAGGAAUAUAAGAAAGAUUAGAAAGACCUAUAUUCUCUGUACUAAAGUUAAGCUGAUGCCUUCCUUUUAUUAACACCUUUCCUACAUUCUGUUUGAAUAGAUACAUUCAAGAACAACAUCUUCUUUGUCAAUGUCUCGAAAAAACCCAACUUGGACCUUAUUGUACACGAACUAUAUCAACGGAAGGGGUCCGAGCUGCCUGCUUUCGAAAACGAAGACAUGGCAGCUAACUGGUUGCAACAAUUUCUGAUGGAAUCAAGACAAAAUCCUCUACUGUUUGUCCUGGAUGAUGUUUGGUCAGGAUCAGAGUCCCUUCUUGAGAAGUUUGAUCAAUUCAAGUUUUCAAAUUACAAGAUUUUGGUCACAUCAAGAUUUGCAUUUCCAAGAUUCGGUUCUCCUUAUCAUUUGGCACCAUUGAAUGAUGAAGAUGCAAUGGCUCUUUUUCACUAUUCUGCAUCCUUGGAAGAUAAGAGCUCUUAUACUUACGAAGAUCUUUCGAGAAAGGUGAUUUCUUAGUCCACAAUACACACACACACACACACACACACACACACACACAUAUAUAUAUAUGCUUAUUUAUGCCUCAGAAGAAGGUAAAGAAUAACAUUUGAGCAUCCACACACGUUAAUGAACUGUGAAGAGUGAAGUAAGAAGAAUGAAAGACUAGACAGUUUACAAUUUUAUCAUCUAUACGAAACCAUAGUAAUUGAAUUCAUUUUGGAUAAUGAUAUUGCAGAUUAUCAAGCGCUGUAAGGGAUGCCCACUUGCCAUUGCAUUGGUUGGGAGAUCACUUCGCGGCCAGCCUAUAGAAAUCUGGCACAAAAGAGUAGUGGAAUGGUGCAAAAGUUCAUCUAUUCUUGAUUCUGACAAGGAUUUACUUGCUUGCCUCCAAAGCAGCUUAGAUGCCUUGGAUAAAGAGAAGGUUAUCAUCAAGGAAUGUUUCCUCGAUCUAGGUUCUUUUCCGGAGGACCAAAGAAUUGCUGCUGCCGCUCUCAUUGAUAUGUGGGCGCAGUUAUAUGGUCUAGAUGAAGAAAUUCUGACCAUUGCCAACCUUCACGAGCUCACCGCUCGAAGUUUAGCUAAUCUUGUUGUCACAAGGUAUGCAGGCUGCUCAUAAUUUUUUCUAUUUAAUUAUGUAUGCCGAACAAAUCAUUAAAGAAAGUAGUAUUGAUCAUCCAGACAUGAGGGGGAGACAGAUGGCUAUUACACUGAACACUUUGUCACCCAGCACGACAUGCUUAAGAGAGUUGGCGAUCCAUCCGGCGAGUCAAGACCCAGCACGACAUCACUUGAUUUAGUUGAGUAUUGAAGAAGUUACGGACGUUUAAAGUUUACCCAGUUUCCGGCGAGUUUUCUAGUUUUCCCUUGGACCAGUCAACUUUGAGGCUGUUGUCUGACCAUCUCUGGCAACCAUUGGGCUUCUAAAUAGGUAUAAUCUUAUUCUACACUUUCCUAUCUUCAUUUUGAUAUUAUGGAUCGAAUUUGAUUAAGAAACAAUUGAGUUACGAGGCUUUGAAAAUUGCCCAAACUUCCGGCCAAGAGCUCCGGGACACUGAACGGAGUUUUUAACAGAUUGACCACUAUGAUGGAUAGUGAACAAUCUCAGGGACCACUUCUAUUGAUUUGAAAUCUCAGGUACCCAAAUGAGGAGUUAUGCAAAUCUCAGGGACCAUUUUGGCUAAAAAGCCUAUUGUAAAUAACAUGUUUGCACUCCUCAUUGUUCAACUCUUCAUUGAUUCUCUUUGAUUUAUCCAAUCAAUGGGUGUUUGUGCAAUGUAUGCAGAAAAUAAGGGCAUGGAAAGAAAAUAAGAGUUAAAAAAUAACUUCCCUUUGAUUUAUCCAAUCAAUGAGUGUUGGUGCAAUGUAUUAACUCUAUUGGUUGUUUCUCCACUCUUUCUCUUGCUGAACCUCUUCAUUCCCUUUCAGUUAAAUAGGCCAUUAAAUUAAUGUUUUAUUUUAAGGGUAAUGCUAAAGACAUUAAAUUUGUAGACAAAAUUUUGCAAACUAAGUGACAUAGAAGUUGAUGAUUAGAUUAUGGCUUAAGUGUAGAUAAACGUGCUUAAUCAUAUUGGUAACAUAUCAUUUAGUUUACAAAUUUUGUCUCUAUAACAUUACUCGUAUUUAAAACUAUUUAUUCAAGAGCACAACAUUUUUUUUACUAUUUUAUUUUAAACUAUUUAUGCUACAGCACAACAUUUUAAAAGCAGUGCAAUACCAAAUCAUAUGUACUAGAAAAUUAUGUAUCUCCUCGCCUCCUAAGAGCAAGUCCACCCCUGUGGACUUUGCGCCAGCACCCAGCGCAUUUAUCCACUCAAAUGAACAGUAACAGACUCCAAUGAACAGUAAUAGGCCAAGGCAUCUCCACCCCUAAAACUAAAUAGCCUAGUCAAUUUUAUUAAAAUAUUAUUAAUUUUUAUUAUAAAAUAAUAAUUUUUAUUAAAGUACUCUUUGGACUCCAUUCUUCUUUUUCUUCCGUGAUUUUCCAACUGUGCUGUCAAGCACAGUUUCACCACUUUUUCUUCCCUUCUUCUUUUUCUUCUCUUCAAACCACCAAAACCCAUGUGAGAUUAGCCAAGUUCAGCCCUACCCCACGAGCUGCAACCACCAAACGAACCCGACGACCCACAAUCCCACCCAACCUUCCUCCCCGAUCCCCUCACCCACUGGUGCGCCAACCAAAACUGCAAACCCUUCGCCGUCGAUCCUCUCGAUCCCCGGAGCUCAUCCGAUUACGACUGGUUCUCCGACGCCGCCUCCGAUUCAGACCAUGACGUCAGCUACUUCGUCACCGAUCUAUUCAAUCGCUGCAGCUCCGAGCAACAGCCCAAGACCGAGAGGGAGAGUUUUGGAUAUGGAAGCUCGAGUUGGGGUGGUGGUGGAAGGAAAGCAGAGAGCUUCGAAUUCAGCUCAAGGAGAUAUGGCGGUAUCACCUGGCAUCAUGUAGGCCGGGCAAGAGCUCAGCACAUUCUGAGCCGGCCUAGAGACCAGCUUGGGCUGGGUGCCAGCCUAUCUGCUCGGCUGGAAUGGAUUGGCUGGGUGUCGGGCCAAUAAUUUGGCUGGGUGCUGGCCUAAAGGUUCCCCGGUGGAACUGCUCUAAUAACGCGUCAAAUGUCUUUCCCAGCUCGUUCGUUUUCUUUGGGUGAAAUUCAUUGCUCGUUCGUUAAGUUGUAUAUAUGUGUGCUAAAACCAACAAAUAGCUUACAUAUCAUUCUCACUUUCUCAUCAAACUAGAUUAACGAAGAGGAUUAAGGGCCAGUUUAGGAUUGCUGUAUUAAAAAAAACUAAUUAUGUUAUGCUUUAAGAAUAAUCAGCUGUAAAAUAAAGCUGAUGACCGUUUGGUUAAUUGAAUUUUAAAAGUGUUGUGAAUAUGAAAAGCAACAUAAAAGCGUUUGGUAAAAUUUAAUGUAAAAGUGAUAUGAUUGUAUACAAUGAUAGAUGGACAUAGUAGUAGGAGUGGGGGCAACGACAACAGUGGUGGUGGUGGUGGUGGAGGUGGUGGUUGCGGUAGAGGUGGUGGUGGUGGUGGUGGUGGUGCUAAUAGUGGGAUGUGUUGGUUGAGGUGGAAAGGUAACACUAGUGGCAAGGCGUGGUGGUGCUAAUAAUGGGAUGUGUUGGUUGAGGUGGAAAGGUAACAUUGGUGGUAAGGUGGUGGCAGUGGUGGCGAUUGCGGUUAUGGUGGUGUCGGCAGUGGCGGCAAUGAUGGUGGCAAUGACAGUUGUGGUUGUGAUGGCAAUGGUGGCAGUUGCAGUAAUGGUGGUGGUGAUGGUGUUUGCGAUAGCAGCAUCGAUGGUGGUAGUAGUGGUGGUGGCAAUGGCGGCGGUGCGAUAAUGGUAGUGAUGGUGGUGACAAUGAUGGUAGUGAUGAUAGUGGUGGAGGUUGUGGUCAUGGCAGUGGUGGUGACAAAAUUGGUGGUUGUAAUGGCGAUGAUGGCGUAAAGUUAGUAUUUGUAGUGGUAGGUGGUAGCGUUCACUUUAUUCUCUAAGGAAUAAAAUGUGUGUGGAAGGCUAAACAAUGUCAUUUAAAAAAAAUUAAUGAAUGUAUUACAGCAAUUAAAAAUAAUUAUUAUAGACCCAACUUUGCUUUUUAUUAAAGCAACUUACAUGCUGCUUUUAAAAACUGAUGUAUGAAGCCCAUUGUUUGGAGUCUCUUUGUUUUGGUAAAUAUGUCUCUUGCUUCAGUCGGAAUGGGUGCUCUCAGAAUGGCAUUUGAAAUGUUGUUUGAUGCUGUAAAAUUAGCGCAUGAGGAGAAUAAAAUGUUCCAACACCUCUCCCGAGACAUCAUGUCCACACUCGACUCUGUACAACCACUCAUCAAAGACUUCGAGAAAAGUAUAACUCGAGGAGGGAGCAAGCUUUCAACAGUUGUUACUUAAUCUCAGUGGCAUUCCUGAAUCUAGAAGAAAUGUACAUCGACUAUUGCAGUGAUUUAAUAGAGUUGCCUGCCGAGAUUUGUGAACUUAGUAAACUAAAGAAGUUCAGUGUCACUGUCAUAAGCUGUCUGCCAUACUUGAAGGGAUUGGAAAGUCGAAAAAUUUAGAAAUGUUGAGGCUAAGAUCCUGCACAGAACUGUCAAAGCUUCCAACCACGAUGAAGAACCUUGGAAAGGUAAAAUUUCUUGACAUAUCUGUAUGCUUUAGCAUCAAGAUGUUGCCCAAAGACUUAGGUGAAAUGAGUAGUUUAAAGAAGAUCAACAUGAGACAAUGCUCAAGGUUGCAAGAGCUGCCUCCAUCAGUCAUGGAUCUUAAGCAGUUAAAGGAAGUAGUCUGUGAUGAAGAGACAAAAUACUUAUGGGAAUAUUUCUCAUUGUGUCUCAAUAACGUAAGGAUAAUUGUGGCCAGAGAGAAUAUCAACCUAAAUUGGAUCCACAAGACUCAGUUCUGAUACCUGUGUUUCCUCAGAGAACGUUGCUAUUCAACCUCUCUUGACUUGUGUUUCAUUGUCUUCCUAUUUUAGGCUAUUUCCCAUCUCCUUUUCAGUUUACGCCCUUCAUUUCGUAAAUGUGGGAUAUUGCAAGUUAUAAUCAUUUGUCGUUAAAUUAGAACUAUUUUGACAACCUUAAGAAAUUUUCUAAACUUGUGAAAUGUGAAGAGAAAUUUAAUAUCUAAGCAAUAAGUUUAAUGUGAAAAUUGUUUUAUCAGAUGGAAAAUGUGGUUUGUGCUUUUAAUGGGACUUUUUAAACUCUACUCUAACAUAGUUUCACAAUCAAUCCCUAUACACAGUUUCUUAACCUUUUGGUUUGAAAAUCUGUAUGUAUAAUAAUUCAACACCACCAUCUGAUUCAUGCUCUCCAAAAUAAAUUUUAUAAGUAAAAGGAACCAAAAAGAGAAGGUUGAAGAUUCUCCAUAAGACAAGAACUUUUAUGCCACGGGGUCAAGUGUUAAUCUUGUCCUCGAUAAGUUUUUCUAGUAUCUAAACUCACAUUUGUUGGUCAAGUUUCCAGAACUGUGUUCAUAUAUAAUCUGGAUUCAUUACCAAAUCUAGAGGAAUUGAUUGUUAUUGACUAUUGCGAUGAAUUGGUCUCAAACUAUGUUUUCCAACCAACACAGAUUGAUCAGCCUUUUUUUUUUUUUAAAUAAAAAACUGUUUGAUUAGCUUAAACUUAUUUUUCUUGUUCAAACUUUUAAUAGUUAAACUAAUAAAGAAUGGACCAUAUUUUCUUUCUUUUAAAAGUUGUUCACAUAGAAGUGGUCAUUGACAAAGUAGAUAAUGAAUAAACAUUGUAAUUUGGAUGAAAUUACACAAAUUCAAUACUUUAAUUAGAUUUAUAUACUUUAAAUGAAAAUAAAUAAAUUUAAUAUUCUUAGAGAAGGGCACAAUAGAAAUUUCACAACUAAGAAUCGAUUAUAGCAUGCCAAUACUUAAAUAGCCGACUUGGCUUUGUAAUGGGAAGGGUACAAAGAAAUUUCACAACUAAAAAUUAAUUAGAUCAUGACAAUUAGGUAGAUGAGGGGUUCUUUUCUCCAAAUGAACUCUUGAAGUAUUUUUAUAGAAAACUUAUAGUUUUGAAACAAAUAAUUGUACAUUAGAAAAAGAUAGCUCAUAGUUUCACUGAAAAAGAGAGUUGAUUUUUAUUAAUUAGCAUUGAAGAUUUUGCCUAUUAAAAAGAUGUGGGUCUCAUCUUUUUAAUAGAGGUAUGACCCAUCAAUACAUAUUAAUCUCAUCUUUAAUAACAUUUUUUUUGCAAAAAUUAUUAGGCACUGCUUCCUAAUAAAGUAAACAAGGUCAAAGGAGGACAAAGUGGUUUUCUUUUAGCACUAAUACUCUUUUCGAAACUAUAGAUUUGAUUGUAUGAACAAUAAAGUCAUUGUACAAUUUAAAUUUAAAACUCAUAAAGAAAAUUAUACAAGGCAUAAAAAGUUUAUUAAUCAACAUUGAAACUUUUGUGCAUAUUCUAUGAAAACAUAAGGAAACUUUACUAUGGUCUCCUCACAAGAAAUUCUCAACUCUUUCAUUUUUCGUGAAUUUCUGACACACGCUAAAGGGGAUGAAUUCUUCAAUGAAAUUUUGAUACGCAUAAAAAUGAGACCUAUUCGUAAGUUUAUUGAAAAUAAUGAAGCGCAUAUGAGUACUCCAGCCCAUAAUACAAUUUCCUUGUGUUUUCAUAGCAUAUGCACACAAAAUAUAAUGUUGAAAAAUAAGUUUUAUUUUUUAUGUAUAUAAGUAUAAUAUUUUCUCAUCUUCUAGUACAAGUUUUGUGCAUAUUCUACAAACCCAAAAAAUAAAUUAAAAAUCAACAUCUUAGCAAUAUUUUCUCAAAAAAAUUAAAUAAAAUAAAUUUCACGGUAAACAAAUAUACUUUUCCACACUAAAUUUUGCAAAUAUUCUAUGAAAAUAUAAGGAAAUUACACUAUGGUCUCAUCUAAAAAAAUUCCAAGAAAUUCCUAGCUCUAUCAUUUUUCGUUAACCUAUAAUUCAUGCAAACGAGAUCAAAUUAUCAAAGGACGUAUGAUACACGUAAAUGAGGUCAAUUUAUAAGUGCAUUGAACAUGGCAUAUCAUGUGAAUGGGAAUAAAGAAGCAUAUAAGUUUCUUAUGUUUUCAUGGCAUGUGCACAAAAAGUUUUAUUGGUGUUGAAAAUUUUAUAAUGUAUAUAAGCAUAUUUUCUCAUCUUGUUGUAUGCUAAAAGGAGCAGAUAGCGGCAUCUUCAUAAUAAAUUCUCUAACUAACUUACACCAAGCUUAUGAAUUCACUCGCAAAAAAAAAAUUUGAACUGAAAAAAAAAAAAUCUUACACUAUUCUCUAAUGAAAUAAGAAAGGUCAAAAUGAGGGCAAAGUGACUUUCUUUUAGCACUAAUAAUAUUUUUUUUUUUUUUGAAUAAACGAUAUUAUCUACCCUAAGAGGGUGGGGGAGUAGGCUAAGCCUCACAAUAGCUGGCAGUAAUGUGGUUCAAUGUGGUUCAAAUUUGUCUUUUGUGGAAAUCGAACCUAAGACCUCUCACUUACAAGUGAAGAGAAACAUCACUCAACCGUAGUACUAAGUGGCCUAAUAUGUCACACCCCGACCCGGAAUGUCCAGUAGGACUCCGAAUCGAGCUGUGCUGACCGACACCUGGAAGGUGACGAAGUCAUAAAAUGUGAUGAUGUGGAAAAAAAAUGAAUAAAUUUAAACCUAAAAGUGCAUAAAUACAACAGUGCGCCGCGAACGGAAAUGAACCCAUUUCACACGUGACGUCAAAGCAUAAAUAAAGUACAAUAGAGUGGAUUGAAAAUCAUACCAUCAAAGGUAAUCUCCAAUACCAAGACUUGCCAUGAAUCCUCGUCGAUAUGAAAGCUUUGCUACUAGACUUGGAGGGACAAAACAAGAGUAAGUGGCCAGAACAUAAAGCUUUAAUAAAGACCUUCUAAACGAUAUAAUCCCUCACCGUAACACCUGUUUAGCUUCCAAAAAAUCAUACUACGGAUAAGUAUGAAAUCAAAAGUAUACUAACAUUAAAUCCAGAAGUAUACCACGACACAGCAUCUCAAUAACAAUAUAAAUAAUCAAGUGCUUAAUAACCCAUACUAGCACGCCAACCAUAUCUCAUCAAUCAAUACUAACACAUAAGUCGGAGUCACCUGUAGUGACCUGUACAACUUAUCCACAUCUCAUUAAUCAAUGCUAGCUCAUAAGUCGAAGUCACCUAUAGUGACCUAUACGACUUAUCCAUAUCUCAUCAAUCAAUGCUAGCUCAUAAGUCGGAGUCACCUAUAGUGACCUGUACGAGUUAUCCAUACCUCAUCAAUCAAUGCUAGCUCAUAAGUCGGAGUGACAUAUAGUGACUUGUACAACUUAUCCAUAUCUCAUCAAUCAAUGCCAGCUCAUAAGUCGAAGUCGCUUAAAACAUCAUAUAGUCAUGCCAUCACUCGAUCGUUCCAAAUAAAAUGUAAUCAUAAUUAUGCAUCCCACAUUUCACAACAUAUACUCACCUGAACUUAUCUAUGCAUCCUGCACUCACCUUCGUACUUUAAAGCAUUCAUAAUAAUUAUGUGCAAUAUAUACUUAUGGACAUGCCUUGAUGCAAUUCAAAACUUAACCAUAUCAUAGUGCUUCCAAAUAUAUAUAUAUAUAUAUAUAUAUAUAUAUAUAUAUAUAUAUAUAUAUAUAUAUAUAUAUAUAUAUAUCAAUACUGUGGCGUAAAAUGCACAAUCUAUAACGCCCUACUCCCGAACUAUUAAUUUUUAGGAAUAAUUAUUGGUGACAAGCUCAACUAAACAUUAGUUUAACUAACUAUCAAUACUUACAAUUCUUUACUUCAAAUUCUCGAUCCUUCACACAAUGAUUUAUGACCAACAUCCAAUCACUAAAUCAUAAGGUUAACUCUCACAUUUUCCACCAAUGUCCCUCACCUUGCACAAUUUCCCAAACAAGGCUAUUGCCUCAAUUAUUUAAUCUCAUUUAUGUUAUGGCUACAUCUAACGUCUCGUUAGACUGCCUACGUACCCUAAACAGAAAUCAAGCCAUUCGUAGUUCGCAUUAGUACUUCACAGCAUUCACAGUAAUUAUAUGAAAUAAUCAAUUUAUAAGCAUUUGUGGAAUUAUCAAUAUAUAUAUAUAUAUACACACACGAUAGAAAGGAAGAGACCCACUCACCUGAGGUCCGCGCUAUGACUCCCUAGCAUGAAUAUUGCGACAUCACGAACCAUCAUCGCCUAUAACAAUUAUCAAAUCACGUCUCAAAGUUCUUAUCAAUAAAAUAUGCAACUUACAUAACAUACAUCCCUGCGUAGUUCGAUUCGGAAGAUCCGCAUCACGGAUUUCCGAUCCCUUACUUCCAAAGAUCCACAUUAUACUUCUAGAACAACAUCCUAAAGUUCCAUUACGAUCCAACAGUCGGAUUUCCACCAAUUGCCAAAACCAAGUGGCGGUUAAUAUUUUAUUUUAUGAACUUAAAAAUCCAAUUCGGGAAGAUCCGUAUAUUGGAUUCCCGAUCCGUAAGUUCCUAUGGCCCUUAAAUAUCACGUACUAUAACAUAUUAAAGUUUGGGGACAAUCCAAUAGUCGGAUUGUCGAUUCAAAUAAUGACCUAUUAACGUAACAUAGAGAAUUUAGGUUCCAACAAUCAACCUACAUCAUACAAUUACCAAAACUGAGCUCAAGGUAUCUAAUUUAGCCUAAGAAUAACAUCGACUGCCCCCUGGCCACGCGACACCGCACGCACCGCCGUGGGUGGCAGUCGACCGCCCCGACUCGCCGGAAAAUCCAACUAUUUCCAAAAAUUACCAAAAUUUACAAGAAUGAAGAUCUCAAUGAGUAGAGUAAACUUUAUACAUGUGGCCAAUUCCAAUUUGGCCGGGAAAAGCUUCAAUUUCACUCAAACCUGCCGAAACCUAGAAAAUGGUGUGCUCCAAUUCGACCUCCAUACUCAUUCUGACGCCUCGACCAUUGCUUGGGCUUUAUGGUAAUUGGUUGGGUUAGCUUCAAUUUUUUACUGAUUGUCUCCAUACACCCACAGGGCCCACCGUCGGUUUUUCCUCCAAAAUACCACCAAAUUCUUCUAAUUUUGGGAUGAAAAUGGAAGAGAGAGAGUUAUGGUGGUAUUUCCAAGUAGUGAUUCAACACAAUUCACCGGAAAUUGGCCGGAAAAUGCACGAAUUUGGCCUUGAUACUCGGCCGGGUCGCACGGGUCAAGAAGGAGACCCGAUUUCCCCCUCUUUCUCACCUUCCUUCCUUUCCCUCCUUUCCUUUCUCUCUGGUUGGUCAGUCUCAUCUCUUCAUUUCCUCCGAUUGAGCAGCAGCCCUUCUGUCUUCUCUCUCCCGUUCCCCCCACUUCUUCUUUCUCUUUUUCAACUUUUAAAAAUCACUAAAUGAUAAAUAAAAUAUAGACAUUAUAAAAAUAUAUAAAUAGUGACUAAACAAAAGUACUUCUCGGGUUUACAGUUCUGUAAAACUUUAACCGUAACCCUAAAUCCUUUUCUGCUUACACCUAUGAGUCCGUAAUGUUGAGUACUUCAGGAAAACGCUAAAGGAUUAAUUCAUACACCUCGAUAUACGUUGGUCAACGGAAGUCAAGACCCUCGCCUCUAAGGGCAUUUUCGUAAAAACACACUUUUAAAUUUUGUAAAAACAUAAGAUUAGGGACGGGUCGUCACAUAAUAAUAGUUCUUUGAAAAACUAUAUAUUUGAUUGUAUAAACAAUAAAGUCAUUGUUUAAUUCAUAUUUAAAUUAAAACUCAUAAAGAAAAUUAUAAUUGUCACGCCCCAAUCCCGACAUACGUCCAAGAUCGACAUGUGAUGUUAGCUCAUCCCUGUUUAUUUAUCAUGUCUCGUCUCUGAGACAAUUCCAAAACGCAAUCAAUGAUUCAACCAAGCAGUGACUUUCCUUUAUUUCAUGGCUGAAUCUAACCUUUGCGUUAGACCCCAUACGUACCCUAAAUAGGGAUCAAGCCAUUCGUAGUUCACCAUUUACUACACUCUGACGUUUAUCAUAGUACAUUCUAACAGAAGGGCAUAUCAUCCCUCAAUCAAUUAUUAGAACUGGAAAAGCAUGAAAUUACUAGAUUCAGGGCUACAUAAUAAACCCACAUGACAAUCAAGAUUUCCACUUCAUCCAUCAUAUAAAUCACUAUGUUUCAACAUAAUACUGCAAUUCAUAGCAUGCAACAUCUAAAAGAACAAUCAACGAAGCGCAAUAUUAUUCUCUAGUCACAUUGGUCAAUGAGUCUAAUCGUAAUAAUAACAAUCAUAUCCAAUAUCGUUCCACAAUCACUCCAAUUAAUCAAUUCCAUGAAUCAAAGAAGAACGAUAUUAACAUUUAACUACGUUCAUCAAUCAAUAAGAUAACAUAUUAAUUCACAAAAUUUAAUAAAGGAAUCCUAUAUAAUUUCCUACUUGGAUUCCAAGUAAUAACAUGAUAAAUCUAAUUUAUAAACACAAUGUCUACUGUGAGCAAUUCCUAUUCACUCGAAUCUAGGGGCCGGACUAACUUUAUGGAAAUGAUAAAGAAUAAGGAUUCCGGACACUCACCGGAAUCCAACUAAAUUAUGGUUGCCUAUCAAACUAUACUAACCCUCAUCACCCCUGGAAUGCGUAUGGUCCCCAAUUGUGGAUAUACCAAGCAGAACCAUAGGCAUAAUCUAAGCGUGCAGGCAGUGAUCACCCAUCAUGGAUAUACCAAGUAUGAUCACCCUUGAAAUACGUAUGGUCCCCCAUCGCGGAUAUAACAAGCAGGACCGUAUCCUAUAGCUCUAGGUAGUGAGCACCCAUCGAGGAUAUACCAAGCAUGGUCACUCCUAGAAUGCGUGUAUGGUCCCCCCAUUGUGGAUAAACCAAGCAGAACCAUAUGCAUAGUCUAAUAAUGUAGGCAAUGAUCACCCAUCGCGGAUAUACCAAUCAUGAUCACUCCUAAAAUGUGUAUGGUCCCCCAUUGCGGAUAAACCAAGCAGAACCAUAAGUAUAGUCUAAUCGUGCAAGCGGUGAUCACCCAUCGCAGAUAUACCAAGCAUGAUCACCCUUGAAAUACGUAUGGUCCCCUAUCGUGGAUAUACCAAGCAGGACCAUCCUAACCACUGCUACAUGGUGCAGUCACAUCAAUACACAACAAGCACCAAAUUAAUAUGAAUCAUAAUUCCUAGCAUACACACCAUCAAUUCGACAAGACAACGAUCAUUGAAUCACAUCAUACACAUUCUAUAACAUGUGUCUAUGCCGAAAUAUAUAAAAUUAACUUUUUUUUACCAAAAUAAUUGUACAUACAUGAUUGUACCACAAUAUAUUAUAAUGAACCUAAAUGUAUGUACCAAAAUGUAUUCUAUAGAAUUAAUGUACCUAAAUGUUAGUACCAAAAUGUAUUCUAUAGAAUUAAUGUACCUAAAUGUUAUGUACCGAAAUAUAGUAUAUUAAAUUAAUGUACCUAAAAGUCAAUACUCAAAUGUGUGUACCAAAACGUACGUACCGAAAUGCAUUAUAUUGAAUUAAUGUACCUAUAUGUUUGUAUCGAUGAAUAUACCUAAAUAUUCAAAUGUAUUAAUGUACCUAAAUGAAGAACAUACAAAAUUGUUAUCAGAAUAUAUAUUAUAAAAAAAUUAGUUGCUUAAAUGUAGACAUUAAAAUAUAUUAUGAUGAAUGAAAUAAAAAUUAAAUUUAAAUGUAAUUAAUACAUUAAAAUAAAAAUAAAAAGAUAAAUAAAACAUCAAAAUAUAACUAAUAAAUGAGAUUAUUAAAUGUACUAGGCAUUAGAGCAUCUCCAAAGGAGAUGUCUAAAUUGCCAUGUAGGCAUACAACAAUAAAAAAUGGUAGCAAACUCUCUCCAAUCGAGCCUUCAAUUUCUUACAUGGCGCUGAGUCAUUUGAAGGCAAAGCAUUUUGCUGUUAUGUUUUUGAAAUAUUUGAUUGGUUGCCUUAAUAAUUGGACUCCACAAAAAGAUAAAAAAUUUAUUAAAUGACAUUAUUAUUUACUAUAUCGGAUGGAGCAAAAUAUUGUACAAAAUGUCAAAACUGCCACAUAAGCUAUCAACUAUCAUUUUUUAUGUUUAAAAUUUGACAUCUCCUUUGGAGAUGCUUUUACAAAGCAAAUCACAUCCAAAAACAUUGAAAGGAAGAAAUCAUUAAAGUAAAUAAGCAAAUGUGCAUCCACAACCCAAUUAAAAAAAAAUAAAGGAAACCACUUACAUAGAAAGGAAUCUCAUGAGAAGAGAAUUAAACUUCUCCCUUGGCUUAAAGUCAGAUUUCGAUGAAUUGGUCGGAAUUUUUUGUUUCUCCGUCGGGUGCUUCUUUUCUUGCCCUUGUUCUGCCCUGCGUGGUCAUUUCGAAGGAAAAUCGGGGUGGUAAAUGUGUUAGGGUUAUUGAUGCUUAGAUUGAUAUAAGAUUUGUCGAAAACGAUAACCGAAUGAAAAAGAUGUGAAGAUUUGAAGUUAGAGGAGCCAAAUGGAGAAGAGAAAAAAAAAUCAAGAACAGCAGCAGAGCUGCUAGUUUCACACGCAGUUCGAAUUUACCAAAAUCCCCUUUUAUUUAGAAAAUUCGUAAAUUUCUCGUUCGAAUUUCAAACUCCAAUUUGUUUGCGCUUACGUGUUCAUAGUAACAUGUACUAUCUAAUUAAAUAUCCGAAGAACAAUAGAAAAAUAUGAAAGGAUCAAAUACAUCCAUGUAAAAUCUCGUUUAGCACAAGAGGGGCAUCUUCAUCUUUUAACCAUUUCAAGAAAAAAUUAAACGCAGCAAAUAUAAACGCGUCGAAACUAAGAAUACAAAAUACCUAAUUUUAAAUCGUGAAAUCCGGAGAUGGGGGUUCACAAUAAUAUUUUAGGAAAUACAUUUAUGUGGAGCCAAAAAUAAUCACAAGGCGACACGUGGAUUUUUUAGUGAAAGAGGACCAAACUACCCUUGAGGCACACCGGGAUUCCUACAUGCGAGCAACUCAAAAAUGCUCCAAAGAGGUAACAAUUCAACAUUCAUCUCAUCAAAUUCCCUUUUUUGCAAAGUAACCUCCAAAAUAAUAUUAAUUGGUAAAUUAAUAGAUUAAUUAUCCAAUUAAUCCAUUAAUUACCUAUUAAAUUAUACAAUUUAACCUAAAAAUUGUUAAAGGGCUGGCUACUUCCUUUUCAUCCUCACCUUUCUCACUUUUCUCCAUUUUAUUAACCCAUUUAUACAAAUAAAUAAUUUUGUAACCUCCCGCCGAGCAGCCCAUUCUCGUGGCCCAGCCUGCUCCCGCCGAGCAGCCCAUUCUCGUGGCCUAGUCUGCUUCCACGGCCCAGCCUGCUUCUGCCGAGCAGUCCACUCUCGCGGCCCAGUCUGCUUCCGCCGAGUAGCCCACUCUCAUGGCCCAGUCUGCUCCCGCGGCCCAGCCUAUUCCUGCUGAGCAGCCCACUCUCGUGGCAUAGCCUGUUUCCGCCAAGCAGCCCACUCUCAUGGCUCAGUCUGCUUCCGCGGUCGAGCCUACUUCCGUAGCAUUCCAAGCAGCCCAAAUCGGCUCAAGACUAUUUCGACCAUUCGGACCAACCAUCAAGCCGAGGGCAUUUUCACCAUGUUUCUCUGUGGAUUUGACAUUUCCCAAUUUAAAUCUCGCGCCCGGAGCCUACCACACUUCCACUGCUCAAUGAGGCACAUUCCUUCCAAGCUCUUUCAAUCCAAAUGGCAAACAACACUUGUCUCGACAAGUUAUAGAGUUGAUGAGCGCCCUUGCACAACAAACGACCUUGGUGAAUCAACUUUUGCAGCUCACCGAGAUCCAACGUGCCCCGAACGAGGUGUCACGAAGUAGGAUAAGGGCAGACGAAUCUUUCCAGUAGCGUCAAAUGCAAGCAGCCACUCGAUCAGCCAUGAGCCGAGCGUUCAGGCAGUGUACAUUCCCGAUUAGGCCCCCAAGAUAGCGUAUACUCCCGUCUUAGCGCGCGGAUGAGUGUGCACUCUUGAUUGGGCCCGAAGACAAGUAUACACUUACGGUUGGAGUCACAUUCCGAUAAUCAACAUAAGAAGCCUUUCAGGCAAAGUGUUUAUUCGCGGCUGGGCCUGCAAGGAGUAUCCUCCACAUUACAUCAGAGCAGGCAGCACGACGGAUAGAGAGAAACAGUCACUCAAUCUGCCUCAAGUUCAACCGGCAGUCUGCGAAGGAGUAUCCUCCACAUUACAUCAAAGCAGGCAGCACGACGGAUAGAGAGAAACAGUCACUCAAUCCGCCUCAAGUUCAACCGGCAGUCUGCGAAUAAUUCCCUUGUUUGCCAAGAGUGGACCACAUGCACCCUGCCACGACGUAGACGAGCUGAGAACAUGGAAAAGUAGCCUAGACCAGUAGGUCAAGACCGGGGCAACCGAUAGCCCUGCCACCCCCAACAAAGGUAAAUUUAGGAAGAAGUAGAAAGGCUCAUGACCAAGCGAUUGCGUAAUUUCCCGCACAACGAAGUUAUUAAUAAGACACUCCGAUGAGACAUGACCAACAUAAGCGAGUCAUCUUUCAAUGACAAGAUCGAGCAGAAGGGAUUACCCCACAUAGAUUGUCGAAUAUAAAGAUAACUUCUGCUCUGACAAACAUAGCAGCUCAGCCUAAUGGCGCACCGGGGGCAAACGAGUACCAAAAGGACACAUUAACCCAACUACCAAGAACCGGGGGCAGGUUAAGGAUUAUUUCAGUUGUCUCAUCAGUCUAGCUUUCCUCAGCUGCACUCACAACAACGACUUCCAUGCUCUCCAGUGCGAUAGGGUAAACCAAUUCCCCGACACCCAAAAGGGUAUGUUCUCUAGUGCGAGAGGUUAAACUAAUAUGCUUUCCAGUGCGAGAGGGUAAACCAAUUCCCCAACACCAAAAAGGGUCUGCUCUCUAGUGCGAGAGGUUAAACUAAUUGCUCUCCAGUGCGAGAGGGUAAACCAAUUCCCCGACACCCAUAUGGGUAAGCUCUCGAGUGCGAGAGGAUAAACUAAUUACUCUCCAGUGCGAGAGGGUAAACUAAUUUCCCGACACCCACCUAGGUAAGCUCUCCAAUGCGAGAAGGCCACAUAGUUCAAAAGAUCAAAUGCUUGAAGAUCAACUAAGUAACAAAUGGUUAGGGGGUAGCAGCUACUUUUACACUUAACAGUUCGAUCAUCCGACACUUCGUCUUCGACAACUCCGAUCUUGGCAACUUCAUCCUUGACUACUCCAUCUACGACAUCUGAGAAAUCAAACUCAAGCAGUUUCCUCAUUUUUGGCAAACAGCCCAGACGUGGCAGCCCAAAUCGUUGUCCAUGCCACGCCAUUUCCUCGGCCUAUGCUGAGCCAAUCCUUGGCUUCAAUCAAGCCAAGUAACACAAACAAUGGCCUUUGCCACAUCACCUCCUUGGCCCAUGCCAAGUCGACUCCUGGCCCCUACCAACCGAUGUGCCGUACCACCCCGAUGGUUGCCCCGUGGCAGCACCUUUCAAGAAGAAGAUAAGGAGAAUUAAGUUUUUCUUACAUCGGUGCGGCGUGGAGAAGACGAAGAAAGCAACGAAAAACGGUCUUUUGCACGGGCAAGAUAUAGAAGAUUGGUAGAGGAGGGGGAACAAGUAUCAUCUAAGCUCUCUCUCUCUCUCUUGUAGGGUAGAAUAAAUCACUUUUCAAAGUUGAUUUAAUAACCCACUUAAGGUGGACUUAAAUAAGCUUUGGGAGAAAUUUAUUUUCCUUUCCUAGAAGGAUCUAAUUUCAUAUUAAAGAGGGAAUCUACAUCAAAAUAGGAAGCAGUUCUAAGUUUCCUAGAGCAAGAAGAUCUCUACACCUGCUGCCUUUUUCUACGAGUAGUCCAGCAGGUGUGGGGGCAUUUGUGGAGCCAAAAAUAAUCACAAGGCAACACGUGGAUUUUUUAGUAAAAGAGGACCAAACUAUCCUUGAGGCACACUGGGAUUCUUACAUGCGAGCAGCUCAAAAAUGCUCCAAAGAGGUAACAAUUCAACAUUCAUCUUAUCAAAUUCCCUUUUUUUGCAAAGUAACCUCCAAAAUAAUAUUAAUUGGUAAAUUAAUAGAUUAAUUACCCAAUUAAUCCAUUAAUUAACUAUUAAAUUAUACAAUUUAACCUAAAAAUUGUUAAAGGGCCGACCACUUCCUUUUCAUCCUCACCUUUCUCACUUUUCUCCAUUUUAUUACCCCAUUUAUACAAAUAAAUAAUUUUGUAACCUCCCAUUUACUUCUUUCAUACUUAAUUAGCCUAUAAAUUGGCUAAUUAAGCCAAAACCAUAACCACAAAAUCCCUUGAAAAACCGGCCAUCCUAGCCCUAUAAAUAGGCUCCUAUUUUCACCAAACACUCAUUCGAAUACUUUGGCAAAAAUCCCAAAAAACUCUCCAAAUACUUUUCUCUCUAAAUUCUAACUUUGGCAUUGGAGGUUCUUCGGCCAAAGCCCCCCCCAUUCAUCGUGGGCGCGUGAGGCUCUUGGCCUUGACCUAAGGUGUUAAUUGUUUUGUAGGUGCAAUUUUGUCCAAGAAGAAGAAGGUGGGAAUUUGCAUCCACAAUUUAUACUUACAAAGACAUACAAAUUUUACUAAUCAACAUUGAAACAAUUGUGCAUAUUCCAUGAAAGCGUAAUGAGAUUAUAAAAUAGUCCCCCACAUGAAAUUUUCAGAUCUACAAUUUUCGUAAACUUGUGAUACACGGUAAAUGUGUGAAUUCUUCAAUGAAUUGUCUGGAGCCUAAAAUAAUUCCAAAAAUUCUAGAGGCAACACGUGGACUUUUGUUCGAGAAAGACAAGAUUGCCCUCAAUAACUGGACAUGCUCCUCAGAUACUCCCAUGCGCAGCUUACACCCCUGAAGGUCUCAACAGUUAAAUACAGUCUACACAUAGCUCACCUGCCCUUAGCAAGGAAAAGUCAAAGCAUGAAAGAUAAGGAUUAAUUACCCAAAUCCUAUCUUUAAUACAUUCCCAAUUGAAGAUUAACUCCAAUCAAGUAAGUAAUCCCAAUUUAAAUCAAUUAGGGAUAAUUACUCCAUUAUCUCAAGAUAUUAUUUCCUAUUUAAUAUCUUGAGAAUAUUUCUCCAUAAACAUUGAUCAAUAGGAUGCCGCCAUGUGUAGGGUAAAACCCUAACACUAUGGCCAGCCCUCUCCCUUAUAUAUACCCCAUAUUCUACCAAAUUUCAAAAGCUUUUGCUACCCUAAAAAAGCCCUAAUCACUUUACUCUCUCAGAGAAACUGAUUUAGGCAUCGGAGAUCCAUUGGCCUAACGCCCUCCCCUCCACCUUGUGGGCGCGUGAGGCUUAGGUCUUUGAUCAAAGGUGUUGAUUGUUUUGUAGGUGCAUUUUCGUUAAGACUGAAGACAGUGGAAAUUUGCAUCGACAAAUUAGUGCUUUCAUUGAGAGCUGAUUCAAAUACUUGAAGAAGCCUUUUGCAUUUGGUUUCUAGAAUUUUCUGUUACGUUGAAUUUCUCACAUGUAUCAAUUAGUUUUUCCUAGAAAAGUUUCUUGAUCAAUCCCUAGAGAAAGGAUAUAAUGGUAGAAAAUUCAAAAACCACGACGAAAGGAGUGUAAGUACAAGGACUUGGACCGGAGAGUGGAGAUGAGGACAUGGCCACACGACGGCGAUCCUCAAGGCUCAAUGGGAUGGCAGGAGGAUCCCCACUGCCACGGAAUCGCACCACCACCGUUGCCGCGACCCAGUAGCCACGACAAGGCCACCAGGCCACGGCUCAGGCUCCUACAACGCUGCCCUUGCAGUGGCCCAAUCCCCAAAACCCUGGGCAGGAGGCCUAAAGCCUGGCAGCUAGCACAGCAAGCCCAGGACAGGAGGCCCAGCCCACCGCAGUAGCAAGCUGCAUCGCGGACCUAAGCCCACAAGAGCCUAGUAGACCUGGCCCAGCCAGUAGGAGCAGCCCAAGGACAGGCGGCCCAAGCCCAGCUCACUGCUAGCCGAGCCCAAGCUUGUGAGGAGCAAGGAGCGGCCCAGCGUCAGCCAGCCCACGCGCUACCCUAGAGCGUCCCCACACAGACUCUAAUUGCGCAGAUUAAAGUCUAUUUUAACUAGUACAUGCUUACAUAUAUUGUGUGAACAAUUUCAUUUUAUUUUGCUUUGUAUUAUAAAGUGUUGAUUAUUUUAAAAAUUCUCGAAAAAGCUUACAUGAGGUGCUUGGAUCAGAGUCGAUCGUUUUCGAGUCGUAACCCUUUUCGGGGCAGUGAGGAAGAUGGUGGCUUGGUAGUUGGGUUUGGGUGAUCUUAGCCUCUUAUGAAGCUUUUCUAUUUUUUAUUGUUAAGUUUCUUUUUAUUUAUUUGUUAUUAAAUUUUGUGGGAUCCACAUGUGUAUCACGUUAGCAUUCUAACAGAAGUUUUGACGAAAAUAUAAUGGCAAAUUGAUUUGUGGCAUCCAAUUCAAAUGUUACACUGAUCGAUUUCAAUUUCAAAUGUCACCUUAAUUAAUGCGUCAAUUUCCGAAUAUUUGCGUUGAAGACACAUUUUAGAAAAAUCUACUACACAACGUGUGGGGUGUUGAUUUGAAAACGCACGGUCAAGCACGGUAAUACCAAAAUAUUUGGAAUGGCCAUGGGGAAAAUUCCGUAUCUCGUCUCGCUUGAACUCGUUCGCUAACCUAUAUAUGUGUGCUGAAACACAGAGUCGAAAACAAACAACGCACGUAACAUUCUCAGCUUCUCAUCAAACUAGAUUAUUUUACUUUCUCUCUGUAAACCGUUGGAAUUUCUGUUCUUUCAUCACCCAAGAACAGAUUACGUAAUUGAAUUAAGUUUUGAGUCACUUUGUUUCCUAAAUUAUGUCUGUAGUUUCGGUCGGAAUGGGUGCUCUGAGAACGUCAUUUCAAAUGCUGUUUGAUGCGGUAAAAUCAGCGCAGGAGGAGAAUACAAUGUUCCAACACCUCCUCGGAAACAUCAAAUCCACACUGGAAUCUCUACAACCACUCAUCAAAGACAUCGAAAAGUAUAACUCCAAGGAGGGGCGGGAAAAUUAUGCAAUACAGAUGGAGGAAGGAGCAAAGCUUGUUCAAAAGUGCAGCAAAGUUGGCGUGGGGAGAAAACACGCAUACACAAAGAAGCUUAAUCAACUGGACAAGUCUCUUCGAAGAGUCUUUGAUGUGCUUAAACUGCAGGUUAUGAGGGAUGCGAGGGAGACGUUGGUUCCUUUGAGGAAAAUCGAGACGGUGCUCUCUCGAAUAGAAGAGAGAUUGAAGAUAAAAAAUAACCAGCCUGAAAUGGUUAAAUGUUCGUCUGCGGUGCCUGAAGCGCCAUCGGUUACAGUCGGGUUGGAUUUGCCGUUGAAGGAGUUGAAGGUUAAGCUCCUUAAGGAUGAAAAGGUGUCUAUGCUUGUGCUGACCGCUGCUGGAGGAUGCGGGAAAACCACCUUGGCUAAAAUGUUUUGUCAAGAUCAAGAAGUCAAAGGUAUGCUAAUUAAAAAGUAAUACACCGUGUAGAGGAUUAUGCAAGUAGAACUACGCGCUAGGGCCUAUAAAAUGUCCGCUAUACUCCCUCCAAACAUACACAGUAACCAAAAUUUGUUAAAGAAAAACAACGAAGGAGACAUGAAACUAAAGCGCACGAAAGGAAUAUAAGAAAGAUUAGAAAGGCCUAAAUGGGCAUGCCCAACAAAUAACAAGUGGUAGUGAUAUGAACUUGGCAUGAUUUUCUUUGUACUAAUUGUAAGUUAAGCUGAUGCCUUCCUCUUAGAGUUAACAGGUCUUGCAAUGAGCUACUGCUUGAUUACUUGGUCUCAGAAUUGCAGACAUAUCUAGUCAACCUUUUAUUAACACCUUUCCUACAUUCUGUUUGGAUAGAUACAUUCAAGAACAACAUCUUCUUUGUCAAUGUCUCGAAAAAGCCCAACUUGGACCUUAUUGUACACGAACUAUAUCAACGGAAGGGGUCCGAGCUGCCUGCUUUCGAAAACGAAGUCAUGGCGGCUAAAUGGUUGCAACAAUUUCUGAAGGAAUCAAGACAAAAUCCUCUACUGUUUGUCCUGGAUGAUGUUUGGUCAGAAUCAGGGUCCCUUCUUGAGAAGUUUGAUCAAUUCAAGUUUUCAAAUUGCAAGAUUUUGGUCACAUCAAGAUUUGCAUUUCCAAGAUUCGGUUCUCCUUAUCAUUUGGCACCAUUGAAUGAUGAAGAUGCAAUGGAUCUUUUUCACUAUUCUGCAUCCUUGGAGGAUAAGAGCUCUUAUACUUAUGAAGAUCUUUCGAGAAAGGUGAUUUCUUAGUCCACAAUACACACACACACACACAUACAUAUAUAUGCUUAUUUAUGCCCCAGAAGAAGGUAAAGAAAUAACAUUUGAGCAUCCACACACGUUAAUGAACUGUGAAGAAUGAAGUAAGAAGAAUGAAAGACUAGACAGUUUACAAUUUUAUCAUCUUUAUGAAACCAUUUAGAUGAUUUUCAACAAUUUAAUCAAAUAAUAGUAAUUGAAUUCAUUUUGGAUAAUUAAAUUGCAGAUUAUCAAGCGCUUUAAGGGAUGCCCACUUGCCAUUGCAUUGGUUGGGAGAUCACUUCGCGGCCAGCCUAUAGAAAUCUGGCACAAAAGAGUAGUGGAAUGGUGCAAAGGUUCAUCUAUUCUUGAUUCUGACAGGGAUUUACUUGCUUGCCUCCAAAGCAGCUUAGAUGCCUUGGAUAAAGAGAAGGCUAUCAUCAAGGAAUGUUUCCUCGAUCUAGGUUCUUUUUCGGAGGACCAAAGAAUUGCUGCUGCCGCCCUCAUUGAUAUGUGGGCGGAGUUAUAUGGUCUAGAUGAAGAAAUUCUGACCAUUGCCAACCUUCAUGAGCUCACCGCCCGAAGUUUAGCUACUCUUGUUGUCACAAGGUAUGCGGGCUGCUCAUAAUUUUCUAUUUCAUUAUGUAUGCCGAACAAAUCAUUAAAGAAUUAAGCAUCGAUCAUCCAGGCAUGAGAGGGAGGCGGAUGGCUAUUACACUGAACACUUUGUCACCCAGCACAACAUGCUUAGAGAGUUGGCGAUCCAUCAGGGGAGUCAAGACCCAAUAGAACAUAGGAAACGACUAUUUAUAAACAUAUGCGGGGACAAACUUCCUAAGUGGUUGACAGAACAAAAGUAUCAAGCAAUCAAGGCUCGACUGUUAUCUAUCUCAACAGGUUCCAUCAAUCUCUCUUUAGUAAAUACUUAUACAUGUGCGCUCGGGACAUGGUUUGUGUGCACACACACACACGCUCAUUCAUACUAAAACUUCAAUAGGACUUCCACACAUUUAGGCUAAUAUCUUAAAGCUUAUUGUUUGCAGAUGGAGCCUUCUCAGCAAAAUGGCCAAACAUGCAAGCACCUGAAGCAGAGGUUCUAGUUCUGAAUUUUCAAACAAAGAACUAUGCCUUACCUGAGUUUGUGGAGAAAAUGGAUAUACUAAAGGUUCUAAUACUAAAAAAUUAUGGUUUGUUAUCUGCUGAACUAGAUAAUUUUGAACUACUUGGUUCGUUAUCAAAUCUUAAGAGAAUUAGAUUAGAACGUAUUUCAAUUCCAUCCAUAAGCAAGGUCCUUAAACAGUUGAAAAGUUUGCAAAAGAUAUCUUUUUUCAUGUGUGAUAUCGGCCAAGGUUUCGUCCAAAUUUUAGAUGCUCUGCCAAAUCUAGUGGAAUUGAACAUAGAUUAUUGCCAUGAUCUGGUGCAACUUCCUGCCAACCUCUGUAACCUUGUUCACCUUAAGAAGCUUAGCAUCACCAACUGUCAUAAGCUAUCUACCUUGCCUGCAGACAUCGGAAAGCUUGUAAAUCUAGAAGUGUUGAGGCUUAGGUCAUGUGCAGACUUGUUAGAGUUGCCAGGCUCGAUUAGGAACCUUAAAGUUUUGAAAUUUCUCGACAUAUCCGAUUGCUUUAGCGUAAAGGAGUUGCCCGAGGACAUUGGUGCAAUGUGCAGCAUGGAAAAGAUCAACGUGAGCCAGUGUUCAAGACUGAAAGAGCUCCCUGCUUCUGUUAUGGAUCUUGAGCAGUUGAACGAAGUGAUAUGCGACGAGGAGACGAAAACUUUAUGGGAACCCUUCUUACCGUUUCUCACAAACAUACACUUGAAGGUGAUCAAAGAAGAUAUCAACCUAAAUUGGCUCAACAAGCUUCCAUCCUAAGGCCAUCCUAAGGC